UUAUUAAUAUCUCUAUCCUUCACAUAUGAACCUUUGCUACUUAAAGAUGUUCUUGUACAUCUAACCAAAACAAGCCCAAUAAAUACUAACUCUUAUGCAAGGUUUAAUUAUCAAAUUUUAGCAAGGAUUUAAUGGAGGAGAACCUUCCUCCGGGGUUCAGGUUCCACCCUACAGAUGAAGAGCUCAUCACUUACUAUCUCACCCGCAAGGUCACGGAGUUUGGAUUCGUCGCACGUGCUAUUGCCGAUGUCGAUCUCAACAAAUGCGAGCCUUGGGACCUCCCUGGUAUGCGCUUCUAUUCGUUGUUCGUUCGCGUCAACCGAUUCCCUCUAUAAAUGUGAAAACUUCUUCAAAAAGCAACUAACAAAUUUUUUUUUUCUAUCUUCAAUUGUAAAAAUUGCAUUAUUUAUCUAUCAAUAUGUGAUUAUGUUCUUAUGUGUGCAAGAGUAGUUACAAUGUUUGCAUUGCUUUUGCGAUAUUGUAUUGUAGGGAAGGCGAGCAUGGGGGAGAAAGAGUGGUACUUCUUCAGCAUGAGGGAUCGAAAGUACCCGACGGGGCUGCGCACGAAUCGCGCGACCGACGCCGGGUAUUGGAAGACCACAGGCAAGGACAAGGAGAUCUUCCACUGUGGUGUUUUGGUUGGCAUGAAGAAAACCCUAGUUUUCUACAAAGGGAGAGCACCCAAAGGUGAAAAGACCAACUGGGUCAUGCAUGAGUACAGGCUCCAAUCCAAGUUUCCCUUUAGAACUACAAAGGUAAUUAAAAAGCUAAAAACAUAUGGGAGCCAACUACCUAACUAGCCAACUAACCACUAUAUAUCUCACUUUUAAACCACCAAUAACUAAUAUUCACCUUUAUAUUUGCCCUUUUAGGAGGAGUGGGUUGUUUGUAGGGUCUUCAAAAAGAGCUCCAUACUAAAGAAACCGCAAGCAGGUUCUCCACCACUGCCGUCGUUGCUCGAGUCUCCAUGCAACACCAACUCGCUGAGCGAGCUCGGAGAAAUCGACGUAUCGGUGUUGAACAAUCUCAUGAACGCCUCGAGCUCGACGAGCGAUAUACAAGCUAAUGAGAAUAUCAGUAACAAGGUUGAUAUGAGCACGUACAUGCACUGGGUUCUGGCUAGAGAAGCUGCUGCUAGCCAGAAUACGCUGCCUUGGCCGCCGAACUUGUUAGGCUCGGUCUUGGCGAGCAAUCCUGGGAUUCUGAAGGCGCUGCCGCUGAUCAAUUGCUACAAUCAACCCAGAGAAGGUACAAAUCUUGCAAAUUUAAGCUCUUUUGUAGCACAUGGAGAUGGGAUCUUUGCGAAUGAAUCGAAAUUAAGCUUCAAUGGCUCUUCAUCUAAAGGAGCGGAGUGUGCACAGCAACAGCAGCAGCAGCAGCAGCAGCAGCAGCAAGAAGCAUUUGAUCAGGAAGCAAUUUGGAGAGGCUAUUAAUAGUGUGAACAUGACUAACAAGCAAUUUGUUAUAUGUACCUCUUUAUAUUAUUUAUAUAUCUUAUAGGUGAUUCUCUAGCCAAAAAAUAUAUAUAUAUAUAUGUAGCGUAAAUGGGAACAAACCCACAAAGCCUUUACUAUUAUAUUGUCGGUUAAAAACUGCGAGUUAUACUGUUGUUCUAAUUACAUGUUCAAGCAUUAGGCAUUGCCAGAAUUAAAAAUGACAAUGUAUAACAGUGCCAUUGUCAUUUAUACAAUAUAUACAAAUGAUGCAUGCAUAGAAAGUUGUUGAUUUAAAACUUUUAAAUAGUAUUUUUGAAAGCUAUGUGUUUAGUUUCUUAAAUUUUAAAUAGUAUUUUGGACCUUAUUGAGCCCAUUGGGCUUUUGAAUAGGCCCAAAGGUUUGGGCCCGCAUGGGAAGGUGUUGAGACCUAUCUUGUGCUUGAUUUUUAGUCCUACAUUGAGAUAAGAAAGCUCUAUAGAGGAAUUCAUAUACACCCCCACACUCAUUACUCUCUGUUAGAAGCUUAGCCCGUUCACCAUCUAGUCCUACCAUGAAGUUGUGAUCAUGAAGUAGAGGGGCUUGGCCCCUGGUUCGUUGUAUCGCUAGAGGCGUCGUCAAGUUCUAUAGGUGAGUGGAGCUACUUUCUAAAUUUAAGGUCUAUAGGUGAGGGGCUAAGCCCGUAUUUCGUAGUAUCACCUCUUGUGCUGAUGGAAGCAGACGGGGCUUGGCCCCUAGUUCAUUGUAUCACUAGAGGUGGUCGUCGACUCUACGUUAAAAGCUCAGUCAGUACACUAUCUGGUCCUACUACGAUGUUGUGCUGAUGAAGUAGACGGGGCUUUGGCCUCUUGUUCGUUGUAUCACUAGAGGUGGUCGUCAAACUCUACGGAUGAGGGGGGAUAAUGUUGGAUUAUGUAAAGUAAUGUUUCGAGUCGAUAUCACGGUAAAAACAGCGAAGGUUUGAGGUUUUUGGAUGUUGGGUAUUGGUACUUGAAGUUUUCGUACCGGUACUAUUGAGUACCUCAGCAGUUUCUCAAAAUCCAAAAGCUGAAAAAAUAAUUUUUUGUACUGAGUACCGGCCGGUACACGACUUUGUACCAGUACGCAGUUCUCCAUUUUUUGUACUGAGUACUGGUACAAGACUUUGAGUACCGGCGAUAGGUUAGAUAUGUAGAGUUUGACUCUAAUUGGAUCUAAUUUUGUUCCAAAAUAUUAGGGAUAGUCCAAGAUUACUUAAAGAGGAUUUCUAAGAGAUAUUGACGGUUAGAUAUGAAUCGGAGACUUGGAUGGAAGGCAGAGAUCGUUUCCUAUUAGAAUUGGGGUUUUAAGAUUAUAUAAACUCUUGUAAUUAAUCUUUUAAGUAGAUUAUGAGUUUCAUUAUAGACACCCUAAUUGAGAGAAAAACGUGAAGAGCUCCUGAGGAAGUUUCUUGUAAUCCAAUCUAAUUCUUUGUACUUUUGAGCCGUGGAUUAAUCGAAGAAAGUAUUGAUGUGGUCUUGUCCGUGGACGUAGGUCGACUCAUGAUUGGCCGAACCACGUAAAUCUUGUAUUCUUGUGAUUUCUUGUUUUCUUUAUUACUUUGCUAUCCUUGUGUUUGUUUUUCUACGAUUGUUCUCGUCUCUUACGUCUACAAAAGAUCCUAUUUUCGCUGCGCUCAUAUGCUUUGUGGGUUUGAGCUGUGCUCGGCAACCUCACGUCCGGUCCCUUCAGCUAAGUUUCUAAAUUUAAGCUCUGUAGGUGAGGGGCCACACCCCUAGUUCAUUGUAUCACUAGAAAUGGUCGUCAAGCUCUAUAGAUGAGGGGGCUGCUUUUCUAAAUUUAAUUUCUACACAUGUUGAAGUACUAUAAUUUAGCAAUUACAUUACAAAACAUUAAUACUUCUAUCAAAACAUUGAUGCAUAGUUGUUUUUACGGUAGUUAAUAUGUCGUUGCAAACACACAUGACAUAUGCUAGAUAACCACUAUUCUGCCAAACUAGCCAACUCUAAUGGUCAAAAUUUUAAGUGGUGGCAAAAUCAAAUGAGAUUCUAGCUCACCAUCCUUGGCCUCAUAUCAGGUAUAUCCACCCUUUAAUUGGACCAUAGUAAUGGGUCCCCUGCACCUAGACCCUUACAACAUACUCCACAUUAUUGUGCUUCUCAUGAUAGAGGCCGGAGUAGUGCCAUUCCUUCCGAAAGUAAUGCCCCGAUCAUCUCUAUAGUUAGUCAUCAGCAGUUAGACUAUUAUUGUCUUAAUACAAUACUCGAUACCUUAUCUAAUAAACUAUUAGAUCUGUAGUAUCAUAUUAAAACUGCUAGAAAACUAUGGACACUACAACAAAAAUGGUGUAUAGCGACACUUUUAAAUGUUGGUAUAGGUAAAAAAAAGUGCUGCUGGCUAAAUUAUCUACACUUUUUAAAAGUGUUGCUAUAUGUGGGUCGCUAUAGGUAGAGCUGCCUUGAUAUUUGGCACACACUUCUCCAGCGACCUGUGACCGAGGGAUACGUGACGACCAUAGUCCCCUACGGUUCCUACGAGAUUCUCGCAGUCGAACUCUAGCCGCCGGAACCAUAUCUCGUCGGCUAUAGCAGCGGAGGAGGAGAAAGGGAGAUAGUAAUCAAUUUUUCUUUUUUUUCUUCGGUUGGUUGAGUAGAAGAACUUUUUAUUUUGGAUUGGAUUGGAUUUUAUUUUUAGGCCUUAAUAAAUUUUUAAAAAAAGUUUAAGCAUAAAUAGGACACUUAUAUAAAAGUGUCCUAAAAAUGUGUUUCUAUAGUCUAAUUCUAUUAUAGUGACUAUUCUAGAACAAAAAUUUGGUCAACCCGAUCCUCCCCAAAAGAGAUAGAAAUCUAGCGACCCGAUCAACUUCAAACUUGUAGACAACAAAUUGAUGAAAGAUGAGCUUAUAGAAUUUGAGUACAUAUAUAGUAAAACAACUCAAAACUAACCGCGUGAUUUUAGAUGAGGUUUAUCUAGUAGCUCUCUUGAUAGAGAAGCCUUAGAAGCCAAUAGGGAUGAUACUUUUUUAUUUCUUUGGGACACAUUUUUCUACUUGAUCUUGAUUAUUUAUAUAUAUUUAGAGUGCCAUCUAUUCUAUUCAACUUUAAUGUGUUCAUGAAUUGUCUAUGAAUUAAUAAGAUUGUGAAGUCUAAUCUCAAGAUACAUACUAUAAGUGAUUAAUUAAUUUUUAAAUGCUCUCUGUCUGUGGAUUGUCAUAGAGAACGGUGAUUGUCAGGUUAGAUUGGUGUACAUUAUAAUAGAUAUAUGUUGGUUGCAGUGGGUUUAUAUUAGGAAUGAGUGUGUGAUCACUCUUAGUAGAGAGAUAAUUAAUUUUAUGCUUUAUUUGUAAGGCACGACUCAUAAACUCUCAAGCGAGAUAAUUAAUAUAGUGAAUGGAAAGGAGUUUUCGAAGAUAAUAUAAGAGCUUUUGUUCUAUCAAAUUUGUCAUAGAUAGAUGAUGUGAUUUGACAAGUAUUUUAUAACCUCCACUUAGUCGAGACUAUGCGAUAGAAAGAUUAUAUCGUAUAGUAAUUGCACCAAAAGCUUUAGCCCAAUAUUCUCUUUUGACUGGUUUGCAACUAUAUGCUACUUGGCGUCGUUAGUAGAUUGUGAGACCUGUGAGAAAAAUUAUAAAUGAUUAAUUAAUUAUUCCAUGAGGCCAGGGUGGAAUCAAAAGGAAUUUUGUUUCAUUGAAGGGAGUUUCGAUGAUGACUAUCGGGUAAUUUAAUUGCAAUAAUAGUGUUGAAAAAAAGUAUUUAGUUUACCAAGUCAUUAGUAAAGAGACUAAUUUGGACGAGUUAAAAAUUAGGGGUCUUAAAAUGCAAAAGUUGCAUGGUAUAUUUACCAAACCUUAGUGGAUAGUACAAAGACUUAUAUGUAAAUAUUACAUGUGGAAUUAUAGUUUCAGUUUAAAUUAUGUGAGAACCAAUUCAAAGGCUUAGAGAAUAUCCAAUAGGAUUAGGAUUAGGAUUAGGAUUAGGAUUUUUGCACUGUAAAUACAUAUCGUAAGAUAUAUUGGAUAUGACUUAUGAUAGAAAGAGAAAGCCCUAGCCAUAUAAUAUAACCACCAAAGGUUUUAAUGAUAAUAAUAAUAACUAAGAUUAGGACCAAAUAUCGGAGCGGCCUCGAGCGGGCCCAGCCCGGCACUGCUAGAGGCCGUGAUGGGCCGCCAUCAGAGGUCCCGCGGCCCAGCAUGGGCCGUGCCUACUGGCCCGGUGUGGCCGGGUAACUUUUUAAAAUUAAUAAGUACAACAUUUAUUAUAUUAAUAGAAUAAAAAUUUAAACAUGAAAUCAGAAAAAAUAAAAGAUUAAAAAAGUUUAAUUAAAAAGGGUAAUGGGCCUUGGGCGGUCCGGUCCCAAGGAGGCAGGGGGCAGGCCACCAAAGGAGAAGGGGAAAAAGUCUCUUCUCUAGGAAUUUUUUUAAAAAAAAUUGAGUUUCAAUAUUUUGACUAAAAUACUUUCCAACAGUCAGAAAAACCUAACUUAUUUUAGUAUUUCAAUUUUAUGAAUUUUAGAAAUUAAUAAAUAAUGGGCCAACACUCGCCUGACCAGGCAUGGCCUGGUCUGUGCUAUCUGGGCCGGAGGCCGUGCUCUAGAGUCUGAAAAUUCCAGGCUGGCCCGACACGACCCAUAUUACACCCCUAGCUGCCCCCCUCCUAACGAAAAAUUCUAGAAUGCACCAGCGAUAUUACUAAGGUGGCGUCCCCAUAUUUCUCGCCUUGGCUAAUGAAAUGUAUUUAGUUCGGCAACCGAAUUCGUUUGCAAGCUUUUGAGUUCAACUUUUUUUACGCAUUGAGGAAGGACCCGUUGAGCCGAUCCCUACUCAACCUAUCGCCUGAUCACAUCACCGAGGGUCAUUCUAAAAGCCGAAUCAUAAAUCGAAGAAAAUUUUGACUCGGACAUUAUUCCAGAAAUUCGACUCAAGGAGAACAAUUUGAAAAAAAUAUAAUAAUAAAUUAUAGAAAAUGAUGUAAAAGAAAUUCUAUAAAUUUUUAAUUAUAUUUAUUUAUAAUUACAUUAGAAAAUAAAUAAUAUUGGCAAUUGGGAAGCAGAGUGAGUAGGAAAAAAAAAAAUUUAGAAUGUAUCGGAUAUAUUGCUGACGUGACGUCUUCGAUCAAUAAAAUUAUUUUCCUAUAAAAAAAUACUAUUAAUUUAUUAUUGUUGAUACAGUAAGGCUUCGUUUGGGAUUGCGGGGAGAUUGCGUUACUGUUGAUAUCCUGUUUUGCGUUCCGCAUAUCGCGAUGAGUCGGUUACGAUAUAUUUUCUACGGUCCCAUCGGAGAACGCAGAAGCAUAUCCCUAUAUGCUUUUUUCUCAACUCUAUUUUAUGUAAUAGCGUUAGAUAUAGCUUAAUACUAAACUAAGCCUAAGUAAGAGUAAGGGUAAAAAGAGAAAGAAAUAAUGAGUUUAAUAAUGUAAAGGAUUGUUGCGUAAAGCUGCGAACAAAAGUACGCAGCUUCCUCAUCUGGCUUUCAUGACUCUCUUCUCAACUAAAGCGGAAUCUUAAGGCACGUGACCCGCCACGUGGAUCUCAAAUGGCUCUUCGAUCUCCACACUCUUGUCUUCUACCUCCGCGUGUCACAAUGCCACCACCUGACACAUUGUGAAUUGACCAUUAUGCCCUUGUUUUUUUUUUAGUUUCUACUGUUGCUAGGAAAGAUUAAAAAAAAAGGAAAACUUUAAAUACAAUUCAUGUGAUUUCACACUUUUUCACUCUAGUAUUCUGUGAUUUUAUUUUUAUCUUUUUAUUAUCGAUUCCACUAAUUAAUUUUUUUUAUUGAAUUAAUGACAAAAUUAAAACUAAAGGAUACUAAAGUGAAUAUUCGAUAAAUUUAGGUUGGGUAUCUGAAAUUUUUUAUAUAUAAUUUAACGAAAUAUUAACGAAAAAGCUGACGAAAAAAUAAAAUUAAUGAAACCAUAGGACACUAACUUGAUACACUUUAAAACACAGGGUACUAAAAUGAGAAAGCGCGAAACCACGGGGGUGGUAUUUGAAGUUUACCCUAAAAAAAGGAAAAAAACUUUAAAUACCACAUAUGUGGUUUCAUGCUUCUCACUUGAAUACUCUAUAAUUUUAAGUUUAUUACUUUAGUACCCUAUAAUUUCUUUUUUCUUUUUUCGUUAUCCCUUCUGUUAAUUUUUUCGUUAAAUCAGUGAGAAAGUUAAAACCACAUGGUACUAAAGUGAAAAUUCGAUAAAUCACAGAAUUCUAAAGGGAAUAUUCGAUAAACCAUAGAUGAGAUAUUUGAAGUUUUUUCUAUAUGAUUUAACGGAGAGUUGACGGAAGUGCUGAUGGAAAGAGAAAAACGAAACCAUAUGAUAAUAAAGUGAUACAUUUUAAACCACAGGGUACUAAAGUAAGAAAGCGUGAAACCGCAGGAAUGGUAUUUAAAGUUUUUUUUUUUUUAAAAAAGAUAAUUGUUUAUAUAGCUCUGAAAAGUUUCAAGCUUACUUAUUUCCCCCAUUUAAAAGACUAAUAUAAAAAAUAUUUUUUUAACGAUCCAAAUUCUUUUAAAUAUAUUCAUAUUAGAGUUAAACUCUGUUAGUAAAUUAUUACGAACAUCAAUUAUUUUUUGUGAAAUUAUUAUUUUGUACUUUCAAAUAUACCCUUCUACCGCCACCAAUUUUUCUUAUUUAUCCUUAAGUUAGGAACAAAAUAAAUUUUUUUAUUCUUUUGUCCUUUCAAAUGUAUAUUCUUCUACCGUUCCUUUUCUUGCUUACCCUUAAGUUAUGGACAAAAGAUGUAUUUUAACUUCUUUUUAACUUUGGCAGCAAUUUAACUCGAGUUUGAGUGGGUGGUUAGUUGAAUAGUAUGAUCUAAUUGAUAGAAAUGAUCGAAGAGAUAAAUCUAAUGGCAGAAAAUUUGAUAACACCAAACGCUUAAUAGUAUCAAUAGUAUAGUAGCCGGACUCUCUAUCUCUCUCUCUCUCUAUAUCUAUAUCUAUACUACUUAUAAAAGCGUGAGUUUUAAAUUUUUUCCUCUUUCCAAAAAUAACUCUAUCUUUUCUACUAAUAUUUUCAUGUCCAGUAAUUUUCAACCAUUCGUUUCAAAUAAUUUUUCGAAUAAUAAAUUAUUCUCAAAUAUAGAUCUUAAGUUUUUAUCAUUGAAUAUCAUCCAACGAUUAAAAAUAAAAGUAUCUGUCACUUUUCUUGACAAAAAUACCCUCAAUAUCCAUUCACUCCUAUCUACGCGUUUUACAAAUAUCUACGCAUUUUCUCAAACGUAAUUUUCGUCAUAACUUAAACAUUAUAUCCUAUUUACAGCGUUUCUCAAAUAUUUUCUUUCUCACACGUAAUAUCAGCGUCAAUCACGUAGAAUGUUCAUAGAAAGAUUUAAUACCCACCUAAACAAAACUAAAUUGUUAAUUAAAUAUAAUUUUACAUUUUUGAAUUUUUUUAGUAAAAUAUUCAAAAGCAAUACCUGUCAAACUAUUUUACGUGUUUCUCAAAUACAGAGCAUAUCUUAAUAUACUCGCAUAUAAUAUCUAAAUAUCUUUACAUAUAAUACGUACACUAUCCAAUCUUAUCUUUGCAUAUAAUAUCUAUACUAUUCAAUCUUAUCUUUGCAUAUAAUUAAUAUCUACACUAUCCAAUCUUUUCUUGUCAUAAUAUUUAUUCACACACAGAAUAUAUUUUUUUUGAGACAUAUUUUUUUAGUAAUAUCUUUUUUAUUUUCACCUAUAUUUUUCUCAAAUAUUUUUUUUAGUAAUAUCCUUUCUCAUAUGUCCUUAUCGUUAACACCAGUACAUCGUAGUACAUCGUCAUCAUCGACACUGGCACAUUGUAACUUUCGCCACCUUCGUCAUCUGUCACGCCCCGGAUUACACUUUUCCCGGGCGCGCCGACAAAUCCGCUGUAUACAAAGGAAUUUUUCCUAUAUACGAAGCGAUAGCUGUACCUGUAAAACAAACGCUACUACGAACAGUAGUAGAGAGCUGCUAGAGAAAACAGAAGCUAAACAAACUGAGUUUCAUAUACAUAGUCCAAAUCCAAAAUACAAAGCUACUCGCACUGGCGAGUUAAGUCCACUAUGUACAUAAACUCGAAACAAAACAUCUACCUGCAGUAGGGGCACCUCUAGCUCAGCACGUCGGGUAGGGCUCUAACUUGCGACGCCCUUUCCUCGAUCCUGAUCCGCGGACGGUGCAGCAGCCGGAACCUGUGACUCUGCAAAAACAUAGGUAACAACUGGGUGUGAGAACUACUGUAAAAACAAGUAGUCCUCAGUGGGUACCGCCCAAAACAAUAUCGGUCCACCCACCAAGUCUACAGAAGGGAGCAAGAGUAGUCAGAAAAGCAGGAAAUAAACUCUACCGCUAUCGAUCACUACACUAUCAUGCUCUACACUAACCAACUGUAGGAAAUGUCAACUCUGACCCAAUCCAAUCGGGGCUGUAAGCAUACCCGUCCCCGGGACUGUGAAUACACCCGUCCCUGCCCCGUUGCGACUAUCAAGCUAUAUCCACACUAACUGCUCCGUGGAGAGCAAGUCCAACUGGCAUGAGCGAUACCAACGUGAAAGCACAAAGCCUGACUCCGGAGUGGCACUCGUGGGCGCUACCCAACCGAGUAUGCAGCGUAUCUCUGUCGAGCUCAAUCAGGCUCCAACUAGCCAAAGUCAAGUGAACAGGGUCAAAACAGGUCUACAAACCAAACCCACGUGCCCUCGGCACAAUCUGUGACCAAAACAAGAAUCUGGGUCCACCGCUAACCCGAACGGCACCCAACGACCCGAAACAGCCUAAACUCUGCUGAAAAAUAAGCUCGGCACCCCAGCACGAGCGUAAAUGCCUUCUAAACUACCCCAGGUAUCCAUCGCACUGAUACUGCAACGAUACAAUCGAAUCACGGCUCCUAGAGCUAAAUCUGGUAGUUUAAGCAUAUGACGGGUCAAAACGCAGGUUUUCUCCUAAGUCAAAUUUCAAGUCCAACAUGUAUAAUUUAAAUAUUCAUUUCAGCAUGCUUCUACAUUCAUAUUACAUUCAAGAUGCUAAUCGAUGAAUUAAAGCAUGAUAUACAAAAAUCGAACUAUACACGUCGACUAAACAUGCACUUAGGAGCGAAACCGAUGAUACACCCACCUCUAGUGCAAUUCCUGGCAGCAAGAUGGUCUCGGAUCACAAGCAACACUGCUGGAAACACCUCCAAACCAGCAACAAAGCCCCUCAAGAUCUGGAUUUACAAUUCACCCAAAAAUCCAAUAAAAACCAUCAAUUUACCAAAAUUUCAGCACUUAAGCUUAAUUAUCUCAAUUCCAAUGUCAAAACUCACCUAAUGAUCUCCAAAUCGGGUGAGGACAGAUCCAAAUCCAGCAACUACUGAUGGGUGAUCAAUCUCAGGUCCAAAAUCCCACUGCCUACAAAGUUAGCAUCAAGAAAAGCUCAAAAAUUCCAAUUUCAGCUCAAAGUCAACAGCAGUCCAGAAAAACCUCAGUUCGACCAAGCUAACCUCAACCAAAAUCUGCAAUUCAGGGCUUCGUGGAUUCCUCUGGAAGUCUAGAAUCCAGCAAACCAAGUUUCGUCGAAAUCCGACCUUCCUACGUCGCGCACGAGCCAAAACACUGAAGGUCGUCGCUGAAGAACUGCAGAAUCAGCACUCCAUCAAGCUGGAUCAAUGGAAAUUUGAUGCAAAUUGAGGCAAAUCCGAGUGUAGAGAUGCUAAAAGGGACUUCUCUGUGAAGAAGGGAGGAAAAGAGCAGCAAAGGGGCGCAUUCCAUCUAUUUAUAGUGAGUUAGAAUGAUCCAAAAAGCCUCAGGAACUCAAGCUGCUAUCCAGUGUCCCUGCAGAAACGGGCGUUUCUGGGCGCCCGGAACCAUGUUCUGGGCGACCAGAACAUCCCGACUGCACAAACCGUGGUCCUCGGACUCUCCGCUCAUGGUGUGCUGCGCCCGUAAAUGACUCCGGCGGAACUCACCUACCGCCUGCCACGCGUCGAAGCAAGCGAUAUUCAUGAAGUCGAAUUUCCGGACCCACAUCUGGGCGCCCGGAACAUGGGAUCCGAAUUGGCUUCCAGUUUCAGUUAAAUUCAACACUCGUUUCUGGGCGACCCUAAAAAUGUUCUGGGCGCUCGAAUCUGGCAAAACUCCAGUUUUGCUUAUUUGAGUGCGUCGAGUCCAAUUCUGCAUCCAAUUCAUGCAGAAUUGACUCCGACUCAGUCCGACACUCUUCAGAGAUGUCGACCAGUCACUAAUACUGAAGCCAACCCUAUCCAAAACUCAGGAACACUACAGUCAUAGUUGGAGAGGUAUUUUAAUCUCACCUGAAAAUAUUUUAUUUUUUUAAUGUGCAUUUAUACUAUUUUAGCAUAUUUUUUUGGUAUUUUCACAUUCUUACGUAUACUUUUAUCAAAUAUAAAGUAUAUAUUUUUUUAAUAAUAUCCUUUUUCAUUUUCACCUACAUUUUUCUUACAUAUUCUCAAAUAUUUUUUUUAGUAAAUCCUUUCUCAUUUGUCAUCGUUGCCGGCACCAGCACAUGGUCAUCGUCCUCCUCAUCGUCAUCAUCAUUGUCAUCAUCGGUGCCGGCACAUUGUCGCCUUCGUCACCAUCGCCACAGUUAUUUUGAUCCCACCUAAAUUUUUUUUAUACUGUUAUAGCAUAUUUUUUUUAGUAUUUUCUUAUUUUUACUUAUACGUUUCUCAAAUAUAAAGUAUAUAUUUUUUUAGCAAUAUCAUUUUAAAUAUUUUUUUUUGUGACAUAACUGUCAAUCUUUUCUCACAUAAUGCACACGUUUUCUCAAAUAUUACAAAAUAUAUAUGAAAAAUACUUAUAGUAUAAAUUAAUUAAAAUUAUAUAAAACUUAUUUAGAGAUAAAUUAAAGUUAGAAAAAUAAUAAUUAAAUAAUAAACAUACACCACCAAUAACGAUUUAAAAUUUAAAAUAUAAAUAUAAAUUUAAUUUAAAAUUAGAUGUGGCAUUUUAAAUUAAAAAUAAAUUAAAUUUUUGAUUCUUUUACAUUAAAAUAUAUAUCAAAUCUUUUAAAUUUCCUUUCUGACGAGAAUACUCAUUACCUAUACAUUUGUCACUGCCUUCUCAAGUGUAUUUUUUUAAUUCCUUCCACACCUCCUCUAUUAUGGUUCGCGCCGGCACAGUCAUCACCUUCACCAGGACAUCUUUAUCCUCCUCGCCGGCACAACUUCAUUGUCACCUUUGCUAGCAUGACGUCGUCGUCCUCACAUUGCAUGUACAUCGACGGAAGUCCACGAAUCAUAUCGGCGUUGUUGAUGGUCUACCGACAUGUCAUCGGUGGUCGAGAUAUAUGCGUAUGCGAAUUAUCGGUGGUCGACAAUCUAUAGGAUAGAUUCAAAAUUCACCCAAAAUUAUAUUAAUAUUUUUACGAUUUUCUUCAAAUCAAUUUGUAUACAUACAUACAUAUAUAUAUAUAUAUAUAUAUAUAUAUAUAUAUAUAUAUAUAUAUAUAUUCUUUUUUUUGAGGGUAUAAAAAAUGUUAAAUAUUUGUUCAAAUUAAGCUCAAUUAAUUUGAACAGUAAUAAUUGUGGAAUAGUAGUACAAUCAGAUCUAUUUUCAAUUUCAUUAAUAACUUAAAAUUAAUAUAUAUUUUAGAAAAAAAUUAUUUGAUUUUUUCAAAUAAGUAGUCUUACGUCCAUUGCACGUGCAUAUGACUAUAUAUUAAUAUAUAAACGUGAACUUAGACCUUUUCAAGUAUUUUUUUUUUUUUUUUUUUUUGAGAGAUAGCUAGCGUGCUACCCACUUCGUUUAUUUUAUUUAGAAAAUAAACUUAGCUGGAAAUGUGAAUCUACUAGGAUUCGAACUUGAAUCUCGGGUACCAGCCACUAAGCCCUUUACCACUUGCUUUAGGGACGGUCGGUACUUUUCAAGUAAAUUUUGGAUAUAUAGUUUUGUAGCACCAUUAGAUACUCUACUUUUUUUAAUUGCGUACGAUGGGGAGAUGGAGAAUUAGAAAAUUUGCCGAGGCUAAUAUGGUAAUUACGCCAGGGAUUCGUAUUCGCCACAAUUCCGGGAAUCUGGCGCGAGAAGUACAAGCCAGGUUGCGACAAAAGUUACGAGGUUGCCUAUGGUAUGCUUGCCAUUACAACGUAAUAAAUUAACCUACUCCACCUUUUUCUUAGAAUUUUUCUUUUUUAAUUUAGGAUAAAAAUAUACGUAAUUUAUUGGAACUAUACUGAACUACUUUGAAAUGACUAUUCAGGUUUUUCAAAUUUUUAAUUUGGUUUGAUUUGAAUCGGUUAACGAUAUUUUGACUUAAAAUUAGAAUAUAUAAUUUAUUUUUGUAGAUUUAUUUUGUAUAUUUCAUAUAAUUCUUAAUUUUUUUAAAAUAGUAUAUAUAUAUAUAUAUAUAGAGAGAGAGAGAGAGAGAGAGAGAGAGAGAGAGAGGGAGAGAGAGUUUUGCUAGGUUAGUAUCGAUAGUAAACAGCUCGAUUUACUAUCGAUUUUUUUUUUUUUUUUAUGAUAGAGCAUUCAAAUUUAUGAUCGAUACCGUUGAAAAUAAUCUACACCAUUUAAAUUAUUCAGAAAUCAAAUUUUAUACUUUUCGAUGUUUUUCUCUUAUCCAUCAAGUAGACAAAAAGUAUAAGGCUGAAAAUAAAUAUGCUUCAAAAAGUGAUAAUUGUAUUCAAUGUUGUUUUUUCUCUCUCUCUCUCUAUAUAUAUAUAUAAUUGAGCUAAAAUGCUAUCGGUAGUAAACGGGCUCCAUCGCCACCCAUUUGUUUUUGAUGAUGGAGCAUCCAAAUCGACGAUCGGCACCUUUGAACAUGAUUUAUACCACUUGAAGUAUUUAGAAAUCAAAUUUCAAAUCUUUUCAACAUCAUUAGCUAGCCUAAUAAUCAAAGAGUUUUAUUGUAAUUUUAAUGGUCGAUAUAAGACGUUUUCUCGUUUAACGGUAUAAAGAUAUUCAAAUCAAUUGAAUUUUAAUUAAAAAAUUAUUUAAACUAUUUAGAAUAAGAUUUAUACUCUUGAUCUUGAUUACAAGACUCAUAUCUUUACUUUUUAAGGAAUAUUUAUUUAUUUUCAGCCGUUUAUUUUUUAGUUCACUUGAUGGACAACAGAACAAUAUCGAAAAAAUACAAAUUGAAUUUUAAUUAAAGACAUUUUCUCGUUUAACGGUGUAAAGAUAUCCAAAUCAAUUGAAUUUUAAUUAAAAAAUUAUUUAAACUAUUUAGAAUAAGAUUUAUACUCUUGAUCUUGAUUACAAGACUCAUAUCUUUACUUUUUAAGGAAUAUUUAUUUAUUUUCAGCCGUUUAUUUUUGAGUUCACUUGAUGGACAACAGAACAAUAUCGAAAAAAUACAAAUUUUGAUUUCUAAAUAUUUCAAGUGGUAUAGAUUAUGUUUAACGGUAUCGAUUGUCGAUUUAGACGCUCCAUCAUCGAAAAUAAAUGGGUGACAACAGAGUCAGUUUAUUACCGAUAGCAUUCCAGCUCAACUCUAUAUAGAUAUAUAUAUACACACACAAUAUACAUGAGAGAUUCUAAAAAGGUGCAUAUUAAAAAUUAAAAAAAAUCCUUCAAACUGGAUCAGCUUAAGUAGGAUCUCAUGCGAAGCAUGGGAUCAAAAUGGGAUGCAUUGUGGGUAAACUGACAAGUGACAAGCACAGUACACAUUUGCAGCAAUGGAAAGUGCAUGCAGUGAUGCAACUCUUUGCCCAAGAGGCUAUGCAUCUCCGGCCCUCUAAGCUGCUCAUUAUUAUUCCAUGUAGAAUAAGGUGUCCUCCAGAGGACAGGAGAAAGAGAAAUAAUUCAAGAGGUGAAUAUGUACCCGGGUAUAUAUAUAUAUAUAUAUAUAUACCUUUACACUUAGAUGAUCCUAAGCUUGAACUUAGAGCCCAUGGUCGGUGAUUCGGGAAAUGGUGAACGAAAUCCCUGCCAGCCAUGAAAAGUUCAUUUAAAACCUAUAUAUCAAAACAUCGUGGUAAUCUAUGAGAUGAAAAAAAUUAACGCAUGCUACCCCUCUACCUCUUAAUCUUUUAAACGGCUCCGAUUAUACCAUUAAUGCGGUCCCUAAGCAUAAGCGGUGUUAAGGCCCUUAGACCGCGCUCUUCAUGUUCGGUCCAACGCUGUUUUCAAUGCUCCAACGGAUACCAUACGAACGGUAAUGUUGCAUUAUUUAAUUGGAUGAGGUGGAAAAAGAAUCUUAAAAAGAAAAAAUUAAAUCCUAUUUUUAUAUGCAUUAAAUAACCUUGAUAUGACUUGAUGAAACUUUACUGAUAAGUCCAAAAAGUUUAAAAAUUAAACCAAACUAAACUUAGCCAAUUGCUAUAAAACUGAAUUUUAAUCUUAUAUAUUAAAUAAAAACAUCUAAAUAAAACAUAUAAAGUAUAUUAAGAAUUAAAAAAAUUUUAUCAUAUAUAUAUAUAUAUAUAUCUCUCUCUCUCUCUCUCUCUCUCUCUCUCUCUCUCCCUCUCUCUCAAAACGAUCCAAUCAUAGCUAUCAUUUGUCGAGCUAAAUGAUAGCUAAAAAAAAAAAAAAAAUACUAUCUCGUAAGUUUAAAUACUAGCUAUGGCAACUUUUAUUAGAUGUGGUAAAUUUAAUAAGUCUUUAGUUUAAAAUAUGAAAAGCUACAAAAAGAGAAUAGGUAGUUCAUCUGUUUUUCAUAUUCCGACUUUUAUUUAUACGAAGUUUUUCACUAUUAACAUAAGUUACAACAAAAAAGAGAGAGAGAGAGAUAUAUAUAUAUAUUAACUCGAUUUUACGAUAGCCAUCAUUUGCCCGAGGUAGCGGUGGGUAAACAAAAACUACUACCUCGUAGGUUUAGCUGCUAGCCGUGGAAACUUGUACUAAAUAUGGUGAACUUCAUAAAUCUUUAGUUUAAAGUUUAGAAAAGUUGUAGUAAUCGAUCGGAUUAUUAGUUUCUCAAAAUAACAUUAAAAUUACCAGCUAUAUUCUGCAAAAGAGCAAAUUGCCAUAUUUCUAUAAGUUUAGUUAACUUAAAAUUAAUUUUUUAAUAAAUUUGAUAAAUCUUAUUCUAAAUAUGAGAACUAGAACUAAUGUUCUGAGUAUAGAAAUGAAAAAUUCCUUAUAAAUAAAUAAAAGUCGGCAAAUAAAAAAUCAAGUGAACUACCUGUUGUCUUGUUAUAGCUUUUUUAUGUUUAACUUAAAAUUAAUUUCUGUAAAAGAGCAAAUUGCCACAUUUCUAUAGGUUUAGUUAACUUAAAAUUAAUUUUUUAAUAAAUUUGAUAAAUCUUAUUCUAAAUAUGAGAACUAGAACUAAUGUUCUGAGUAUAGAAAUGAAAAAUUCCUUAUAAAUAAAUAAAAGUCGGCAAAUAAAAACUCAAGUGAACUACCUGUUGUCUUGUUAUAGCUUUUUUAUGUUUAAAACUAAAGAUUUAUAAAGUUCACCAUAUCUAAUACAAAUUGCCAUAGCUAACAGCUAAAUCUGCGAGGUAGUAGCUUUUAUUUACCCACUGUUGUCUCAGUCAAAUAAUGGCUAUCGUAAGGUCGAGUUGAGAUAUAUCUAUAUAUAUAUGUGUGUGUUAUAUGUACUCUCUAAGAUUUUUCCACGUAUAAUUUUUAAUUUUUUUUAGGAAGUUUGACCUAGUCGAAUUCAUCCUAGAGUACGCUUCGUACCCUAGUUUUACCCUACGUAACACCCAUUUGACUGUUCACUGUUCGUGUCAUGUGUAAACGUCGUUACCUUUCACGUACGUCACUACGUUGAGAAACGGGUUCUCCGAUACGUAGAGGCCGGGAGAUUCGACGAGUAAUAAUAAGGUACAUCUUAUUCCACAGGAGGUCUCCUGUCCUCUUUCUCUUUAUUAAGUUCUCCACUUAUACAUGGGCCCAUAUAUAUAUAUAUAUAUAUAUAUAUCUCUCUCUCUCUCUCUCUCUCUCUCUCUCUCUCUCUCUCUCUCUCUCUCAGGCCGACCCCAUGAUAGCUAUCGUAGUUCCUAAACCACGAUAGCUCAAAAGGUUAAAAUCUAAAUUGAGAAACUAAUAAAAAUGGGUAAUUUAAUAUGAUAAGUUGAUUGGUGAGUGAGUUGGGAUACCCGGGUGUAGUAGGAUUGGUAAGUAAAGAGUUAGGUUCCCGAUUUUUUAGUUAUCGUGGUUAUCGAACCAUGAUAACUAUCAUAAGGUCGGAUUAAUAUAUAUAUAUAUAUAUAUCUCAGGCCGAAGAUAUGAUAGAUAUCAUGCGCUCGAGGACAUGAUAUCACAACAAAAGCUAGAAGCCCGCAAGUUUAGUUGCUAGGUGUGGCAAUUUUGAUUAGAUCCCAUAAAUUUCAAAAAUCUUUAUUUUAAAAUAUAAAAAAGCUGUAUCAAAUGAAAUACUAGUUUUAUAAAGUUUUAACAGUUUAAAGUUGUCGAUAAUACUGCUCAAACCUCAAAUUGCCACAUCUUCUUAGAUCUAAAGAAGUUUAAAACUAUCUUUUAAGAAAUUUGAUAUAUCUAAUUCCAAUUGUAAGAACUAGAACUUAAAUUUUCAGGAUAUGAGUUUAAAAUUUCUCAUAAGUUAAGGGUGGCAGGUAAAACUGUAUUAAAUAAAUGAUUCAUUUGCUAUAGCUUUUCUUGAUUUUAAAAUAAUGAUUCUUGAAGUAUAUAGGAUCUAGUAUAAAUUGCUACACCUAACAACUAAACUUGCGGGAUUCAAGCUUUUGUUGUGAUAUCAUGCCCUCGAGGGCAUGAUAUCUAUCGUAUCAUCGGAUUUAUAUAUAUAUAUAUAUAUAUAUAUAUCUCUCUCUCUCUCUCUCUUAAUACGAUGAUAUGAUAGUUAUCAUAAUUCGGGAACCAUGAUAACUCAAAAGCCGGCAACCUACUUUCCUACACGACAAUCCUACUGUCGUCAGGGGCCAAGUUAACUAUCACCAUCACCAGGGGAUCCCAACUCACCCACCAACCAAAUUAUCAUACUAGAUUGCCCACCUUUACUAGUUUACCAUCUAGAUUGCCAUCUUUUGAGUUAUCAUAGUUCCCGAACAAUGAUAGCUAUCAUAUCAUCGGCCUGAGAUAUAUAUAUAUAUAUAUAAUCUUUCUGAAUUAAAAUCAAGGACUCAAACAGUAAACGAAACAUUAGGUCUUAGAGAAGUGACAUGUACGGCACGGUAGUCAUAAUAUAUAUAUAUAUAUAUAUGAGCUGUUAAUUAUUUACUACUCAUUGACUCCAAAUCAAAAAUUAACAUAAAACAACCACAUAAGAAACGGUUCAACUGCUAUAAAAAUUACUAUCUUUAAAUUGAUUUAUUUAUUACUUUUAAUCUUUAGACUACUUUUUUUUAAUUCCAGGUUGGUUUUUUUUUUCCAUCCUAUUCCCCAACCCUCAUAACUUCGUUAAUUGGGGAAGGAGGAGGGGCCAUGCCUAACGGGCCAAGUUGGCUUUGCCUGGUGUUCAAACAGACCAAGCCCGGCUUUGCCUGGCCCGGUGGAAAACAACCUAACACUGGAUCAUACCGGGUCCGGGUUUGGCCUGUCUCGGGACGAUCAGAUGCCGGGGCGGGUAAUGCCAUAUGAGAAAAUAAAAGAAUAUAUAAAAUCAAAAUUAAAAAUUUUUGAAAAUUAAUUAAAAUAUGAUAAUUUAUUUAGUAAAAAUCUAUUGGAAAGAUUUUUUAAUAAAACUUAAACUUAUCAAAUUUGAUCAAAAAUUCUUAUUUAUUUUUGUGGUUUUUUUAUAUAAUGUUUUUUCUUUUUAAUUUAUUUGUUUUCGCGGCAGGGCCAUGAAAAACAUUAAACAUUCGACUUUUACAUACCUUUUGGGGAGAUGAUAUCCUAUCAAACUUUUGGUGGAGAAGUUUAAAUAAAAAAAAUAAUUGGAGGUAAAUUAAAAGAGCCAAAAAAAAAAAAAUAAACCAUAUAGUUGAGCCAUCUAUGUUUAAAUUAAUCCUUUAUGUUAUCGGGAACAUAAGUUAAGAUAGCCUAUGAGUAAACAUAACAUAUACAUUUUUUUAUCAUAAAAUAAUUAUAUCAUCACGAGUAAAAUACUUGUUCGUUACGAUAUAUAUAUGUAUAUGAGGUUUAUCUCAUAUUUAGAAUGCGAAUAAUAAAUUCCUUGUAAUAACAUAAAUCAACAAUAGUUAAAAAAAAAUAUUAUGGUUUUUGAGGUUUUUUUUAAAUUUGAGGUGGUAAAAUCUACAUUUUACAUGUAGGAGAUAAAUCUUAUAUGGCGCUCGUAAAGAAAGUACCUGUUUAAAUCACAUAGUUAAGCCAUCUGUAUUUGCAUUCAAUGUUAGGGGGCAGAUAAUCAAGAAACUGGAUGAGAGAAGAUAUGUGAUUAUUGAUAUAAAAGACUGAUGGCUAGCCGGGAUCUCGUUCACCAUUUUCCAAACCACCAACCAUGGGCUCCACCAACCAGGGUUCAAGCUUAAGAUUAAUUAAGUAUAAAGGUUGAUUCAAAUAAAGAAUUAUUUUAUUUGCUUGAUAUAAAAGAUUGAUUAUAAUAUGCAUCCCAGGCAAACCAAGUGCUAAACAUUAUAAGGCUAAUAGGAAAUGAAAAGUAUUAAUUUUUAUAAGUUUAUUAAUGGUUUGUUGCGUUCAACCUAUCAAUAAGUUUAUUAAUGGUUUGUUGAGUUCAACCUAUCUACAUUUUCUAAUAUACUUCAUCACCCUUAGUAACAUCUAAAGAUUUAUUAUUUUUAUGAUCCAAUGAUACCCAAUGUUCUAUAAGAAUAAAAACACAGGCUACUUUUAAUAAUCAUUAAGUAAUUAUUCUUAUAUGAUCAUGAAAUGUUGAAAAGCUGAGUUUGCCGCACUAUUUAAUCAUUGUGUGAAAAGUAAAGUUUAUAUUUUAUAUAUUAAUUAUAAAAGUUUUAUAAAGUUUGGAACUAGUUUCAUAGGGAAUGAUGAAAUAAUAAUAAUAAUAAUAAUAGCCGACAUUUUAUGCUCCAUUAAAAGGCACGUUAAACGGCGAUUAAUUAGUCCUUGUUGGAAACCGAGGUUAUGGUUAGGCAACCAAUCUCUAUAGUAUGUGGUGUCAUUGGAAGUGGACGACGCACAAAGGUUAUUAUGAGUCAACAACCAGCAAUGAUAAAGGUCGUUUGCGAUUUGUCGAGACGCGACCGAGCGGCUUGUAAUAGGGCAGCUACAGGUCUAACUCCGAGCGAGGCGGCAGCUUGUGGUCGAGGUGGCGGCCGUGGAAGUGGUGGAGCACGGGCGAGUCUAACAUUGUGCACAGGUCAAGUAUCAGGCGCCCACGGCAGCACAUCAAGCGGUACACGGCCGCCUUGUGGCGCGCGUAGGGCCUCAUGCGCCGGCCGCCGUCAGACCACUAGUGGCAGGGCCUCAGGUAGUCGCAGGACCGACAGCUCUUGUGGAAGACCAAAUAUAGGUCAAAGAACGGAGGCUGAAACUAGCGGUGCUCAAAAUGCAUCAUGCAACUGCCUAGCGAGCGAAGCGCAUAGUAGCCGCACAUAGCAUACGGUCGGCCGCCCGACGGACAUGACGGCUGAUCGUCCAUCGGUCAGCUCGAGCGAUAACUGCCAUCCGUCAUCCUUUUCUAGAGAGGCAUGAAAACGCUCCGGACGCUCUAGUCGCUCCUGAGCGGCGCCGGAUUCGGCUAGUCUGGCCGUUGGGCUGGUUUGCUGGGAGACAAUACUAGCGGCGUCGGCUUGGAUUUCAAGCCGUCGUCCAGGGUCCCUGAGUCUCAUUCGCACAGCACCGACUUCAAGGGUCUCCUGGACCUGAAUAGCAGCAUAACCUAAAGCACCGCCGUGCAGGCCGGCCGUCUCGUCGCCCGUCCCAGCUCAACCCGCGUGAGUCGACUCGGCGUCACCUACGACGAUAUGCACCUACUAAACCGGCCUAGCUUUUCACCCAGCAAAACACCCAUUGUUACCAACGUCCCGAACGUGACCUCGGUCCUCUCCAGCGACGGCCACAGCUUAAGGUGCCUCUUCAGGACAAAUCCUCAAGGCUACGGGCGUAAGUACUACAUCAACGACCACGGUUGCUACAGCGGCCACACCCGUCCUUGGCUGUGCCGGGCGUUCGACGGAGACGGCCGAUACAACUUACGCCAUCUUUCUGCUGCUACAACCUCGCUCAGCUGAGCUCGAACUAGUAACAAUUACUAAACGAACACACUGCCAAAAAGGAGGAAGGUCUCACCGCUCGUGCCAGGCAUGGCUAACCUGCUGCCAGUCGGAGCUGUCUAAACUUAGACUAGUCCUUAGGUUUGUUUGUACAAAAUUCAUCCUCUUGAGGUAUCUUCCCUCGACUAUAAUGGUACUUGUAUAGUCGAGAAAUGUUAAUAUAGGAGUAGGUCACUUUUUAUCAGGUUCAGGAUAAUAAUGACCUUAACUUGAUGCGAAAGCACCUCAUGAGACAACCAAAUUUACACGAUAGUAAGACAAGAAAUUACCUUCCAGUCCAACUCAGCUCAUUGCAAGUUUUACUACCUUCCAGUUCAACCGGGCUCAGUAUAAGCUUUACUACGUUCUGACUAACCCGGCUCACUGUAAGCUCUGGACGCCUACAACAUAGGCAUACAAAAUUCACUUAACCAGUAAAUAAAAAUUGUCGAGCUCGAAAACCCUAAUUAUUAAUCGUGGUUGCUAGGCUGUUCACUAUAGUCUUAAUCACCGCGCUUAAGCUAAAGGUGUAAAAUAUAAUUGCCACGUCCACAACCUUCUACUAACAACCGAUAAAUAAUAUCCGAUUUAUACAGGUUGAAAAACGGAGUACUGUUAUCCGGGUUUCUGAUUAUUCAACUCAACCUACUCGGAUUAUUCAACUCACUCCAACUUCAGGUGUUCUCUGGAUUACCGUUUUCCGGGUUGUUAUCCGGAUUACAGAUCUACCUAACUCAAUUUAGCUUUGGGCACUCGCGACGCCAACUUGAGAAUUCAGAGAAUUCACGCUACCCACGCGAGAAGGAUAGUUGUACACAAAAACUUUAUCAACCAAUUGCGAUUGUUAGACUGUUUACCAUGGUCUCAAUCUUUAGUGCUCAAGCUAAAAGCGUACAAUGCUUAUACACGUCCACAACCCCCCUCCCUUAACAACCGAAUUUACUCGGUCAUAAGACAAGAUAUCGUCCUCUAGUCUAACCUGGCUCAGUGUAAACUUUACCGCCUUCUGGUCCAACUCGUCUUGGAAUAAGCUUCACCGCGCUUUGACUUACCCGGCUCUUCUAAAUCUUUCUUCCGAGUCGACUAUAAUCACACAUAUUCUUUUUUUUUUCAAAUUGAAAGAUAAAUAAUCAUGUUUAAAAAAAAAAAAAAAACAAACUAAAAAAAAAAAACACCAGCAUAAUCAAAUACAACUGCUCUGCUUAAAUACCAUUUUAAAACCAACUUGUGAAAACAACAUAUGAUUGAUGACUAAAAUGACCAUCAAUGAACACCUAUUAUCUAAAAGUUGUUUUCUAUGAAUUAAAAUCAGAGGCUUAAAUAAGAGUCUUUUUGCGUUUGACUUUCGAUUUUAGCUUCCUGUCUCACCGUAAGAAUGGAAAACUGCUCCUUGUUUGCCACGACCCGACGUUACCCGCGUACGAUUAAGUUGUAGAUUAAAAUAUGGGUUGUGUGUAUUUCUCUUUCCUUCUCACCUCUUGUUUUCUUCUUGUGUUGUUAACGUGUCUCACGGGUUCUUGUCUCGGUACAGUGUUUUUUUCCCUUGAAAGCACUUAUUGUGUGAACUCCGCGAACACGACCGCUCCUCCGCGGUUCCCAGCGUACGAAAUAUAUGGCUGCGGUUACAAAAACAUCCUUAUAAAGAGUGCAAAGACUACGCUGUAGAUUGUCAAAAUACACUUUACUUAUUUCGAAGCUUAUUUCUUAGUACUUACUUUUUCUUCUUAUUCUUGAGAUCACAAUUAUGAACACGAAGCCCUGGUCUUUAAAUUUGAUUCUCUCAAUAAUCAUAAACACAUGACAUAAUAAUAUAAACUAUAGUUUUAAUUAAAUAAUCAGUUUUUAUAUUCUACUCAGAAUUUAACAAAUCAUUAAAAUGUCUUUCACAUUACUCUACUCUGCGAGACCGUUGUUUGAAACUUAUNGUUUAGCAAUAUAAAAGAGUCUAAUCAAUUGAAUUUUUGUUAGAAAAUUCAUUAAGCUAUUUAAAAUGAGAUCUAGACUUUAGAUCUUGAAUACAAAAAAAAUCGUAUCAUCACUUUUUGAAGAAUAUUUAUUUUCAUUCAUUUUUUUUUUUUUUUACUUGAUGGACAAAAGAAUAAUAUCGAAAAAGUAUGAAAAUUAAUUUUUAAAUAAUUUAAAUUGUUUAAAUCAUGUUCAACGGUACUUAUUGUCGCUUUGGAAUCUUUAUCGUCGAAACCAAAUCAAUAGUAAACUGAGCUGUUUACUAAUGCCGAUCAUCGUUUUUGAAACUCUAUAUAUCAUAAAAAACAAAAUCAAUAAUAAACUAAACUGUUUACAUCUGAUAAUAGUAUUCUAGUAAACCUCUCUAUAUAUAUAAGAGAGAGGAUAGUGAAAGAAGAGAGGGAGCCAUAUAUUUCUACAUUACAAAGGGGGUGGGGGGUUUGAAUAAGAGCUCCAUUCGGUCCAAUAAAGGGGGUAGAGGGAAGGAUAGAGCUGCCACAUCAUGGAUUAGGCUAAGCCUUAUUCUUGGAUCCCAGAAUAGUGGGAGAAUAAGGCUUUGGCCAUUGCAUGGUGUGGGAGCAAUUUAUUGUGUUUAUAAUUACAUCUCUACCUUUUCCCUUGACCCACUCAUUGGACUGAAGGGAGCUCCUGCAUGCUUAUGAUCAUCCAUUAAUGCUUUAUUAAUUAUCAUCUCCUUAACUUGUUUGAUUUUAUUCUUAUUCUAGCUACUUAUUCAUGUGGAUAUAUAUGCAUAUCCACAGGGGGUUACAUUACACUUCUUCUUGUUCUUAUACUUACUGUUCUUGUUUCUCCUAUGUGGUUGGUUUAUCAUGAUCAGGAUGAGGAGGAGCAUGUGGAAAUGGGUUUCAAGUGGACCACAAGCAGCUUUGUUUCUCUCUUCUCUUUCUACUUGAGAUUAAGACAUUCUUGGUAAGAUCUUGGGUUUAUCUAUAACCCCCCACUUGUUCCUGUUCCCUAGCCUGUUCCCUGUUCCCAUAUGUAUUAAUUCAACUUUUUGAGUUAUUUAUGCUUAAAUUAUUCACAACACAACAUGUAUUGUUUAGAACAGUUAGUUGUUAUCUAUCUUUCAUAAAGGAAAGAUGACAGAGUGGUUUGAAUACUGUUUUAAGUGGGCAUAAUGAGUGCUUAAUUGUUUUCUGUGGCGUAUGUAUAAUCUUAAUAAAAUAAUUAUUUGCUUCAUUUUUUGUUUACUUAAUGUUUCAAUAACCAUCCUUUGGGUGUAUAUAAAAGCUCUUCAAUGUUUUCCAUUACAACUAAUUAAGCUUCAAAAACUGAAUCUAAUCUAAACCAUUGUAUUCGGGUGCACUUAAUUAAUUGGUUUGAGCAAUUUCCAGGUUGAGUUUUGUUGAGAACCUAGUUCAUGUACAUUUUACUAUGUACAUUUAAUUACACUGGGUUGGGCCUAAAUGUAUAUGUUGAGACACAAUCGUUUUUAGACCAAUCUGGGCCAUUAAAUAAUCAUCGCAACUAGGGGUGUCAACCAGCCCAACAAGAGCAAGUUGGGAUCGGCUCGUGUUCAGCUUGCCGAACACGAGCCGGCUCGUUAAAGUAUCGAGUUGAAAAAUUUAGCUCGUGUUCAGCUCGUUUCUGGCUCAUGACCAACAAGUUAAAAGAAUUAGAAAGGAUACAUAUAGAAAAUGAAUUUAUAAGAUUUUUAUCCAUUAGUCUUUGUUUUAAUAAUUGAAACUUUACAUAUAAAUGAGCCUCUUUAUUAAUUGAGUCGGGCUUUAUAUUUAGAUUGGACUAAAACUCAAAUAAUAAAAAUCUAUAUUUUAUAUAUAUUAUUAUUUAUUUAUAUAUAAAUAUAAAUUAUAUAAAUUAUAUAAAUAUAAAAUAUAUGUAUUCGAACUGUUAUCGAGAUGAACACGAGCGAGUUGACUCUAACUCGUGUCCGGCUCGAUUGAGAGGUGAAAAAUUCAGCUCGUGUUCAGCUUGUUUAUUAAACUAAUGAUUCAAUCUCGAACUCAUUUCGAGCCGAAUACAAGCUGACUCACGAACAGCGAGCUGAAUUGCCAUCCUAGUUAGUUGCAACUUGAGUGAGUCAAGUAGGCCAUGUGGUUAUUUUUGAUCUCCCAAAUGUUGCUCUUAUACGCGUGUUUGGUUUAAAAUAAGGAUGAUAACCGGCCCCAUGAACCAACUUUCAUACAUUUAUUUCUUUUAUAAUUUAAUUAAAUAUUGUAACUAUAUUUUUAUUUUUUAUAUAGUAUAUUAGUUAAAUAAUAUUGAUUGUUAUAUAUUUUUAGUAAUUUGAUGCAUCAUGCAGGCUUAUUGGUAAUGAAUAAAAAAUAAACUUAGUGAGAUUGAUGCACAAUAUACUACAGCAAAUUUUGCACUUAAAAAUAUUUUAAACAAUAACCAGCGAUGCUUUAAAGCAUUGUCAAGAAUAAUCUCGACAUUUGUAAAAGUGUCAAGUAAAGAAUCGUUAAAUAAAUAUGUCAUGAUAAAUAUAUAUACCGACGUUUUAAUAUAGAGUCGAAAAAUUUUUAUCAGUAUUUGAUAAAAAUAUGUUUAUUGGCGGCGCUUAAUUAUAGUAUCAAUAUAUUCCAAAUAUUAAAGACGCUAGAAUGAAUUCUAAAAUAUAUUUUAUUGUAGUGGUAUAUUACCUGCAUGCUGUGAAAACUUGAUAAAAAUUAAGGUGCACACUGAUCAAGUGACCAGAAUAAUUCCUUUCAUUGUGUAACGUCAUAGAGCAAUAGUAGGGUUAUAACUCAAAAUGAGUUGUAAAUUAAACCUACAACAGCAUCCAAAAACUAGUUUUUCUCCACUAAUCUUAUCACUGUUUUUCUUUUAAUAUAGAAUCUAAAACGGGAUUAGUAAAUCCUAAGAAUCUUUAGAUAAGAAAUUGUAGGGAUUACGAUCCCAUUUUGAUUGUAGACUUAGCGAUUCUCACAUUGAUAAUGUUUGCAUACGCUAACACAUGUAAUUACAAAACACAUUUAACAAACCAAAUCUAUUUUUGUUGGAGAGUAUAAAUAGAGUUCAAAUAAAUUAUAUACGGUUUUGGCACGAGUAUAAAUACUUUUUUUUUUUGUUUUAAUGUUAUCAGGUUACUGACAAAUCACCUAUAGGAUACAACAAAACUAUCGAAAGCUUACAAACAGCACUUAAAAGAUGUUUUUUUUUUUUUUUUAAUUCUCUCUUAAAAAUUGGUGUGAAAAUUAAGAAGAAGAGAGGAUUGGGUGUAUUUUCUAUGAAGCCUUCAAUUAUUUUCUUAUUUAUAGGAUAUGAAUGGUUAUGAUUAAAAGAUCUAACAUUUAAUAUUACAUCUUUUCACAAAUUAAAGGGCACACUCAUUUAGUAACAAUCCGGUCUUGUAGCAAUAAUAACUCGUUGGUUCCAAAUUACCGGCCUAAAAUGUUUAAGUACAGUUAUAAUUAAUAAUAUCCAUGGUCUCUUAUAUAUCCAAUAAUAACUUCAUUCCUAUCUGAUAUAAGAUUAUUCGGGUGUAACAUCAUACAAAUAUUAGAGUGAUGCAUUCUUUUACAAAUACAGAAGGGACAUCUCGUUUCACUAAUAUUAGAAAAACGGGCUUUUUUUGCAUUUAGACCCCUGACAAAUUUUUAUUUUAAAAAUAGCCCUGUUAAAAUUUAAUUUGUAAAAAUGGCCCUGGGCCUGCCACGCAGGCGCCACGUCAGCGCCACGCGGGCAGGGCUGGGCCCGUGUGUUAAGUUGAACACGGUGAACCAUUCACCGUGUUCAAACACGGUGAAUGGUUCACCCUGUUUAGUACAUAUUUUUUGACACAUAUAUUGAAAAGUGGAAUAAGGAGUAGGGAUGUCAAUAGAUAUGGAUAUACGAAAUAUUAUCCGAAUCCAAACCCGAAUAAAUUAUAUAUAUACGUAAUUUAUUUUUGUUUAUUUAUACAAUAUAUAAAAUAUUUAAUAAUUUUUAUUCCUUAAAUCUUCAUCCAACCCAGCGGGCCGUUGGAUGAAGAUCUAAAGAAUAAAAAUUAUUAAAUAUUUUAUAUAUUGUAUAAAUAAACAAAAAUAAAUUACGUAUAUAUAUAUAAUUUAUUCGGGUUUGGAUUCAGAUAAUAUUUCGGGUAUCCAUACCUAUUGACAUCCCUACUCCUUAUUCCACUUUUCAAUAUAUAAAAAAUACGUAAGAAACACGGUGAACCAUUCACCGUGUUUAGACACGGUGAAUGAUUCACCGUGUUCAACUUAAUACCCUGGCCCCAGCCCUGCCCGCGUGGCGCUGACGUGGCGCCUGCGUGGCAGGGACAGGGCCAUUUUUGCAAUUUUAAUUUUGAUAGGGCUAUUUUUAAAAUAAAAAUUGCUCAGGGGCCUAUUUGCAAAAAAAGCCCUAGAAAAACAUAUCUCUUCAUGACUUAGACAUAUUGUUUUACAAAAAACAUAUUACUAGUAAAUGAAAAGACAUAUCUUUUCAUUAAAAAAAAAAAAAGAAGCUAAUUGUACAGAAAACACAACCAUUCAUUAAUUUUAGUUCUUCAAAUUAUUUUCUCACUUUUAUUAAUACUUUUAAUAAUACAACCUCACUAACAACUUGAGUUAUUAAAAAUUAGGAUUUAUAAUUUAUGAUUCAUGUAGAAAAUGACAAUUGUUAGAAUAAAAAUAUCAGAAAUAAAACGUGAUGUUAAAUAUAAUACAAAACUAUGUAUUUUUCUUCGAGGGUGGAAUUAAUGGCCAUUUUGUAGAAGAAAAGUCAACUUUAACCAGUUAGCUAAUAGAGAGGAAUAUAUUACAAAUUACAUAAUCUUGGAAGAAACAUAUUUGAUAAUUAAAACUUUGUAGGGAAAAGAUAUGUAAUUUUAUUUCUUUAUAGCAAUACAUAUGCAAUUAACCGUCUAUUGCAGUAUUAUUAAUUUGUUGGGAAAACUUCAAAUAACAUCUCCGUGGUUUCGCACUUUCUUACUUUAGUACUCUGUGGUUUAAAGUGUAUUACUUUCAUACUCUGUGAUUUUAUUUUUCUCUUUUUGUUAUUCUCUCCGCUAAUUUUUUUCGUUAAAUCAGUAACAAAGUUAAAACUAAAGAAUACUAAAGUGAAUAUUUGAUAAACUAUAGGUGGGGUAUUUGAAGUUUUUUUUUAUAUGAUUUAACGAAAAGUUAACGGAGUGACUGACGAAAAGAGAAAAAUGAAAUCACUGGGCACUAAAUUGAUACAUUUUAAACCACAGGGUAUAAAGUAAGAAAGUGCGAAACCACAUAGAUGGUAUUUGAAGUUUAUCCUUAUUUGUUUCAAUGGACAAGUUAGCAAUGCAUAUCUAAAUAUUUAAUUCAAUUGCCAAAAUGCAAGGAUGAUUCCUUACUUAUAUGACAAUAAACCUUAAAUUUUUAAGAAAAUAUUAUUUAAUAAAUGAGAUAAUUAUUUAAAUAUAUUAGUGUGUAAUAUUAUAUAUAGGGAAAGUGAUGCACAACUUAUAAUACUUGUACUAAUAAUAGAAAAAAAAGAAGAAGAAUCCUUUACGUACAUUUGAAGUACAUUUUGCACAUGAAGCAUUUUGAUUUGCCAUGGAGAGUACAUAUAUAUGCAUGCUUGUUUUACUAUCAUUAAUAUUCUAAAAGGUUUAAAUGAACGCGCUUUUUUAAAAAAUUGUACCUAAAGCUAGAAAUGGAAUAUAUGUACUAGAAUAAAUUUCAAAUAUUUUUGUUUUACGAUAUAACAUUAAGUAAUUUAAUACAUUUUUUUUUUCAAAAUAUCCAUAUUUAAUGGAAUAUUUUGUCAAAAUAUUGCAAAUACUGUUAGUUAUGUAUGUACUAGAAUAAAUUAUAAUAUAUGCAUCAAACAUGCAGAAAAGCUAAGAAAUGGCAAAAUAAAAAUAUUUAAAAUGAAAUUAUACAUUUCAAAUUAAACACGAGAUCACGAUCUCAUCGGUGGUAAAGAAUCUACUUUAAGAUCCGAGUUAGUUCUCGAAUGAUGGGAUUUCUUCUCAUACAUCAACAAUAUUUUGAUUUUAAAAUUUGAAUAUAUCAUUUAUUUUUAUAGAUUGAGUUAGUACUUUUCAUACAAUUCUUAUAACUAUAAAUUAAUCAAAAUAAGCAAUUAGUUUAAAUUUUAAAGUCAAAAGUAACGUUGAAACUCAAAUCAAACAACUUAAAAAAGUAGGAUUAGGACAAUCAAAAUUUUGAAAGGUUCAGUAGUAGACGAGUCAAAAUGAUAAACAGUUAAGUUUUUAUAUGUUUUUAUCCUAAUCCUGAUGCCUAAUUACCAUAAUCUACAAAGGAGUAAUAAUAUUUUAUUUUGUUAUAGUUUGAAUUUCUCUAAGACCAUAUGCAAGACAUAUGAUACAAAUUAGAAAUAUUUAAUUAGUAAUACUUCACUUAAGAAAAUAUCUAUUACAUAAUUUAACAAAAUUAGAAAGACUAAAAAUUAUAAUGAGUUGAGCUGAAAUGUUAUCGAAUUAUAAUGAGUUGAGCUGGAAUGCUAUCGGUAGCAAGUGAGCUCUAUUGCCGAAAAUAUUUAACAUUUGGUUUUUAGAUACUUCAAGUGAUAUAGAUCAUGUUCAACAAUACUAAUCGUCGAUAUAGGCGUUCCAUCAAUAAAAAUAAAUUGGUGGCAACGAAACUCGUUUGCUACUGAUAGCAUUCCAGCUCAACUCAAUUAUAAUUGUUAAAAAGUCACUUUACAAAUUAAUGUAUAAAAGUUUAAGGGCAUUUGUACAUUUAUUUUUCCUGUUUUUUAAGAGGAGACUUUAGCACCUGAGCAAUGCAAUAUAUACAUCCCAAUCGGGGUAUAUAUUUUACAUUUCACCCAUCUAAUACAUGGGACGAUUUUACUAGUCACUUGAUGUGAUUAGCGAUUCACUUUCACCCAUUAGAUUGGUGGGUUGGAAUUAACUUGUCCAGUCAGAUUGGGGCCUUCAAGUAAUAUUUUUUUUUUUGGAAAAACUUCAAAAAACCCUCAUGUGGUUUCGCACUUUCUCACUUUAGUAUUCUGUGGUUUAAAGUGUAUCAAUUUGCCCCCCUGUGGUUUCAUUUUUCUCUUUUUAGUAUCAAUUUUAUUAUUUUUUUUCUUAAAUCAGUAACAAAGUUAAAAUUAAAGAGUACUAAAGUAAAUAUUCGAUAAAUCUAGAUGGUAUCUGAAGUUUUUUUGUAUAUAAUUUAGCAAAAUAUUAAGGAAAAAGAUCCCAAAAAGAUUAAAAAGAAAACCACAGAGGGGCAAAUUGAUACAUUUUAAAGCAUAUGGUACUAAAGUGGGAAAGUGUGAAAUCACAUGAGGGGUUUUUGAAGUUUUCCCUUUCUUUUUUUACUGGCUAAAUUAUACUUUGAUCCUCAAACUAUGACGUGCAUGAUAUCUUGGUUCCCAAACUAAUUAUAGCUCAAUCUUUUUUUAUUAUUAUAAUUAAAUCUCACAACUUAAUUUAGUAGAUUAAAUAUUAAUGUGUUGCUAAUAGAGGAGUGAUGUAUUAAUAUUAUGAUUGAUGACGUGAUAAUAAGUAAUUAGGAUGUUACAUCAAUCUACAUCAACGAUAUGUUAAUAUUUAAUCUACUAAAUUAGAUUAUGAGAUUUUAUUGCAAUAAUUUAUAAAUUUAAGGCUAGAGCCAUAAAUUACAACGAUAAAAAAUAUGAGGAUCAAAGUGUCACACGCCUCAAAGUUUUAGGACCGAAAAUGUAAUUUAGCCUUUUUUUUAAUUUAUAUUACAAUAAGUUCAGAACCUGCAUGCUAGCUAUCGAGAAACUACGGCUCCAUCUCCAUUCCAACAUGCUUUGUAGUUCGAGAGAGAGAGAGAGAGAGAGAGAGAGAGAGAGAGAGAGAGAGAGAGAGUUAGACUAAUAUAUUUUCAUAAGUACAAAAAAUUUCAUAUUUGUAAAUUAUUUUCGAUAGUAGAACAUUAGAUUCGACGAUCGAUUUCUUUAGAUAUGAUCUACAGUGUUGGAAUUAUCUAUAAAUCAAAUUUUAUAAUUUUUUGAUUUUGUUUGGCUAGUAAACUAGUAGCCUCAAAAUAAAUAGCGGACAGUAAAAACCUUAUAAAGAAUAGUGAUAAAAGAUUUAAAAUUUUUAAAUCAAAAGUGUUGAUUUUGCUCUGGGUAAUAAGUAGAAUUUUUUUAUUAAGGUUUUAUCUAACUUGGAUUGUUCUAUACCGUUGAACUUACAAACGUAUCAUAUCGGUUAUGAAAAUGUCGUUUCAAGACUUUUUGAUCAUUUGGUAAAUGAUGGCGAAAAAUUAUGAAAUUUGAUUUCUAAAUAAUUCUAAUAAUGUAUAUCAUAUCUAAUGAAGCCGACCGUUGAAUUCGAUAUUUUAUCAUCGAAAAUAACUUUCAAAUACGAAAAUCUACAUACUUUUGAAAUCACACAGGAUUAAUAUAUAUAUAUAUAUAUAUAUAUAUAUAUAUAUAUAUAUAUAUAUAGAGAGAGAGAGAGAGAGAGAGAGAGAGAGAGAGAGAGAGAGAGGGAGGAGCCUUCUGUGCUUGCAGGUCGUUNNNNNNNNNNNNNNNNNNNNNNNNNNNNNNNNNNNNNNNNNNNNNNNNNNNNNNNNNNNNNNNNNNNNNNNNNNNNNNNNNNNNNNNNNNNNNNNNNNNNNNNNNNNNNNNNNNNNNNNNNNNNNNNNNNNNNNNNNNNNNNNNNNNNNNNNNNNNNNNNNNNNNNNNNNNNNNNNNNNNNNNNNNNNNNNNNNNNNNNNNNNNNNNNNNNNNNNNNNNNNNNNNNNNNNNNNNNNNNNNNNNNNNNNNNNNNNNNNNNNNNNNNNNNNNNNNNNNNNNNNNNNNNNNNNNNNNNNNNNNNNNNNNNNNNNNNNNNNNNNNNNNNNNNNNNNNNNNNNNNNNNNNNNNNNNNNNNNNNNNNNNNNNNNNNNNNNNNNNNNNNNNNNNNNNNNNNNNNNNNNNNNNNNNNNNNNNNNNNNNNNNNNNNNNNNNNNNNNNNNNNNNNNNNNNNNNNNNNNNNNNNNNNNNNNNNNNNNNNNNNNNNNNNNNNNNNNNNNNNNNNNNNNNNNNNNNNNNNNNNNNNNNNNNNNNNNNNNNNNNNNNNNNNNNNNNNNNNNNNNNNNNNNNNNNNNNNNNNNNNNNNNNNNNNNNNNNNNNNNNNNNNNNNNNNNNNNNNNNNNNNNNNNNNNNNNNNNNNNNNNNNNNNNNNNNNNNNNNNNNNNNNNNNNNNNNNNNNNNNNNNNNNNNNNNNNNNNNNNNNNNNNNNNNNNNNNNNNNNNNNNNNNNNNNNNNNNNNNNNNNNNNNNNNNNNNNNNNNNNNNNNNNNNNNNNNNNNNNNNNNNNNNNNNNNNNNNNNNNNNNNNNNNNNNNNNNNNNNNNNNNNNNNNNNNNNNNNNNNNNNNNNNNNNNNNNNNNNNNNNNNNNNNNNNNNNNNNNNNNNNNNNNNNNNNNNNNNNNNNNNNNNNNNNNNNNNNNNNNNNGAGAGAGAGAGAGCACGGCUGCUGUGCUCUCAGGAGCACGGAGGCCACGAUCGGCUUCGUUAGACUUGAUCUAGCGUAUUUGAAGUAUGUAGAAAAUAAAUUUUAUGAUUUUUCGAUAUUAUUUACUUAGUGAUUGAAAGGGUCCAAAAUCAACGACUGAAAAUAAAAAUCUCAUAAAAAGUGAUGAUAUAGUACUAAAAUUUUCGAUCAGAGAUAUUGAACUUGUUGUAGAUAGUAUAAAUAAUUUUCUAUCAGAAUUUCAUCUGAUUUGGAUACUUCUACACCGUUAAACUUAAAACGGCAGAUAUCGACCAUUAAAAAUUGUUGAUUUUGAAUCUUUUCGAUCACUAAGUAAACGAUAUCGAAAAAUCGCAAAAUUUAUUUUCUACAUACUUCAAAUAUGCUAGGUCAAGUCUAGCGGAGCCGAUCGUCGAUUCGGGAGUCCCAUCAUCAAAAAAGGCUCAGGAGCACGGAGCCUGAAGGCUCCGUGCUCCUGAGAGCACACAAGACCUAUUCAUGUAGAGCAGGGCUGCUGUGCUCUCAGGAGUACAGAGCCCUCUGUGCUCUUGAGCUGUUUUCGAUUAUGGAACUUCCGAAUCGAUGAUCGGCUCCGCUAGACUUGAUCUAGCAUAUUUCAUUAUAGAAAAUAAAAUAAAUAAAAAAUAAAAUUAAAUAUAUAUAUAUUAUAUAUAAUAAUUAUAUAUAUAUUAUAAGAAUAUAAUAUAUAUAUUAUAUAUUAAAUAAACAUAUAUAACACGGCUCUGCUCCAGACACGGAGCCUCCGUGCUCCGAGCCGUUCGAUGAUUGAGUUUCGAUCGACGACGCUUCUCGUUAAACUUGAUCUCCGUAUUUAAGUCUAAAAAAAUUUUUUAUGAUUUUCGAUAUCAUUUACUCAAGCAAUCUAUAAGAUCAAAAUCAAUAAUUUUUAAACGCUGAAAAUUAAAAAUCCUAUAAAAUAGUGAUAAGCAAUAAUUUCGAUCCGAAUAAUAUAUCUGUAGAUAGAAUCAAGAAUUUCUAUCAACACUUUCAUCUAUUAAAUACUUACUAUAAUCCCGUAAACUUGAAAACGCAAAAUAUCAACCAUUAAAAAAUUAUGGAUAUUGAAUCUUCGAUCAACUAAUAAAUGAUAUCGAAAAUCGCAAAAAUUAUUUUCUAGAAACUUCAAAUCGGCUAGAUCAAGUCUAACGGACCUGACGUGCGAUUCCGAAAAUUCCAUCAUGAAAACGCUCAGACACGAGCCUACGCUCCCUGAAAGACCCCACAAAAAAAAGCACCCCUGCUCUAUAUAUAUACUUAUAUAUAAUAUAUAUAUAUAUAUAUAUUAGGCUGCGGCCUCUCAGGACACAGAGGCCUCCGUGCUCCUGAGUCGUUUUCGAUGAUGAAGUUUCCGAAUUGACGAUCAGCUCCGUUAAAUUUGAUCUAGCAUAUUUGAAGUUUUUAGAAAAUAAUUUUUGCAAUUUUUCAAUAUCAUUUAUCUAGCAAUCGAAAUAAUUCGAAAUUAAUAAUUUUUAACGGCUGAAAAUAAAAAUCCUAUAAAAAGUGGUGAUAUAGUACUAAAAUUUUCGAUCAGAAAUAUUGAUCUUGUUGUAGAUAGUAUAAAAAAUUUUGUAUCAAAAUUUCAUCUGAUUUGAAUACUUCUACACCGUUAAACUUGAAAACGACAGAUAUCAAUCAUUAAAAAUUAAGGAUUUUGAAUCCUUUCGAUCACUCGGUAAUGAUAUCAAAAUAUCGCAAAAAAUAUUUUCUGGAAACUUCAAAUGCGCUAGAUCAAGUCUAACGGAGCCGAUCGUCGAUUCGAAAAUUCCAUCAUCGAAAACAGCUCAGGAGCAUAGAGGCCUCCGUGCUCCUGAGAGCACAGCAGCCCUGCUCUAUAUAUAUAUAUAUAUAUAUAUAUAUAUAUAUAUUAGAGAUAAAAUAUUUUUAGUAGUAUGGAAUCAAUAUUUACUAUUAAUUUUUUUCAACUAUUAGAUAUCUAAGAUUUAUUGGUGGUUGAUGAAAUAGUAAUAAUUUAAGGAUAUAUAGAAAAGUUUAUAGUAAAUACUAUUCAUAUUUAUUAAUGGUAUACUGAAUGAACACACACACUCUCUCUCUCUCUCUCUCUCUCUCUCUAUAUAUAUAUAUAUAUAUAGUAGGGUAUUAUGUGUUACUGGAUGCACCGAAGACUUUGUACUCCUAAACCGUUUUUUAUGAUAGAAAUUUCGAAUCGACGAUCGACUCUGUUAGACUUAAUCUAAUAUAUUUGAAGUAUCUAAAAAAUAAAUUCUAUAAUUUUUCGAUAUCAUUUAUCUAGUGAUCGAAAAGAUUCAAAAUCAACGGGUGAAAAUGAAAAUUUCACAAAAAGUUUGAUAUAAUGCUAAAAUUUUCGAUUAGAAAUAUUAAUCUUAGUGUAGAUAAUAUAAAAAUUUUUUAUAAAAAUUUCAUCUGAUCUGAAUAUAUCUAUACAAUUAAACUUGCAAACGGCACACGUCAAUCAUUAAAAAUUAUUGAUUUUAAACUCUUUUGAUCAUUUGGUAAAUGAUAUAAAAAAAUCGUAAAAUUUAUUUUCUAGCUAAUUCAAAUACACCAAAUCAAUUCUAACGAAGCCGAUCAUCGAUUCGAAAGCUUUAUAAUCGAAAACGACCUAGAAAUACGAAGUCUCUGCCUUUAAUAGCCCAGAAGACCUACUCAGUCUAUAUGCAUCCCCCCGUUCACUUCUCCCUCCUAUCCACACUAUUCUCUCAUCUUAAUUCUCUCUUACUCCCCUCAACUACUACGCGUGUGUGUAUAUAUGUAUUCUUGUUCCACUCCGGAUUCUCUCCCUGCCUAUAAGCAGAAGUCGGCGCCGAGAGUGAAGAAUGAGCUGCAACGGCUGCCGCGUCCUCCGCAAGGGCUGCAGCGCGGGCUGCGCCAUCCGGUCGUGCCUGCAGUGGAUCCGCAGCCCCAACUCCCAGGCCAAUGCCACCGUCUUCCUCGCCAAGUUCUACGGCCGCGCCGGCCUCCUCAACCUCAUCUCCUCCUGUCCCCUCCACCUCCGCUCAUGUACGUACAGACUAUAUAUCAAAACAUGCACCGUUCUCUAACAACUAAAUUUUUCAAAAAAAAUAAAGUACUGUAAUGUUUGUUUGUUUUUCUGUUCUGUACAUGUGACAGCUAUUUUUCAGUCGUUGUUAUAUGAGGCCUGCGGUCGGGUUCUAGACCCGGUCUGUGGGUCCGUCGGCCUGCUGUGGUCCGGCAAUUGGCAACUCUGCCAAGCCGCCGUUGAGGCCGUCUUGAAAGGCGUGCCAAUCACGCGAACGCCCGCAACGUUGUCCGGCGGCGGGGUCCCGCCACUCAAGACCUACGACAUCCGCCACGUGGCCAAGAACACCGACCGGCUUGGUGCCGCCGCCAAGUCCCGGUCCCGGUUCAAGCGGUCCGGAUCGGCACGCCGCAAGCCCGAAGUGGAACUCGUUGACUGGACCGAGUUUCACCCGGCCGAGCCGAGCCACGAAUCGGACCGGGAAAGUGAUAGCAAAGGUGGUCCGGUCGGGUCCGCCGACGGUUCGCAUGUGAGCCAAGCCGAGCCGAUACGAGCCAAGCUGGUGCUCGGCGUGGAGGAGAAUUGCGGCGUGGCCUUGGAUCUCAGCUUGAGCCUUCUCACAGCGGUUCAACCCGCCUGACCGGGAGCCGGUCCGGUUGAGCCGGACCGCUGGUCCAGUGAGGACCAAUUAAAAUAUGACACGCGUCCACCGGAGCGCCCUGUUUUACUAAUUAUUUCCAUAUGUUGAACUUUUAUUUUAAUUUUUGUUAGCUGCCUCUCAAAAAUGAUUUGGUUUGUGGAGAAUGAUUAUGAUCAACACGAAUUUUCUUAGUGGAUGCAUGGUUCACAACUAAUCUAAGUUACACUAAUUUCCAACGGACAUUAGGGCAUAUUUGGUUCAUCUAUUUUAAACUAUGGAACAGAAAUUGAAUUCAUUGAAUCCGAUAGUUAUCAUUUGUUUUAUAAAAAUCGAAUUUCGAUUUUCAUUUCACUCCGGAGUAGAAAUGAUCAAAUCUAUUUAUGACCUAAUCCAGUUUUGAAUUUCAGAUUGACUCAUUUCAAAAUAAAUUAUUCAAAAUUUUUUUUUACCAACACUUUUUUCCACUCUCUUCAUCACUUUUCUGUUUCUUAAUCAAAACCCCUCUCUAAAAAGUUUUAAAAAUUUUUAGUCCAAUUGACAUUCCAAUAAUGAAUCAAAUAUUUUUGAAUAAUUCUUCAUUUCAUUUUUUAUUCCUAAACAAUCUAAUUUUAUUUGUUAUUCCUAAUCCACUGAUGAACUAAACAUGCCUUUACUGUGUAUCCAAAUGAAAAAAAAAAAAAAAUCCAAUGUGUCAGAACUGACUGUUACAAAACUAAUGGAUAAAUUAAUUACUGAAUUGUAAUUGCGUAAAUCCAAAUGCUCCUGAAGUGUCAGUAUUAUUGAAAGGCACCAUUUAACUAGUCUUUUUUUUUUUUUCAAUUUCUAUACCAUAAGCAAUUAACCUAUAGUUUUACAUAAAAACUGUUAAAAAAUAUUAGUUAAAUGCAUUAGAGCAUUUAUUCAACUUAUUUUGACACAAAAAUAAUAAAAUAUAUAUAAAUAAUAAAAAAAUAAUUAAAAAUAAUUUGACGGAAAUUUUUAAUGAGUCAAUCACGAAGAUUUAUCUUAUAUAUUUUUUUCAAUAUUUAGCCAAUGUCACCUGAUAAAGCGGUUAAAUUUUGUCUAAAAUAAUAGUUUUGUUAAUAGUAAUAUAGAGAUUGACGAUAAAAGAAGAGUGAUAAAUGAGAAAAGAAAUAGUAUACGGUAGAGAGUUAAAAAUAAUAUUAAAUACAGUGUAGAGAUUAAUAAAAAUACAAUAAUAUAAUGGUGUUUUUGAAAAAAAAGUACAAUAUAGCAAAUAAAAAUAAUACUAAAGUACAGUGUAGACUAAAGUACAGUACAGUACAGUAUAACUAAAACCUUUUAAAAAAUGACAAAUAAACAGUAAUUUAGUGCUAUGGUAUAUAUGCAUUGGUGUCAUAUAUAGAACAUGGUUUUUGGCUAUUCUUGUUACAAGGGAAACUCAUGCAAUGCCCACUGUUUUCAUAUAAAUUUAAGAUCAUAAUAAUAGAUUAGGAAAUAUAAAUAGAAAUAAUAAUGGGUAACUUAUGUAAGCCAUGAAACUUAAAGUUUUAUUCUAGUUUAAGAUAAUUUUUAAAAUUUAUGUGACAUCAAUUAAUCACAAACUGUGAACUUUUUAUGCUCCUUGCUUGUGAUCAAGUUAAUUCCUUUUUAACUUUGAUUUUAGUAGCUUCAAUAAGUGCCGUUCGAAAAUCUUUUUUUGAGUUUCUUGCUAAACUAAUUAAAAGCUUUACAUUCUUUUUAUUUUGUCUGAUGCUUAAUUUCUACUUGUAGAAUGGAACAAGUUAUUUUUUUGGAAUUAAUUCUACUUUUAAAAGUUGAAAAAAAAAAGAAGAAAACUUGUUAUACCAAAUUAUCAAACUUCUACUUACAAGACCGGAUCCAAAACUACGAAAGGUAGAGUUGACUUCUUAACUUAUAAUUAAGUUAGAUUAAACAAUACAACUUUUUCGACUUCAUAUCCACCUUUAAUAUCAUAUAUAUGUAAUUCAAAGGUAGAUUUUAUUAUCGAACAUAAUUUUAUAUUCACAAUAAAACAUAUUUGUUCUUAGUUAUCACUAUUCAAUUAUUAUUUUUGACCAGAUUUAAUAAUUUUGAUCUGUUUUUGGUAAAUAUAUGACUAUGUCAAUAUCACUAUCUUACUUAAAAUAACUCUCUAUAUGCUAUUAUGAAAUUUUUUGGAUACUUAGAAAGCAUUAGUAACUCUUUUCUUAACCUCAGUAAGUUGUUUACGCGUUUCAUGAUGUACAUCUUUAGACCUAAGCAAUGACAAAAGCAAAGCACAUUACCAGUUCAUUAGCCAAUAGAGUUAAUUACUUGGCUCUAAAUCCAUUUUACAUUUCUUAAAUUUCUCCAAAAUUCUAGAAGUUUCCAGAGAGUCCUUUGGAUACUUUAAAUUCAUAAAAUAAUAAGGGGCGCGUGGUCUCCACAGGACGCACUCCCACAUGGCAAUAUUGGUACAACCCCCUUAUGCUAUAAUAAUAAUAUUAUUAUUAUUUUAUUAUUUAUUACUAUAACAAGUACAUCUAGAUUACCUACCAAAUUUGACCCACAAAAGAAACUACGCGUUUGGAGAAAUGGAAAAAAAAAAAAAAAAAAAAAAAAAUCAAACCCUAGUCAAUUAGUAGUGUGUUCUUAUAAAUCUUCCGUCAUUGAACUUCCUAUUCAAGAAGCAUAUGCACACAUAAUAAGUCAUUUUCGAUGUUAUUUUAUUGUGAAUAUUUUGAAUACUUAUGCUUAAAGUUUGUGUCUUCUUUUGAUAAAUUAAUGCCCUUGUUGUUUGGUUUUUCAAUCAAGUUGUAAGGUUUUUAUCCACAGGGACCGGCCGAGGGUUUACUGCGCACACUUUAAAUCCUUAUUGCACACGAGCGUAGCGAAAAGUAGAAUCUUAUAUAGAUAAAAAUAGACGAGAACAAAAAUAAUAAAGUAAUAAAGAACAAAAGAGCAUAAGAUAUUUAAGCGAGUUUGAUCUAUAGAGUGCCGACCUACGUCCACGACUAAGGCCUUCUGAUCAAUAUAUAUGUUCUUCAAUUAAUGCAUGGCAAAAUAAAUAUAAAGGAAUAGAUUGGAUUACAAGAAUACCUUUUUAGGCUCUCUUCUAUUUUUUUCUCUCAUAAUUUCUUAAGGUAUUAUAUAUAAUGAAGCUCUAAUUCAAAUUCAAAAAUAUGAAUUAUGAGGGUUUAAAACCUAAAACCCCAAAUCAAGUAGGAAACGAUCUACCGUCCACUUUAAUCUUUGAUUCACUUCUAGCAACCAACAUCCUUCUAAAACCCUCUCCAAAAUGUUUUAGGGCCAUUUCUUCACUUAAUAGCACAAAAUUAGAUCCAAGUUGAAGUCGAAUCCAAGUUAACCAAUUCGCCAUGUCUUGAGUACCUAUACUAUGACGAGGAUUACAGAUUUGUGCAUCAUUCCAGCGUAUGAGUACCACAGUACUCACAAAUGAGUAUUGAUACUGGCCUGUGAUCAACUUAGCCAGUAACACUUUCGGGUGUUGAGAAACUUCAACCUGAACAUCGAUACUCCUUGGAGUUCUGUUACUCGAAUAUUAUUUUUGGUACUUGACAUUCAAAAAUCUCAAAAUCUUUGAAUUUUUUUUGUAAUAUCAACUCCAAAUGUAACUUCAUAUAAUCCUGUGCCAUAUGUGUAAAUCUUAUAUUACUCUAAUCUAUCCAUGGCUAGAAUUUUUUUACUCGAUCUUAUUAAAUUUUUUAAAAUCUUUUGUAAGAAUCCUAAUUGAAUUUUUUAAACUUAUGAAGAAAAUAUAUAUAUAUAUAUAUAUAUAUAUAUAUAUAUAUAUAUAUAUAUAUAUAUAUAUAUAUAUAUAUAUAUAUAUAUAUAUAUAUAAAAGAUGUACCUUAAACAUUAAGGCACAUUGGGUGAUAAAAUUACUAGCGUGUGGAGUACACGUACGAACCAUGUGGGGUUUGUACUACAAAAGCUAAAUAAUAGAGCUAACCCAAUUUAGAAUUUAAUAAAAUAAAAAUAUGACCCAAUAGGGUUAAUAAAAUAAGUCAUAGAUCUACUAUGAAUUUGAAAAGAAUAUAUAGCCACGUCGUAUGAACAAUGUGAGAUUCUCUUGUCAUUUGAAAAGAAAUAAAAAAUGAAAAUUCUAUAACAAGACAAAAUCUUGGAAAAUUGUUACCAUGAAUUUACGUGGAGUUUUGGUAACUGGUGAAAGGUCACAUUAAUCAAAUGUUCUUUUUUACUUUUUCACAUAAAUAACUUCUUCAUAUACAGUUAAAUAUUAUUUUAAAUAAAAUUUUUUUUACAUUUUUUUUUCUCUUCUAGUAAUGACGAAAAAAGAAUAAACGUACAGUUUCACGUACGUACCAAAUGAACUCAUUGUCGCUUAAGCUUUCGCUAUAGCAAAAAAUUAAAUUGACAUUAAUUCAAGGCACAGUGCGAAGCUCUUUUUUGAAAAGAAAUAAUUAUCUACGUACCCUUCAAAAUAUAAAAAAUAUUUUAUUUAUUCCUAAAAUUUUGUUUUUUUUUUUUUUGAGGAAAAAAUUUUGUUAUUGCACGUAGAAAAUAGUUUGAGUGAACCAUGUGCAGUUAAAUCACAUUUUGUUAUUGCACUAACUCACUUUUUAUGCAUAACAUAUAUCAUUGCACCUAAUACAUUUUGUAUGCAAUUUCAGAUAGAGUAAAUUACGUUGAAACGUUCAAAUUAAUACUAUGUAUUAUAUUUUGUAUAUGGAUGUUAUUGCAUCUAUUCUAUCAAAGUCUUUGAUUUUUAGAAUCUAGAAAUCAGUUGAGUCGCUUUUCCAUUAUUCAUUUGAAACUUAUUUUUCAUAAAGAUUUAUUAGAGUCUGUUUGGUUCAACGUAAAACUAUAAAAAAUAAUUCUAGGUGGAAAAGAGUUUUUCAUGGAAAAAAUAAUAUUCUUUGACGUUUGGUUUGUAGGAAAUGAAAAAUAGCUUUCUAGCCAUACUUAUUUGGUUAAAUGGAAAAGUUUGAAUGAAAAAUAAUUUUAUAUAAUUUUUUUCUAUUAUAUAUUAUGCAUUAUUUAUAUGAAUAACUACCAUAUUAUAUAUAUUAUAAUUAAAAUUUAUAUCUAUAUAUAUUAUCACCAUCAUCAUCUACAUUUAUAAAUUAAAUAUAUUCAAAAUUAUAUUAUAUAAUAUAUAAUAAUUUAUAUGUAUAACAUAAUAUAUAAUAACACAUAUAAUAUAUAAUAUAUCAAUAUAUUUAAAAAUAAAAUAUUAUACAAUAGUACCUUCUCGAGUCCUUAUCACGGACAAGUCUCCUAAACUUAACAGCGGAAUACCAAUUCAAGCAUUUUGCCAAGCUUGCUCCUCGCGAGACUUAUAGCCCGACCCUUCGCCUGUAAUCGAACCCCUCGUCGGACUCCUCGAGUUCCCAACGAGCAACCCCAAUACCGAGGUUGGCCACCAAGUAAGGUGCAUCCCGUUUCGCCAACCGAUCUCUCCUCGAGAGUGCUUCAUAACCGAAUGCCUUGCUGCCUUCAUCACUAGCCCAAGAACAUUACAAAUUCUCCCCCAACUUGUCUCAUUAUGAGUUUAGCCAAGCGUCUCGCCUCCCACGCGUCUCGCUCUCGUGACUUAAUCUGCACGCCUCCAACGUCAAGGCCUGGGCUUCGCAACAUCGCAUGCCACAAAGGGCAAUCAUAACCAUGUAUUUCUCACCAUCGUGCCUCAAGCGCUUGACAACGUCCAUGGCCAUACCGUAUACGCGGCCUGCUCGCUCGGUCCAACGGCAUACAUCCGAAAAGCCGCCCAAGUGUGCGCCACAAGCUCGCCUGUCUCCCAAUGCCAGCGACUUAGCGUGACACCCCGCACGCCCAUGCUUCGUACUUCCGUGCUUCACAUCCGACCCGUACGGCUCUCGUGUCCCAUCGCUCCUGGCAAGGGAGCCAACAAGUCAACACCGUGCUUCCCGACCGUCUCGACGACCCUUGUUUUGCCAUGGCGCUCCACGCCCUUGGUUCCCAUAGGUUCGCCUCGUAAGGCCCCAUACAAACGAACCGGCCUCACUCCGCAUCGCUAGCCACUGGCCCCUUUUUAGCUCGACCAUGCCUAACCGUUCACACCAUUGGUCCAGUCCAUCAAGGUUCACUAUACGGAUACCGAUACCGCUUACCUCUUUGGGUUCCGCCCCUCGAGUCUCGUAGGCAUCCCACCUUGCGAAUUCUCCCCCGGCGUGCCUACCUUUAGCGAGCCAACAGAGUUCCGCCUCUUUGGCAUUCGUGGGCACCGCGCCCCACGAAUCCCCGCUAAGCACACUUGCCUUCGCGAGUCUUGUCCUUUAUGGAGGACCAUCCGUUGCUAGACUAUCCCUCAUCCGCUCGUACGCUCCACUACGAAGAUCCAAGCCGGCAUAAGGUAGCGCAAGUGAUCCUAGGAGGAAAGCCUCCCGGUAUUCCCCGCUCCGUAAUGUCGUCGACCUCUCGCGUCUCCGACAUUACCCUAGGCCCGUGUACCUUCAACUGUCUAAUACUCGGUCACACGGAACGCUAGGCUUGGCUACUCCGCUAGCCAAGGGACGACCCAUGUUCUAUCGGUCACCCAUAAUAUUUGCACCGGUCAAUUUUUUUGCCACAUAAUAUCCGUGAAUUUUUUAAAUAUCUCAACAUAAUUAUAGGUGACUAUGAAAUAAUUUCUCCUUCAUUAUAGGUGAUUUUUAAUAAUAUAGCAAAAGAUAUUAAUUUUUUGCCAUUAGAUCUUAUCUAAUGAUUGAAAAUAAAAAUAUCUGUUAAUUUUUGUGACAAUAUUACCCUUGCAUUUAUAUCCUAUUUUCUAUCUUUUCUAAAAUAAAAUAUCUAUAUUUGAACUUGGCACGUAGAUUAUUUUUCCUAAAGCAGUAAUAUCCGCACCCACCAAUUCUUUCGCGUGAAUUUCUCAAAUAUCUCAACAUAAUUAUAGAUAACUUUGAAAUAAAAUCACCUUCAUUCAUUAUAGGUGAUUUUUAAUAAUAUUGUAAAAGAUACUAUUUCCUUAAAAAAUUUAAUUUUAUUUUUCCUAAAGUAGUCAUAUUCCCUAAAAUAGUAAUAUCCGCACAACAUAAUUAUAGGUGACUUUGAAAUAUUCCCUAAAAUAGAAAAUCUAUAUUUGAGCUUAACACGUAGAUUUUCUAUACAGUAAAAGAUAUUAUUUUCUUAAAAAAUCUAAUUUUUUUUUCUAAAAUAAAAAAUCUAUAUUUGAGCUUGACACGUGGUAAACAUAUAAAGCGCCACGUGUCAGCUUUUCACAUAAGGUUCAUUAAGGGAUCUACUUUAGUAUAUAGUAAUAAAAAUAAUAAAUAAUAAAUAAUCUAAAUAAAAUAUCCAAAAUUUUAAAUAUUAGGUAAAUUUGAGAUAACUUUUAUAUAUUUUGCUUUGAAAAAAUAUGAUUUAAUAUUAUAUAUGCAGAAGGUAUUAUGUGAUUGAAUAUUAUAUAGGUGGUGGAUAUUAUGUGUGAGAAAAAAAAAAAUUAAGGUAUGCGAAUAUUAUUUGUGAUAAAAUAUGAUAUUAUGUGGGCGACGGUUAUUAGAAAAUAUGAUAUUAUUUGUGAUAAAGCAAAUGUAUGUUAAAUUUGAAAAUGAAAUCGUAUUUUACAUUUUGAUCAGAAAGAACUAACUCUAUAAAAAAAAAAAUAAAUAAAACAAAUGUAUGUUAAAUUUGAAAAUGAAAUCGUAUCUUACAUUUUGAUCAGAAAAAACUAACUCUAAAAUAUUCACCAUCUCUGGGCGAUGAAAUUCAGGCAUAGUAUACAGACAAAUCACUCUAACUUUGAUCUUCCAUUUGUCUCCAAGACGAGUGAUGUCACGUAUUGAAUUAUACCCAAGUGUCAUAUCCUGAGAAAAAUAAGACAUCCAAUACAAAAAUUAAUACAUCAUAUUUAAAUAAUAAAAUAAUAAAAUAUAUGUUCUAUUUUAAAGCAUCAACAUUUAAGAACUAAGAAAAUUACAGGAGUGACAGUAGAGAAAACAAAAUUACGAAGGACAGUAGAGAAAAAAAAAUUACGAAGUAAAAAAUUAUAUCUAUACUACUUAUAAAUUUUUUCGCAAAGAAUAAUUUCAAAGCAACCGCGAAUCAUUUCGUUUUUACUUUGGUCAUCUAUACCGAUUUUUUCGCAACCAAUCAUUUCAAAUAAUUCGUAACAGAUUAUUACGUAUUUCACAACCAAUAAUUUUAAAUAAUUAAUUAUUUGCCAAUACGAAAUUUGAGUUUGACCAUUUUUUUCGCAACUAACCAUUUCAAAUAAUUCGCAAUAGAUUAUUGCUUAUUUCGCAACCAAUAAUUUUAAAUAAUUAAUUAUCUGCCAAUACGAAAUUUGAGUUUGACUGUUAUCUGCCAAUACGAAAUUUGAGUUUGACUGUUAUCUGCCAAUACGAAAUUUGAGUUUGACCGUUAGAUUAUUGAUUUCGGAACCAAUAAUUUUAAAUAAUUAAUUAUCUGCCAAUACGAAAUUUGAGUUUGACCCUUUUUUUCGCAACCAACAAUUUCAAAUAAUUCGCAACAGAUUAUUGCUUAUUUCGCAAGCAAUAAUUUUAAAUAAUUAAUUAUCUGCCAAUACGAAAUUUGAGUUUGCAACAGAUUAUUUCCACCAUGAAAAAAUAAUUCGCAAUAGAUUAUUGCGUAUUUUGCAACCAAUAAUUUUUAAUUAAACCAAUAAUUUCAAAUAAUUCGUAACCAAAUAUCCAUAUUUGAGUUUGACACGUGGCAAGCAUAUAGAAAGCCACGUGUCAGCUUCUCACAUAGGGUUCAUUACACGUGGCAAGCAUAUAGAAAUAUCCAUAUUUGAGUUUGACACGUGGCAAGCAUAUAGAAAGCCACGUGUCAGCUUCUCACAUAGGGUUCAUUAAGGGUUCUACUUUUAUAUAUAGUAAUAGAAGGGCUUGAAUAAGAUUAUGCAAUAUAUGUAGCUCUAGAUAGAUAUACUAAUUGCACACAAUUUAUUUUUAUAAUUGUGGAACUAAAUUUUCUAGUUCUCCUGUUUGCUUAAUCAGCAGGAAAUUAAUGGUGUAAAAGCUAAAGUUUUCUACGGUUAAUAUUUUAUUAUUUGUUCUUACUCUUUUUUUUCGUAAUUGACUUAGCCCUAUGGUAGAUCAAAGUCAAUUACGGUAUUUUAAAAAAUUUUAGUUCCGACUGAAUGUGGAGUUAUGGUGAAUCAAACAACAAAAGUGGGUAAUUAUAGUGAAAAUAAAUUCACUUUUCUCCACUUUCGGUGAAACAAACAGAUCCAGAUGGUGUCAAUAAUUUGGCUCGGUCAAAUUAGAAAUUUAAGCUACAAAACUUUGAUCCUUUACUUGACACUUUACGAAGGACCUAAUUUUAAAGCAAAUUAAAGAUAAAGAUGUAGGGCUCGAGAUUCUUUGCUUCUAUAUCCUUGGGCUGAUUAGUACACACUAGGUACAGUCCCGCGCUUCGCUGCGGAUAACAGUUUGAUUAACGCUUAAAUAGUUUGAUAGCAUAUGAUUUAAAUGUUUGAUAAACAAAGAGGAUAACAGUUUGAUAAACACUUAAAUAGUUUGAUAGUAUAUGAUUUAAAUGUUCAUAGUUUGCCUUCAUCUGUGGAAGGACAUAGUUUGAUAAAGAGGAAGCAGAGAGUCGAAACAUANAAGAUAAUAAGUAGCCAAAUUAAAAUUCAAAUUCAAACAAAAAUGAAAGGUGGAAACCAAAUCAAAGAAGAAAGUAACACCAGCAGAAAAAUAGAGAUUUUUUUGCCACAAAUAAAAAUUUUAUAGAGGCAUAUUAUAUAGGUAAAAAAAAAUCGCAUUUAACGUAAAAUGACCUUUUGGAUUUAACAAAUACAAAUAUCCGAGUAGUUAAAAAGAGCGUAGAAAAUGAAUCCGAGCCAUUUUUGCAACCGAAGAGGGAUUAAUCUACAGGAACGAAACGUUGCAAACAAAAAAGGCGCGACGACCGACAGGAAAAAGGACCGACAAUGAACUUGGCCCAAUUUUCUGUGUACGGAGGACGCAUUAGGAGUCGAAGAGGCAUUUAAAGGGGCGAGCAGUAUCUAGGGAGGGCAAAAAAAAAUCACAUUCAACGUAGCAUGUGUAAUACCCUUCAUUUUGAGUUGGUCUAGGGGCAUAGUGGUCAUUUUUUUGGAUAAGGAUGCCACCACCCUUUUUAUGUUUCUCUCUUCAAAUUAACAUAGAGUGUGCAUUUUUUUUGUUCUCUCUAGUUAAUUACGUGCAUGGUGGAGAGCACGGGUAGAGGUAGCCGAGAAGCUCGGAUUCGACAUCGACGUCGCGCCGUAAAGCCGUUCGAGGAUACGGUUGCAGUCGUAGCAUCAUGAGGAGGCUGGACGAGGGUGCGUUUCCGCCGUUCUCGAUGUCGCGCCGGAUUGGAUUUAGCUUUCGAGGUGGGUUUAUCAUCGGAUUCCUACUCGUAUAGUCUUGUUGGUCGACAUGUAUAGUUAGUAUUACACAUUACUAUUGUUUUAGCUCAGUUUCAUAUUUGUAAAUGUUGUUUUCAUCUAAACUGAAAUUGGAGCCUAUUUUUAUAAAUAAAUUAUACAUGUUGGACCUGAAUUUGACAUAGGAGAAAACCCGCAUUCGGGACCUGGCAUAUGUUAAACUAUCUUAUUUAGCCUAGGGGCCGUUGUAUUAUUUUAUACUGUUGCAGUAUCCUCAUAGUGAGUAUUCCAGGUAGUUUAGUUUUUAGUUACGCUCGUGCUGAGAUGCCGAGUGUAUUUUUAUAGUAGCGUUCAGGCUGUUCCGGACUGUUGGGUGCCGUAAGAGUUGACGGUGGACUCGUAUCGCCUUUUUGGCGUCAGAUUGUGCCGAGGGCACGUUACCUGUUGGUUGUUAGACCAGUUAGAGUCGGUUACUUGACUUAGCCUGUGAGAGCGGUAUGAACUUGACAGAGAUACUUGUAAACUCGUUGGGUCGCGCCCGCGAAUGCCAUUCUGGAAUGAGGUUUCAGUGCGAUGAGUGUCGCAGUUUCUGUUGGACAGUUCUUGAGCCGGCUACCCUCGGGGUGGUGUACGGCGCAACUAGAUACAGGCAGGGUGGGUCCGUUUUGGGCAGUCCUGGUGAGAUAGUGAGUGACAUUUUUUCCUACCUUUAGUGAGGUUGUGACGUGAGUGCAGUCUUAACCAUCCUGUUGGACCUUUUUCUGGGACCGACUAUUCUCGAGGUAUGGUGUAGUCUAAUUAGGUGAGACGGGUGUAUUCACAGUCUUUAGAGAGUUUUCUCCGCCGAUUACUCUUGAGAUACGACGUAUUCUAGUAGACGAGACGGGUGUAUUCACAGUCUCCAGAGAGUUUUCUCCGCCGGUUACUCUUGAGCUACGGUGUCACCUAAUUAGGCGGAACGAGUGUAUAUAUAUAUAUAUUAGAUAUUUAAAAAUACUUUUAGGUACACAAAACAGGUGUACCGCUAUAAUCGAAUUAAAAUUCGAAAACACCCUGGAUGGACAGUAUGAUUUAAUGGAGAGAUUUAUGGCGAGCGGAAGGAUCUACGGAGAGGUUGAAGACUACGUAGGAGAGAUUUGUCUUUUAACCUGGUUUAAGUAAAUGAUUUAAUGGAGGGAUCUACGGCGAGCGGAGGGAUCUACGGAGAGGUUGAAGAAUACACAGGAAGGAUCUAUCUUUUAACCUGGUUCAAGUAACAGCCAGGAAAAAAGGCAGCGCGGAAAAAAACAAUCGUUGCAAAGCAAUGACGGCUAAUUAGGGGAAGUUAACGUUUUUACCAAGCCUAAGUAAAAGAUGUGAGAGAAGCUAAGGAGCCUAUAAACAAAAACAACUUAGACUUCCCAGUACAACAGUGCGGGGCCUAAUGUGCAAGGGGCCCGUGCGGCUGUUUAGGCGGCAUAUGUUUCUUUAAAGGGGCCAUAUGCUUCGCUGUCGACAUGGACAUUUUGUAUGUUAUGAUGUUUGUCAUCAUAUCUCGACGAUCUUCUUGAUCAUUUCAUUUUCUUUGGCUCAAGGUAUAUGUAUGUGACUUAGGGUCUCAUGUUUCGAUGAGCGCGACCGCUCAAUUUUCAGACAUACAUGUACUUGGCUUUGGUUUUGUAGAUGGACGUCAUCCCCACGUAGAUCGAGACGAGGAGCCCAUCUCGAGAUUGAGCACUGCGGGAACGGAUCGAUGACUGGUUGUUGUCGUCGUCGGCUUCUGCUUCCGAGACGUUUUUACCCCAUUGUUGACCCGCACUCUUGAUGUCAUUUUUGUGCAUCAGGAGUCACCUACGGCGGGAGUUGUUAGUAACCAGGUGGGUGAUUCAGAUGUCUUCCAUUGUUCCGAUCGUCCUUUUCGACCUUUCUUUAGAUGGCGAUGUAUAGCGAUGUGAUCGUACUAGAUGUGAUUGGUUGACAUCAUUUUCAGUGUUGACUGAGUUAGAGUGAUCCUUGACACUUGUGUGGGCAGGGCGGACAGCCUAGCUUGGGCAUAGGAUGAGGUCCUUAUCGACCACCUCUUUUGAGAGAUCCCUGACACUNNNNNNNNNNNNNNNNNNNNNNNNNNNNNNNNNNNNNNNNNNNNNNNNNNNNNNNNNNNNNNNNNNNNNNNNNNNNNNNNNNNNNNNNNNNNNNNNNNNNUUGACGGGGAUUCUUUCUUUUCUAGUUCUUUUUGUCUCUUCCUAUCUUUUCCUCUUCUUACUAUCUUUGUCUUUUACAUUUCUUUUCAUAUAUUUUUAGCUCCAACCAAUGGGCUUUCUUUCACCAUACUACUCGUCCUCGCUGAUUACUUUGUCAAAACAUAUCGUUCACCUAUCGGACCAAAUACUCGCUCAUUUUGGCUUUUUUACCCAGAUCAAUCCUGAGAAUUCCUUUUGUGAGGAUCUUCCGUUAUGGCUAUUACUAUUUCAUGAAUUCUUUGGUACCCUCGAUCUGACCGAGGAAGAGUCUUAUGACUUUCGCGAGUACUUAAUGAGUUAUUUGUCUUUGGCUGGCUCGUAUCGAAUUGUUAUGCGGUGAUUUGGAAAUGAAUCGAAAUUUUCGAGCAUCAAAUUAUUUAAGACCUCCCGUGCUGACUCAAACUUCCAUAUCCCUCAGCUCUUCUGUUUUUGUCCCUGCCUCACAUUUUUUCUUUUCAGAAGGGGCCUCUCACUCGAACUUUCGAUGUACUCCGUAUGUAGUUUAGCCCAUGGCGUCACUCUUCCAUGGCCUCAAUCCUGAUGUGUGUUGAUUUAGCCACAUUGAUCUAAUGAUUAUGCACUAUUAUAAUUUUUAAAAUUUACAUUUGACUUCUACUCCGGUAAGAAAAAGAGACACAGCGUUCCUACUAUAUUGAGCUGUGCCUAAUUCUUUUCAGUACUCCGUCGCAGAAAAUUAAUUCAAGAUUUUUUCCAACGCGUUGUUUAGUACGCUGAUAAUGCCUUGGGCCAUAUUUCUUUCUUUGUCUAUAGAGAAUUUUGAUCGUUUAAACGUACUCUGAAGGCUGGUGUAACAUUACUCAUGGCUGACUUAGUCUUCUUUUUAUGCAAUAUUUUUGCAAUUAUUUUUCGAAAUUGUAUAUGUACGAAUACUCUACAUAGAUUCAGCUUGCCAUUUUGAUCCUACGAGUUCUCGUUGGUUUGCCAUAGCCACCAUUGACUCGUUCAUCCUUUGAUUUUUUACUUAUUCUCUUUUUUUAUGAAUUCGUCCUAUUCUUGUUUUUUGGUCUCUUUGCUGACUGCUCACUGCCACUCGCUUGUUUUGGCAGAAGAAUCUUUCCAAGUGUGAAUGUGCUUCCUCGUUGCAGUGACAUUUUGAUGUUUGCUUAUUCUUUUUUUGGACCCUCGGAUUUACGUUGGCCUAAACCGCUAUCGAAUGUGUUAGCCAAGCAUUCGGUUCACCCCGCAAGUUUGUCAUAGUCAAUUGAAUUUUACCAAGCAAUUUCUUCUCCUGGCAGAAUUUUUACGGCAAAUUACUGUCGAUCUCUCGCACCGCUUACCAAAGUAACGGCGACGCGAUCGAUUUCACUCAUGAAAUCUUCUCCGGCGAUUUUCAAUUGCACUAUUUUAACGAAUUUAUACCCGAAUAUAUGGAGUUUCGCUUCAAUGCUAAUGUGAUUCUUUUUCCGAGAGAACCUUUCUCCGUUGUUUCGCUGCACAUUACAAACUCUCAUCCCUUGGUUUUUUUAUUUAAUAUUACUCUUCAUUCUUUAUUUUACUUAUCUGCUUCUUACUCGCAGUCCCCUUUCCGGCAAGACCAUGGUCGUAUCUAGUCUGUCUGAACAUCUGUACUCUGAAGAAAGUCGAAGAGUGCUAGUCCUCGCCUCCUUCCUCUGUAAAUAUCAUUCCUACCAUUAUCAUCUUAAUUCAUCGUUGCUUUUUCUUAUUCUUAUUAUUGUUUGUUUCAUUUUCAUAGUCUGUUCGUUUCAUCUGUCCCAACUCAGGCACAAACGACGAAGUUGUAGUGUACUCCGCCGUCCUCAAAAAGGCAUAUAGUGGCAAAGAAUUUCAACAAGGCGAAGUACCCUUCUGGCUGGAAACCCAGCUAAAGACAGAGCCGAACUUCCUUUGGCGGGACAUUCAAUGCAGAACUAUCACACCGUCUUGGCACAUGGAAUCCCCCAUAUUCUCGUCAUCAACAAUUAUGUUGGAGUAAGCGAUAAUUAGCCAUCCAAAACAACAUUCUUACUUAUUUAUGUUUUCUUUUUACUACACUCUUUUCCUGAUCGAGCCCUUUGCUAAUUUUGAAGAUGACUAGAUGGAAUGCAACUUAUGUUGAGUUCCGACUUGAGAAAAAGAGAGGGAUGGAAAAGAAGAAAAGGUCUAUCAAAACGGCGAGCGCGGCGCCGUUGCCAAGUGAGGUUUCGCCACCUCUUUUCAUUCCUGCGCCAACAUCAACUAUAGAGGAUGAACGAAAAGACAUACCUCUCGAGCGAACCUCUGAAGACAAAGUCACUAUUUCUCCCCGUUCGACCCAGGGAGUUUCUUCCCCUACUCCUGAUGAUCCUUUAUCUACAAUUCUUCAUUCUUUUUUGAUUUCAAGCCCUAGCUCCAAUGAGGGGGAUGAUUCUUCGACUGUGACCAUUUCAUCGGACACCCAGAACAAGUUCGAUGAAUGUCUUAAAAUAUUUGGCACCGGAAUUCCGAGUUUGGCUCAAAAUCCAGAGCAAUCUGAUCGGCUAUACGCCCUUUUACUCGAUUUAGCCGAUCGAUCAGAUGUUUCCCCUGGUAUCAAGUAUUUUGUAUCAACCUUAUCACUCCAACUUUCAUCUUUUUUGGCUCGGCAGCAAUCUUUAGGCGCCGAACUUGUAACUUUAGAUCAACAUUUUCAUCGCGUUGAUCAUUCUAAGAAAAAUAUCCCUGACAUAGCAUCUCCAAUGGUUGAAGUGCAUCAAGAAGAUAGGGAGUUGGCUGAUCAAGAAUCGGCUCUGCAAAAAAGGAUUUCCACUCUGAAAGAAGAAUUGGCAGCAGCCGAAUCCACUCUAGCACUGUAAUACACUGAACUUUUGCAAAUUGCGGAGUUCGAGUAUAUGGAAUGGUGCGUGGAUCACUCCUACAUGUUCUAAAAGAUUAGAACAAGUUUUUGGAUAAGUUUGAGGAUGAUUUGAAUGCUAAAAGUGAGAAAUUGCAUUGAACUGGCAAAAAUCAGCCUUUUUCUGCUUGCUGUACCGGUACAGCCAUCACCUUGUACCGGUACAAGCUGGCAGAUUCGUGGCAGCAAGGUUAGUUUCGUAAUUUCACAUUUGAUACCUACCUAUUUGAUCCCAGCACGACUCUGGGACUUCAGUGGAGUGUGCUAGAGCUCAGCAAAGGGUUCUUUCACCUUCUUCUCUCUCUCUCUUUAGGGUUUUUCUCUCUCUACUUCGAAUUCGCCGAUUUCGCUCGUUUCCGUCGUAUCGCGUGUUCUUCGCUGGUCGCGAGCGUUGUGGAGCCUCCGUGGGCGUGUGAGAGAGUGUUUUGGAAGACUCUUUGCUGUCCUGAACCAGUAGGGUGCUGGUUGGAAGCUCGAGAAGGUAAUCGACUCGAUUUUCUCCAUUAGCGACGUUCGAGUAGACUUUUAUGUGUUGCUUUUGAGUUAUUGCUUCUAGUUGCUUUAAUUUGAGAUUUCAGCAAUUAAAAUUGGAUUAUUUAGCUAUGAAUUAAGGUCCUUAGACCAGGGAUAAGCUACUUUGGGGCUUAAUUGAGACAACUAGUUCAAUAUGAAACAAAUUUGGAAUUAAACGCGAACUAUUGCCACAACUUGAUGUAGUUGGACUUGUUCUUUCGCAGCAGGUUCGCGAGCUCCUUGGGGUUGAUUUGGGGACCAGGGAGGCUAGUUUGGAAGGUACUCCAACUAAGGGUAAGCUGGAAUUGCAGCUAGAAACUGAAAUCGCAUAAUUCCGACUAUAUUUGCUAUAUAUGAUGAUUUUGAUGUCGUGUUUGUGUUGAUCGCAGUGGGAGUUCGACCGACCUUUGGGUCAUCCUUGGUUGGCUUUGGGAAGCCUUUAGAGACUUAAUUGGAGGUACUAAAGUGAACCAAAACAACGAUUUAUGUUAUUACUUGAUACGAGAUGUGAAUUGAGCCGAAAUCGGACAUUUCGGCCGUAGAUUUAAUCCGAUCUUGACGUUUGUUUUUCAGCAGCAUUGGGGCUUCGUUGAGCCGUUGUGGGACUUCUUGUGGAUAAUUGGAGCCUAGUACUAGGUGGGUCGGACCUAACCAGAGCAAGUGAAACUCCUCUAUGUUCUAUAUGUAUUAUAGAAAUGGUCUUAUUGUGUGCUUAUGUGAUUGAUAAGGGCUCGACGUUCGUUAUCAUAAUGUUGAACAUAUUCGAAAUGAAGUCUCUAUAAAGUAGAGAACACUUUUACAUGAAAGUAUUUAUAUUCGUAUUCAAUUCAGUUGAAUGACUUAUGAACAAGUGUAGAAUGCACUUAUAAGGUAGAGAACAAUGACAUCCUUUUGACUCUAAAGUAGAGAACUAUGACAUGCUUAUGACUAUGUUGAUAGUGCCAUGAUAGUAGAAAGACUCUAAUGCCAUAUAUGAACUAGCAUUACUCUUACAUGUUUGUUAUCUAGUGGAUACUAGUCGUUAUUAAUAUUGGCUAUAUUGAAAUUCCGAUCAAAGGAUCGAGAGCAAGAAUAUUGUGAGCUAAUUGUGAUAGCUGAGACAUGUUGGACUGUGGAUAUGCUUGCUUGCCAUCGUGCUCAUUCGCACACGCUUGUGAGGGUCGCUCCCUACAAGCUGGCACUCCGGAGUUGGCCUACGCGACAGUUGCUCGCCCGUGCGGGAUUGGGUGCCGAAGUGGAUUGCCGUGGGGAGUGUAUACUACCACGGGGCCAUUAGGCGCGGCGCAAGCUGGACUACCUUGGGUAGGUCCCUGUGAAUGAAAGGAUAGUACUCAAUGAAAAAGGACAGUAAUGAAUGCUUAUGAAUUAAAGUGUACAGUAGUCACUUUCAUGUUCGUGCUUAUAUUCAUGUCUAUGUUCAUGAUUACAGAAAUUGCCAUAUCCCUAUUAUGCAAAUGAUUCAUUACUGUAGAAUGCCAUUACAUGUUGAUUACAUGCUUAUUACUUGUUAGCAUCAUGCUUAUAAACCAUGCAAUUAUUGUUUUUGCUUUCAAUUAGUACAUCAUGAGCCUAGUGGUGUAAUUCGCCGAGGCUGGCGGCUUACCCACUGGGAACUAUUGUUUAUAGUUCUCACGCCCUUUUUGGUGGUUGUUUUUACAGAGCUAUCUACAGGAGAGGCUAGGGAUCGUGGCAAGGGAGUCGCGCCUAGCUAGGCACUACUAGGAGCGUGCUAGUCGAUCACCUUGUUACUCGGGCUACGGCCGAGGGUGAUGUCCAUUGUAUAGAGUGACCACCAUUGUACCUAUUUUUGUAUACCCGUGAUGUAUAUUUACUGUUGAUCCAGAUGUUUCUGUUGUGAUACUUGCCCUUUAGCCGAGAUUUUGGGAUUGUAGUUUCCUUUGUUAUUUUACUGUUAGUAUACAGACUUGUACAUUGCUCUGAUAUCAGGACAGGACUUUCGUUGUUUCACUUCCUAUCGACUUGCUUUCUUCGUAGACGCCUUAUAUACUGCAGGUGUAUGGCGGGUCUGUACACGUACCGGAUAUGCUUCCGCUGGUACCCGGGCGUGACAGAUUAUAGUGGUAUCAGAGCCUAGGGUUGAGUCUUCGUAGACCUAGCAAACCUUAGGCUGGUUGGACUAUAAGGAUAGGCUCGUGAGAGACGAUGUCUAGUCGAGGUUGUUGUUAGCGAAAGUACUUUGAUUGGGUACUUAUAAACUCCGAAUAGUAGGAGUUUGAUCGGGAUGUGCAAGUACUAACUUUGCAGAGGGUCACGUUGGCGGCCGACAACGUGACAUCGGAAGUUAGUACGCGUUACAUUUCAUUACUUUCGCUUGAUUAGUUGGUUUCUAUCCUCAAUGAGGAUUCGAUAGUAUAGGGUUUAUUGACCUAUGUUUGUUUUUGUGCUGCAGCUUAAGAUGCCGUUGACUCGUUCGCAAGCCGCCGGGGCAGCUGAGGCGGCGGAUGCAGAGGAAGUGGGGACUUCUGUUACUUCGGGAGCUAGUGCGAUCCAUGAGUUACAGGAUCAGCUUGCGAUGUUGACGGAUUUGGUUACUCAGCGGGCUGCAGCAGCACGACAGCAGAUGGAUGCCGUGCGUCGGCAGGAGGACAGGAUGAAGAGGUUAGAGGAUCUGUUACUGCGACAGACGACUGACAGAGGAUUCCAGCUUCUGUACUCCCAGAUUCUGUACCUAUAGCACCAGAGAGGGGCACCACAGUGAGAGCAUAGUCACCUGUACUGGACACACCCCCAGUAGCUCCGAGGGCAGAGACCCGACAGGAGACAGUAGUACCACCACCAGUACCUGUAGCAGCAGCUGGGACAGUGUUACCCGAGAUGGUGGGGGUUGAGGAGCGAGAGCGGAUGAUGGAACGACUGAAUGAAUUCCGUCGCUGCAACCCUCGUAUCUUUGAUGGGGAGAAGGCGGAUCAUUGGGUGGUCGAGAAAUAGUUAAUGCACAUGGAGAAGCUAUUUUAUGACACUUUUGUUGAGGAGCGGUACCGAGUUUGGUUUGCGACACACCACCUUGAUGGCGAGGCUUACAGGUGGUGGGUAGAUAUCCGUGAGGAUCCUCGUACUGAUUUGUCCGCUAUCACCUGGGCGAGGUUCAAGAACUUACUGUUGACUACUUACUUUCCUCAGAGUGUCAAGAGACAGAUGGAAAGGGAUCUGAGAAACCUGAGGCAGGGGGACAGGACAGUGGCAGAGUACGAGCGAGAGUUCUCCCGAUUACUGCACUGCGUUCCUUUUGUAGUUUGAGAUGAUGAGGACAAGGCUCGCAUAUUUGAGGUGGGUUUGCGACCUGCGAUUUUCCGAUUGGUCCANGCGAUAAAUGCAGGAAAGAAAGAUGCAAGAAAAUAAAGGUGGUCUUUUGUGCGCAGGGGCGAAGACCUGUUUUCAGGGUACUGCAGGCCUAUUUAUAGAUUUGCCUUUGCAUUCAUUUGUUGUUAUUGCACGAUCGGCCAUCUUCUCCGGAUUUGGAGGACCACGUUCGGCCGAUUGGAACCGCCGUUUGGAACCGCUCAUAACCGCUUGCGGUUGCCACGUUUUUGAACAAACGCGGCUCAUAUCUCUUAGCGCAUUUUUUCCGUGCUCUCGGUCCAACAUUUCGAAUCCUGAAUAUGGAUAUGAACUCGGCGUGCCAACUGUCCGCGCCGGAUUGGUCCAACAGGAUACGAGUUCGAAAUGUAGGUACAACUGUAGUACGUGGAUUCAACAACAACAAAUUAAAUAGAAUUUUUGGAGUUUAUUUUGGGAGUUUAUUAUGAUUGCACUUCCUAAUUAAUAGUUGAAUUUAAUGCAACCAACCAUAUAUAUUACUCGAUCCACGUCAGUAAGUGACUGAGAUAAGCCAUACUUUUCUUUCGGCCCUAAUAGUACAAAGAACGUGACUAGAUCUUACUAAAAUGUCAAAGAUAUAGUUAGCUUAUUCCUAAAAUUAUAUGUAAAGAGUAGUUAUCUUUGUCAAAUGGAUUGUGACACUUUGUGCAUGAAAAUGGCAAACUUCAAUUAUCACCCCGUGAUUUAGCAUAUUUUCACUUCUCCAUGCCAUUCUCUUGUUGAAAAUUUUCAUUUUUAUUCGAUAAUUUUAUGCUUGUCUCGAUCCCACCAUAAUAAUCUGUUGCCAAAUAGCAUAAUAACAUGAUAUAUUUUACAAAUUAUAGAGUGGCUAAGUCAAUACAUUGCAGGCUACUAAAAUGCAGCAUUUUACAUACCAUCGUGUGUAUCAUUUAUAAUCCUAUGGUUUGUAAAUUAUAGGAUUUUAGUAUAACCCACUUAAUUAACGGCUAAUCCUUACAGGAAUAUAAAGAAGAAAACCGCAAGACACUAACCUAAAAUAUUUUAAACCACAGGAUAGCUAAAUAAAUACAUGAUGAUAAAUAAGAAGGGGACAAAUUGAACUUUCCUCAUCAAAACUAAUAAAAUGCAUGGUUUGUUUAUUGUUUACCUCUUCCAACAAAUAAGAAACUAAGAAGUUGUUAGGAGCCGAAUUCCGUCCUCUUUGACCCAAUCAAAGAUCUUCCUCGGGAAGCACGUUGGGAAGCGAAAUGGCUACGAUUAGUAACCCUCGAAGUUUGCGCCCUUCAACUGGAUCAAGCGAUUCGGCUGAUGAGUGAUCGAAUCAGCCGAGUUCGAAAACCUUUACUGUAGAAUUGGUUCGGCUAGAUGAGCCGAAUAAAAUGCACAGAGUUUUUGGUCGGCUGAUAAGCCGAAUAUAUGGAAUACACAGUGAUUGGUCGGCUGAAAGAGCCGAAUGCUUUUAUAUAUAUUAAUAAAACAGAGUUUGCCCGAAGGGCAUACAGACUCUGAAAAUCUAGUUUGCAACAGAGUGUGCCCGUGGGGCAUACAGACUCUAGAGAUUUAAUUUAAAAACUACUCCUAGAAAAGCAGUAAAUGCGGGUAAAAAAGAUUACAUGUUGACCGCUUCUAAAAAAGCGAUAAAAUUGCAAAGAAAAUAAAGGUGGUCUUCUCGUUCAGGGGGGUGAAAGACCCCUAUUGCAGGCUUCGAAAUUACUAUUUAUAGUAAUAUCAACCCACAUUAUUGGUUGGUUGAAAGUAGUGGGGUGAGUGGUUGUAAUCAUGAUCGUGGAAGUUAUGCCCACUUCUCACGGAAGUUACAGCCCAUCGUGGAAGUUACGCCCCACUUCUCAACCGUUUCCGCUUAAAACCUUCAGGUGCCUUAUUGUCGACUCCUGGUGUCACGCCACGAAUGCGAUCCUAUUUGGCCGGUUAGAGGGCGUCAAACAGACGCAGAACGGACAGAGUCUCCCCUGUACGCCCAAGGCUCAACACCCUGUACAAAUAGAGUAUGAAUUUUGCACAAAACGGAAGCACACAUAAUGGCUUGCACGAGGGCAAGCAACAGCCAGUAGUGAAAGAAUCUAGUAAACAUCAUACAAGUAUUUGAUUAAAUUUAAAUCACAUACAUACAUUCAACUUUAAUACAACUUUACAUCAUUUCUUUUAGACAUCACAAGUUCUCCAAAAUAUGAUCCUUGUCCAUUUAACAUAAAUAAAGUCUUCUACAUCAUUCCUUUAACAUGAUCACAAUACUAACAUCAUCAAAAUAGAAAAGAUGAUAAUAAGGGGUAUGCAACUAUGAAAAUAAGACAUCUUGGGCGGUCUCUACCUAGGGCGCGAUGCCCUUACCGCGAUAGUCUGCCGGCUCGCUCGGUCCCGGCUCUGUGGAAAUAGUGGGGUGAGAAUUACAACAAAGUUCCCAGUGGGUUCGGCAACCAACCAUGCCGACUAUCCCACUAGGUCUAAUAAGGCAUAAUAGAAGAAAGAAUAGAUAAUAACUAACUAACAGAUGCAGCUAAUAUGCCUGAACGAUAAGUAAAGCUAUGCUCGAUAGAAUGCUCAUGAUGAAUGCAAGUUAUUAAUUCCAUAACCCAAUCUCGUGGCUAGCCCGUAGGUUUCGCCCUCACAAACUCACCGACCCAAAUCUCUACUAUCGGGGAGAAUUCCGCUACGACCCGACAGGACCGUCCUCUUGGGAGAAUUCCGCUACAACCCAGUGAUGACAACUCCGGAGCACAUCGCCCGAGGGAGAGCUACCGCCCUCGAGCAAGGACUAUUAGGUGAGUACGAUCAAUCCUUAACUUUAAGGAUUCCAAGUUCAAUCCAUUCCUUGACUUCAAGGAAAACCAUAUUCAUAUGACCCUUAACUCUAAGGUGUAUAUGUCAUAAUGUCACUAACCCAAUUUACUUGCAUUCUCUAGCCUCUACUUGUGUCAUGUACACUACUUGUUCUUGUUCUUUGUCAUUGAUGCCACACUUAUUUUCUAAGUGUUCAAAACUCGUCAAUGCUACUCACUAUGGUCGUGUCCAAUGUCACAAUUAUUUUCUAAGUCCACUAGGUUCUUGUUCUUCAACAUGCAUACAUAGGGUUUAUAAAUUUUCCAUUAUCAUACGAUAUUCCACAUGCAUUUGAACCAACAAAGUGCAAUAAAAACUCAUGAGUAACCCUACUAUGCGAUAUGCUCAAUGUAUAUGUACAUGCUCAAAUAUGACACUUUAGACAUAAAAGGAUUUUCGAGGUCCUUGGAAUGCACCACCCACCUUAGACGGUUGUAGGGAUGCUACGAUGAAUUUUUUGAAAUUUUUGAAGCCCUAGUCCGCGUGCUGCGGCUAUCUGUACGGAAAAUGACGUUUUUGUCAAUAACUUUGUGUACACUCGUCGGAUUGUCGAACCCAGCGUUCCAACGCGUUUAAAAUACCCUCAAUUAGGUUUCUACAUGAUCAAAAUAGAUCAAAAUCCAACUUGGGCAAAACCUCUCUUUGGGAUGCUCUAACCAAACCUAUUGCUAAACCCUAGGUUUUGAUCCCUAGAACAAGCAAAAGAGAGCUUGUUCAAAGUUUAGAAACUCAUUUUACUUAUUUUCUAUACCUCUCAACUCCAUUCUAGGGCACAAAACCCAACCCUAGAGUUUCUACUAUGAGAGCACGUGGUAACAUCUUGUUUCCAUGUGUUCUAUAGCCAUUAGAGAUUUCUAUUCUAGCUAAAAGGUCAAAACCCAAAGGUUUAAAACCAAACCCUAAAGUUCUAUGAGCAAAAGAACUCACCUUUGCCACGAGCUCACCCAAGUCCACCUUGUUGGAGAGCCACAAGAUCCUCUCAAGCCUCCAAAACCACCUCUUCAAGCUUCUUCUCCACCUUCUCCACCAAACCCUAGAGUUCUAGAGAGAGAAAAGAGAGAAAAUACGAGAGAGGUGUGUGUGUGGGUCUGUUGUGAAGGGGAGAAGGGAUGGGUAUAACACAUGUUGCAACAAUAGCAACUAGACUCUCCACCUUUCUAACCUGCUGCAGUUCGCUCCCUGCUGACAGAGGCUUCGCGUACCGGUACACGGUUUGGUAUCACCGGUACACGACCUGCGCAGAGGCAAACCCGAGAGCAUACUCGGCUCGGGUUGCUUGCUGUACCGGUACAGCCAUCAUGGCAUACCGGUACACAAUGCUCCAGAAUGCUGUUUUGCAUCGUUUCGACUCUACUUUGCGCCGUUCGAUGCCAAACUCAUUCUAAUACCUCUUUAACUCAUUUUUGCCCUUCCAAACUUGUUGGAAUGCAAAAUAAAACUUGCCCAUCCAUUUCUCUCGACACCUUAACCCAAUUCGGGUUAAGUUCGAUUCCUCGUUUUCGGGUUUUUGAUAUGUUACACCUGGUAUACCACGUGUCCUUAUUGGCUCAUACGUGGGUUAGGUCGGCAUGUUAAUUUCAAUUUUGGCAUCAACAAAAGUAAAGUACCCUAGACCUAAGUUCGAAUCCUAGUUGAUUCACAUUUUCAGCUAAGUUUAUUUCUAAAUGAAAAUAAAUGAAGCGGGUAGCGUGCUACCUAUCUCAAAAAAAAAGAAGUAAAGUACGUACAGUGUGGAUUAUUUUGAGUUGACUAUCAAUCUCUCAAAAUUUUUUAAUUUUUCUAUCCAAUCUUUAAAUUUAUUAAAAUAAUUAGUUUAAAUUUUGAAGUUAAAGUACCAUUGACUGACUCAAAUCAGACAAAUUAAAAAACUGGACAGUAAAACCAAAAUUUUUGAAGUUUGAAUAAUCGAUUUAAAAUAAUCCAUAACUUAGAUAAAUUCUUUACCUACUAAGAAACUAGAUAGAUUAAACUAGCACACUAAACAUGACUUUAAUAUCAAAUCAAGCAGCCUUGACACGGGAAGUUCAGCACUUGAGAACAGAUAAAUAGUUAAUUUGGACAAGAUUUUACAAAGUAUAACACUACAAUAAAAACGGUAAAUAGCGACACUUUUAAAUGUCGGUACAGAUAAAAAAAAAAUGCUGCUGGUUAAAUUACCGACACUAUAUGUAGGUCGCUAGGUAUAUAGUGACAGUUUAAAAGUGUCGGUAUAAGCUAAAAAGAAUUUGCUAAUUUACAAACACUUAUUUGAGCAUUUAGUAACCGCCGGAACCCUACCUCGUAGGCUGCGGCUGCGGCAACGAAGGAGGAAGAGAGCAAGGGGCUCUUCGUCUAGCAUUUUAGUAGAUUAAGUGAGGGGAAAAGGGGAGAUGGUGAUCGAUUUUUCUUUUUUUUUUUCUUUUUCUGUUUGUAAUCGGGCCGAAUGGCCUGGGUGGGGUGGGGUGGGGUGGGGUGAGUAGAGUAACCUUUUAUUUUUAUUUGCAUUAGGUUUUAUAUUUAGGCCAUAGUAGAUUUUUUUUAAACUUUUGGCAUAAAUAGGACACUUACACAGUGUCCUAAAAAUGUGUUUCUAUAAUCUAAUUCUAUAAAUGAAUUAGGCCAAAGAGAAUUUGAAAAAAUCAAAAUGCAUUUACAAAUUUGGGUUUAGGGUUUAGGGCCAAUAAAUUUGGAAAUUUGGAAAAAAAAAAUUGUUAUAGAAAUCCAAAAUAAGCAAAAUCAGUGCUUGUUAAUUAAUGCAACAUAUCUGGUAGACUAGAAAUAAUAUGUUCCAAAAGCAUCCUUAGAAACCAUUGUAAGGACUGAGAUUUUCGACAGUGCAACUAAACUUUCUGUUGAUGAUGUUUAUGUGUGUAAUUUAAUUACAUAAGCACUCGUCAAGUUUCGGGCGAAAACGAGUUAAAACGGAGAAGUUACGCGACCCGGAAGUUUGACUUAAGUGAAUAGUAACUCCGGUUUUUCGGAGAGGCUGCGGAGUAGAGUGGACUUUCGACGCGUAUCGGACUCCGAAUAUAGCCUUCCAAUAGCUCGUUUUCAACCGCUCGACUAUCCUGGACCCAAUGGCACUGACGGAAUUGGAUUUGGAUGCACGGAUUUCGAGAAAAAGGGGUUUAAUGGUUUUUGCAUAUAGUUGGCUAUAUGUGGUUUUUGGUGGAACCUAGGAGGGAUGGUUUUGUCGCAAAUCGGGAACCUUUUCGGGCGAAACGAAAUGCUAGAUUCGAUGCCUCUGUCGUGCUGAUCGCGCUGGUGCGAUCCGAUCGGAAAUCCGACGGACGGAUCUUCGGGAAUCGCGAAAAGUCCGCGAAGGGGCUGAUUUGAGUAAUCGGAUUAUUCGCGAAAAGGCCCUAUAUUUUAUGCAUCGAAUUGCGAGUCUUCGAACUCAGAGGGACUAUCGCGCAUUGUGCGACUGCUGGUUGAGAGCUGGGAUUAAAUAGAUUCCUUUCGAGGGGGUUUUCCGCGAGUUUUCCACACCUUUAUAUAGGUGGAUCUAGGGUUUUCUUGGACCAAACCCUAACCCUAGAACCCCCCAGCUGACCCCAGCCGCCCCUGCCAUCCCAGCACCUCCCUGCCCUGCCCGUGCUCGCGUUCCGGCCGCCGCCGAGCAGCCCCGGCCGCCGGAAACAGCCUGCAGCUAAUAUUCCUCCUCUCUUGGACCACCUCACCACCGGUUUAAGCUUGGUGCUUGGAGAGGCCUGUUAGCCCGAGCACCACCUUCCCCUGGUCGAGACCUUCCUCAGGCGCCCUCCCCCGCCGGCCCCGGCCACCCCCGAGCGUCGCCGGAGCCGCCGGAAGAGGCUGCAGCCAGCCGGGUCUGCCCAGACCCGAGCCAGGCCGAGCUCAGGUUGCGGGCCUUGGGACCGCACUUCCCCUGCGGCCAAGCCCCCCUGUCGACCCCGGCGACCUCCAGCAACCCGGCGCGCGCGUCCCCGGCCGUCCCCGCGCCCCGCCGGCCGCCGCCAAGGUCUCCCGCCGCCGCUCGGGUCCUGUGCGGGCCGACCUUGGAGCCGCGCCACUCCCGAGCGCUGCCGUUGCCCUCUGAGGUGAGCACCACCUCCCCCUUGGUCUCCGGCACCGGAUCAUCGCCGCCCCGACCUCCCCCGGUCGCCGCCUCGCCGCCGGCAAGCUCCAACCCGAGAGGAAGUGUGCGGGCCCGAUCUCCGCCGCCGCGCCACCGGCUGCUGCCCGCCGCCGGCCAGCACCUCCCCCGGACCUCCCCGACCUGCUGCUCCCAUCACCGGCCGGAGCGCCCGCCGCCCGAUCGCCGGCGGCCAUCCCUAGCUCCCACAGCUCCGGUGAGUAGUUUACUUUGGUUCCAGCACUGCUGUUUUGCGUUCCGGUCACUUUUCCGGUGAUCCGAUGACUCCCUGGCACCUCGGGAGGUGAGCACGGUGAUCGUGGGCUCGUGCUGAACACGAUGCUCACCUCCAUUUAGGUUAACGGUGCCCUGGUUAGUGAGAAAAGGCUGUUUUCCACAGUGUGCGCACUGAUUCGCUGAGGUUCGCGUCGCUCGUGCGCGCGUGGUUGCUGCCGGCAGUGCUCCGAAAGGUGAGCACGGCCUCAGGCAUGCUGAAACCUUGCAGCAAGUGCGAUGGCAACCUCCGUAGAUCCCUGGUUUGCUGGUACGACCCGUUAGAGCCAUGAAAUCACAUAAAAUAAUGUGAUUUCAUGGGCCAUUAGGGAUCCUUUUGCGUUUCGCUUCGUUGUGGCUGCUGUUGGCAGCAGGUUAAGGCUUAAGGUAACCUCUGGACUGAUCGUCCAAGGCCCCAAGCCCUUGCGGAAAUCUAUCUGUCAUUUCCGGAGCGUUUUCGGUGAAAUCCGCCGAUAGAACGCGCGUUCGACUCGGAAUUCAUCCGACGGUGCCUCGUGGUUGAUUGUAGCGUCGCUGAGCCUUGUUGGCUGGUCACCCGCGUCUUCUCGAGGGUUCGGAAACGACGGGUGAGCGACGGUGGAGUUUCGGUACGGUUUCCGGGAUUUCCGGCUGGUUCGGUAGUUGCGUUUGAGAAACCGAUUUCCGAGGGGUUAUGAUUUUGGGAUUUGUGUGAGAAUGGUCGUGUUAUUGUGUUUGUGGGUUAGACUCUAACCCGGUGGACCCUUCGUAGGUCCGGUCGCUUCGUCUCCGCCUUCGCGAGACCGUUUCAGCUUUAUACAGGUGGGUACUUCGAUCCGACGUCGGUACAGUGGUGCACGCUCGGUGAUAUUUCUUCUAUCCCUGUUCUUCUGUUGCUAUUUUCGUAUUAUAUAUUGAGCUUGCAUCCCCGUUGUUUCUAUUAUACUCUACUCAUAUGUUUCUAUGCUUAGUAUCAUGUGUAGGAGUAGAGUAGUUUAUCCAUAUGUGAUACCGGUGACCUGAUUGGUCGGUUCUCGUACUUUGUUUCGGUGACCUGAUUGGUCGGUUCUCGUACUUUGUUUCGGUGACCUGAUUGGUCGGUUCUCGUACUUUGUUUCGGUGACCUGAUUGGUCGGUUCUCGUACUUUGUUUCGGUGACCUGAUUGGUCGGUUCUCGUACUUUGUUUCGGUGACCUGAUUGGUCGGUUCUCGUACUUUGUUUCGGUGACCUGAUUGGUCGGUUCUCGUACUUUGUUUCGGUGACCUGAUUGGUCGGUUCUCGUACUUUGUUUCGGUGACCUGAUUGGUCGGUUCUCGUACUUUGUUUCGGUGACCUGAUUGGUCGGUUCUCGUACUUUGUUUCGGUGACCUGAUUGGUCGGUUCUCGUACUUUGUUUCGGUGACCUGAUUGGUCGGUUCUCGUACUUUGUUUCGGUGACCUGAUUGGUCGGUUCUCGUACUUUGUUUCGGUGACCUGAUUGGUCGGUUCUCGUACUUUGUUUCGGUGACCUGAUUGGUCGGUUCUCGUACUUUGUUUCGGUGACCUGAUUGGUCGGUUCUCGUACUUUGUUUCGGUGACCUGAUUGGUCGGUUCUCGUACUUUGUUUCGGUGACCUGAUUGGUCGGUUCUCGUACUUUGUUUCGGUGACCUGAUUGGUCGGUUCUCGUACUUCGUUUCGGUGACCUAGUUGAUCGGUGCUUUUAUCUUAUAUCUGUUGACCUGGUUGGUCGGUUGUUGCAUUAUGUAUUGGGUUGGUCUGUUUCUUGACUUCUGUUGUUCGAUGACCUUUGAGGUCGGUGUACCCUGAGGGGUAGGAUUGUCGGCUGGUGCUGACGGUAGUUCUGGACUAUAUCGAAUACACUCCUGUGACCUAUCGGUCGGUUCUUGCGUUCGUACUUUUAGUUGACAUCGAGCAGUAUCUACAUACUAUCUUUAUUUACUCUGCCUGGUUGUUCUAUGUGUAGUAUCCUGUAUAGGGGUAGAGUAGAUGGCAUUCGUAUAUACUAUACUUGUGACCUGGUUGGUCGGUUCUCCUAUUUGCAUCGGUGACCUGUUUGGUCGUUCGUUACUUUCCGUACAUUGACCUAUCUCGGUCGGUUCACGUUGUUACUUGAUGACCUACACGGUCGGUAUGCCCAGAGGGGCAGUGAUUGUCGGCUGAUUGCCGACGGUUGGCUAUUGAUCAUAUCCGCAUUGAUCGCCACAGCUCGAGUGCAUUUCACGUACACCAGCGGGUUGAUCCCCCGCAGGAGGGUGUUCUUUUCCGGAAAAGUGGUCGUACAUCCGACCCGUGAGCCCAGCGGUGUUCUCUUUGUGCUAGGGUUACAUGCCAGGUGUGAGCAGAUAGUGGCUUUUGCCUGAGGUCCUUAGACCGACACGGCGGUUUAGAUUGGGUACUUUUGGACUUCUCGUCCGGUUGACGCAUAUAGCUAUAGUAGCGGUUGUUGCAUAUAUACUUCUAGUUCUUUCUUUACAGUUGUCUUGCUACUAUAGUUUUGAUAUCCUUGUAUGCUUGCAGUUGUACAUUACAGUAGCGGUAGUUGUGCUUUCAUAUAUAUAUCUCAUUCGUUCAUUAUCGUUGCUACUGUAUUUUACUUACCCAUACUGUUGUUUAUCUCUUCCUGAUCCGGUGAGUACUCCUCGCCUUCUUCGGCUUGCGGUACCCACUGGGAGGGGAGACAUGUUUACAUGUUCUCACCUCCCCCACUAUUUUUCAGGUACUGCAGACGUUGAGUUUUGGGACGAGACGUGAGGUACGUUCGUAGCGGUCGAUAGAGCUUCCGACCCAGGUUAUCGGUUUAGUUUUAUCCCUACUAUUCUGUUGUUAUAGCUUAGUCAGUUUAUAUGGUUCAGUAUUUUUAUUACAUUGGAAUAUAUGGACUUUCAUGAACGUAUUAAAAGGAUUUCUGGAUUUGGUAAAAUAAAAGGUUUUCUACCCCUCGUGGUAGCUUCUAUAAAAGAUAAAAGUUUUCGCAUAUGGAACAGUUUUCAAAAGAUUUUUUGUGACUUCUGUUUAAACAUCGAGUGUAAAACUACGGUGUGAAUGGUGAAUGUAUGAAUGUAUAGCUAUCUGUAUAUUCAUUUGAUUGUGGUUGUAUACUGUUUGUACUUUUGUACUUGUGUGACGCCGUGCAAGUACAGGGGAGACUCUGUCCGUGUGAACAGUGGAUUCCCUGUAUUUGUGGCGGAUCUGGCAUACUCUGGGGUCAGGUUUUCAAAAAAAAAUUUCAAACGCUUUUCCGCUGUGUUUCAAAUAAAAAGGGGACCCCGGGGCGUGACAACCAUAGUCGGGCUCUGUUUGGAAUUUGCAAACUGUAAACAUUUUGUGGCUGCACUUUGGUGAUAUAAAGUUGUAACUGCACUAUAAUUAUAAUCACAUAUAUCUAUACUAUGAGUCUUACUACUAUGUCUUGCUACUAUGUUACCAAUAGCACCAAUCAUUUGGUGCUGCCAAUUUUUCCACCAUUCGAUCUCUACCCUUUUGAUCAUUUCUACUCGUUAAAUCACACUAUUUAUGUGAUAUACUAAACCUUAGCAAAUUGGCAAGGUUACAGUAUAAGUUUCUGCUUGAUUGAGUUGGAGACGUUUUGCACAAAAUAGACGUAAAAACAGACUUUGAAACUCAAGGUUUAUAUUAUAGAGAACUAAAGUUGAAUACUUAGUUAUAGAGGGGCUUGUUGGCAAUUUGGCUAUAUUUAAGCGGUGGAGUCCACGUGCUUUUCCCCUAUCCUUAUCCUUUCUUUUUGUUGCUUUUUUUUUUUUUGCUAAGUUUUGAGCACAAAUUAAUUAACAGGGAAAAACACUUGGUUUCGUUCUUAUGAGCGAGCGAGGCGAGCGAGCGCACGUGUAUUUUUAGCAUGUGGACGUCACGGUUGUGCCGUUGGGGGAGGCCGGGCGAGCGCGUGUUUUCCUCUUCUUUUGACUUCUCGCCGUCGUCGGAUUAGCUUUUCGAGGUGGGUUAAAGUUUACCGAAUUCUUCGGAUUUCCUUCUAAGCUUAGAUGUUGUCAGCAUGUAAACAUCAUCUGUAGUAUCAUGUUAGUAGCUCAAUUUGCCGAUUUGCAUUGCUUUUAAUGAAAUCUGAAUUGGAGCUUUGAAUGCUAGUUUUAUUAUACAUGUUGGAUUUGGAUUUGACUUAGGAGAAAACUAUAGGUUCUACACUGUCAUUUUCUGAAAACUAACAGAUUUAGCUUUAGGAGCUAUAGUUUGUUUGUAUCGCCGUAGUUUGUAGGCGAUGGAUACCCAGAAUAGUGUAGAAUGAAUUUACGCUCGUGCUGAGAUACCGUGUUUAUUUUUACAGUAAUGUAUAGACUGUGCCAGACUGUCGGGUGCCGUCGUGGUUGACAGUGGGCCCAGAUUUCUAUAUUUUGCACCAGAUUGUGCCGAGGGCAUAUUUAUUAUGGUUGUUAGACCAAUUAGACCUUUCUGUUUUGACUAUAGCCUGUGAGAGCCUGAUUGAGUUCGGCAGAGAUACGCUUGCAUACUCGGUUGGGUAGCGCCCACGAGUGCCACUCCGGAGUCGGGCUUUGUGCUUUUGCGUUGUUGUCGUUGUAUCCUGGUUGGACUCGCUCUUCACUGACGACCUAGUGUGGUGGUAGUUAGUGUAGCUCCGAUAGGCGGGACGGGUGUGUUCACAGUCCCUGGUGAGAUUGGGUCAGAAAUUGUAUUUUUCUACAAAUAGUUAGUGUUGGAUCAUGAUAGUAUAGUGGCAUAUAACUGUAGAAUUGUUUUAGCUUUCUUUACUAUCCUUGAGCAUACUUCUGUAGACUUAGUGGGUGAGCCGUUGAGGUCGGUAGCGGUAUCCACUGAGAACUAUUUCUUUUUGCAGUAGUUCUCACACCUAGUUGUGGGCCCCUUUUUGCAGAGCCUCCUUCUUCGGCUGCUGUUGUUGCUGAUCCUGAUCAUGGAAAAGGAGUCGCGAGCUAGAUCCGUUCCAAUUUUGUUGCUGCUUUAGAGGAGUACCAGCUACAGAUAGUUUUGGAUUUUUGGGUCAUGUACAUACUGAUGUUUGAUUCUCGCUGGAGCGAGUGAUGUUGUAUCUAAAGACUAUGUAUGUAUAGUGAACCCGAUGUUUAUUUAUAUAUGUUUGCCGUUCUGUUAGCAGCUCUAUACUACUAGUUGUAGUUUUGUAUGAUUACAGGUACAGGUACAGCUAUCGCUUCGUAUAUAGGAAAUAUUUCUUUGUAUACGGCGGAUUUGUCGGCGUGCCCGGAAAAACGAGUAAUCCGGGGCGUGACAAUUUAACCAACCACCCACUUAACCCUAAGAGACCACUAUCAUUCUAACCGCACAUUUCUUCUUCCAAGAGUCCAAAACCUAAUAGCACCAAUAACUUGAUGUUAUUAACAGUAUAUUAGCCUAGUUCCCUAUACUAUAUAUAAAAGAGGAUAGGAAUUGACAGAUGAAAUUCUAGAUUAAUAAAAAAAAAUUCCAUAGAUAUUAUAAAAAAUAACUAAUUAUAAAAAUAGACUCACACCACUAAUAACUAUUUAAAUUUAAAAUAUAGAUUUAAAUUUUAUUUCAUAUAAAUUAUUUAUUUAAAUUUAAAUUAAUAUAUANAACUAAUUAUAAUUAACAAACUAAAAACAAAUUCAAACAAAUCAAAUUUAGGAAAUAACUUAAUUGAAAAAUAGACUCACACCACUAAUAACUAUUUAAAUUUAAAAUAUAGAUUUAAAUUUUAUUUCAUAUAAAUUAUUUAUUUAAAUUUAAAUUAAUAUAUACUAUAUAUAAAAGAGGAUAGGAAUUAAUCGAUAGAAUCCUAGAUAGAAUAAAAGAAUAUUCUAUACCAAUUAUAAAAAUUAGUUAUAAUUAACAACCUUAAAAAAUCGAAACUAAUCAAAUUUAGAAAAUAAAUUAAUUGAAAAGUAGAAUCAUACCACCAAUAUCUAUUUAAAUUUAAAAUACAUAUUUAAAUAUUAUUUUAUAAAAAAUUUAUAUUUAAAUUUAAAUUAAUCUAUACUAUCUAUAUCUAUACUAUAUAUAAAAGCAUAUAGAAAUUCCGAAUCCAAAAAGGAAUAAACGAGUAUUCCCUACAAACGAUCAUAAUCAGUUUGUUAAAAAAUAUCUCAAAUAAAAAUAAAUGGUUAUGAUCAAUCUGUUAAAAAAUAGCAUUCUUAUCUAUCAAUAUGUAAAAUCCAACGAAUGGCUAUGAUUCAUUUGUUAAAAUAUAUAUAAAUAAAAAUUAUUGAUUGUGAUCAAUCUGUAAAAGAAAGUAUUCCUAUCGAUAGAUUUUAUAUUAAAAUUAAAAAAUAUGAGUUUAAAUCAUGAAUUGAAUUUAAUUUUGGAUAUCAAAUUGGUAUUAACAAUUAAAAAAUUUUAAUUACAGUGAAUCAAAAUUAAAUUUUAAAAAAUUUAAAUUUAUAAAUUUUGACACUUUUACUUUAAAUAAUAAACAUAAAUUUUAAAUUUAUCAGAAUUCAAAAAAUAUAUAAAAAUAUUAAAUGUAUAUAUUGAAAAAAUUAUCGAAUAAAAUAUAACAUAUUCAUUUAGAAAACAUAAUUUUUAUUGUAAAUUUUUGAAUAAAUAUGAUGUAAAAAUUUAUAUUUAAAAUAAAUUAAAAUAAUUUUUACAUACAUUUGUACGUACACUUAGCUAGUAUAUAUAUAUAUAUGUAAGAGGAUAGGAAUUAACCGGCGGAAUCCUAGAUCGAAUAAAAGAAUAUUCCAUACAUAUCAUAAAAAAAUAGUUAUAAUUGACGAAACUAAUCAAAUUUAGAAAAUAAAUUAAUUGAAGAGUAGAAUUAUACCACCAAUAUCUAUUUAAAUUUAAAUAUAGAUUUGAAUUUUAUUUUAUAUAAACUUUAUAUUUAAAUUUAAAUUGAGAAAAUAAAUUAAUUGAAAAGUAGACUCAUACCACCGAUAACUAUUUAAAUUUAAAAUAUAGAUUAAAAUUUUACUUUAUAUAAAAUUUGUAUUUAAAUUUAAAUUAAUUAAUAAAUAUUAUUACAUAUAGAAGAGGAUAGGAAUUGAUAGACAAAAUCCUAGAUGGAAUAGGAAUUAACAGGCAGAAUCCUAGAUAGAAUAAAAGAAUAUUCCAUACAUAUCAUAAAAAAAAAAGUUAUAAUUGACAACCUAAAAGAAAUGGAAACUAAUCAAAUUUAGAAAAUAAAUUAAUUGAGGAGUAGAACUUUACCACCAAUAUUUAAAAUACAGAUUUGAAUUUUAUUUUAUAUAAACUUUAUAUUUAAAUUUAAAUUGAGAAAAUAAAUUAAUUGAAAAGUAGACUCAUACCACCGAUAACUAUUUAAAUUUAAAAUAUAGAUUAAAAUUUUACUUUAUAUAAAAUUUGUAUUUAAAUUUAAAUUAAUUAAUAAAUAUUAUUACAUAUAGAAGAGGAUAGGAAUUGAUAGACAAAAUCCUAGAUGGAAUAGGAAUUAACAGGCAGAAUCCUAGAUAGAAUAAAAGAAUAUUCCAUACAUAUCAUAAAAAAAAAAGUUAUAAUUGACAACCUAAAAGAAAUGGAAACUAAUCAAAUUUAGAAAAUAAAUUAAUUGAGGAGUAGAACUUUACCACCAAUAUUUAAAAUACAGAUUUGAAUUUUAUUUUAUAUAAACUUUAUAUUUAAAUUUAAAUUGAGAAAAUAAAUUAAUUGAAAAGUAGACUCAUACCACCGAUAACUAUUUAAAUUUAAAAUAUAGAUUAAAAUUUUACUUUAUAUNGAAAAAUAGACUCACACCCCCAAUAACCAUUUAAAUUUAAAAUACAUAUUUAAACUUUAUUUUAUAUAAAAUUUCUAUUUAAAUUUAAAUAAAUCUAUCCCAUAUAAAAAAGAUAGGAAUUGACCGACUGAAUUCUAGAUGGAAUAAAAUAAUAAUAUUCCAUACAUAUUAUAAAAAAAUAAAUAAUUAUAAUUAAUAAACUAAAAACAUAUUGAAACAAAUCAAGUUUAGAAAAUAAAUUAAUUGAAAAAUUGUCUCAGACUACUGGUAACUAUUUAAAUUUAAAAUACAGUUUUAAAAUUUAUUUUAUAUAAAAUUUAUAUUUAAAUUUAAAUUAAUUAGUAAAUAUGAUGUGGAUUGCACGUGCUCUGCAAUUAGUGUAUAUAUAUAUAUAUAGAGAGAGAGAGAGAGAGAGAGAGAGAGAGAGAGAGUUGAGCUAGAAUACUCUUAAAAGCACCAAGGGAAUGGUGCUUUUGAGUUUUUAACCAUUGGAUGGAGAGAUGUAGGAUUGGGAUGAUGAUGGUAGAUGGUGGUAGGUGGAAUAGUGUUUAAUCCAAGGGGUAUUAGUAAUUUAGAAGUAGAUCUAAGGCUAAAAACCUAGAAGCACUAAGGAGUUGGUGCUUCUAAAAGUAUUCUAGCUAUAUAUAUAUAUAUAUAUAUAUAUAUAUAUAUAUAUAUAUAUAUAUAUAUAUAUAUAUGAUUGUUUUGUAUCCAACUACUGUAGUUAAAACCGUAGAAGAACAGCUGUAACAUUAGGAAUUACGCUCAAAUUGGCUACAGACGAAAUAUGGCAAUUGAAAAGAGUAACUUUAAUCGAAAGGUGUGCUUACCAUCUUAAUCAUUCGUUAAAUAGAAUGUGAAUUUUUUUUGCAUAGAGAUAAUUCUCACCACCUUACAUACAAGAUGAUAAAAUUUAUAAAAAUAGGUCUCAACUGUAUGCUACUAAACAAAUUAUUUAUUAGUUAUAAUUUUUCUCAUUAUAUUCAACCAAACAAAAUACAUGUAAUUACAAUUGCUAAAGUUUAAAUUACAUGCUUAUCCAACUUCAUGACAUUUACAGUUAUGUUCAAUCAAACAACCCCUUUGCACAGAAAGUGCGAUAACAAUAUAUUCACUUUGAUUCCGUAAUAGUAAAUGAUAAUGUCAUGCAGAUCGCACUAGUUCAAUAUUUCACCGGAAAACAGAAAAGCAUAUCGUUGGUCGAUUUCACCCAACUCGGCAGUUUUCAAUGCCAAAGGGGGGCCCUCCAGCAUUCACAUCACACUUCACUUCCAACUGCAGAAUGCAUUCAGUGGAAAAAUUAUUGAUUGCAUCUUGGUGCUUCUGUGACAUCAUGUCAUCUUCAUUAAUUUCUCUUUUUAUUUCGUCCAAUACUUCCAACCUAAUCAUUCAUUAUUUUCAAAUUAAAGAAAAAGAUUGCAGUGUUGAAAUACGUGAUAAAAGCAGGGGUGCACAAAAUGCACCAUGAUCAGCAAUAAUCCCCACAUGCUAUGUGCAAACAUAGUACACAAGUUAUCAAACCUGUCCGAUAAGUGAUUAUUCCUUAGAUGUGACAGGCAAAAUAUUUUAUAAAAAAAUUAAGGGAUAAUUGCCUAUAUACCUUUCAUGCGUUCGGAAAUAUCCGAUCUACCCCUACUUUUUUUUUCUUUCCAAAAUGUCCCUCAUACGUUCCACCGUUAUUCCAAAAUACCCCCGCAGUUAUCCCCUGUUAGCUUAACUCGGGUUAAACAUGGGUUAAAUCUAUACUAGAGUUAAAACCUGAACAAAAUACCUAUUUUGCCCCUACUUUAUUAUAGUAAUCCCUAAGAUUAUCCUCUCUUUCUUCCCCAAUUUUGUCGCCACCACCGGCCGACUCCUCCGCCACCACCGGCCGGCUCCUCCGCCUCUACCUCACCUCCUCGCCUCAUCUCCUCCCAGACCACCACCACCUCCCACACCUCCACCUCCAACACCACCCAUCUCGUCGCUCUCGUUGUCCUACUCCGUCGCCACUCUCGUCGUCGUCGUCGUCCUCUUCCUCCGCCGCCUUGGCCGGCGCCGGGAGCAAGAGGGCCGCAGCGACGAUCCCAUCUCUCGCCGCUCUCGUCGUCCUUCUCCUCAUCCGCUGCCUUGGCCGGCGCCAGGAGCAAGAGGGCCGCAGCUCCAUCGGACCCCUGCACGCCUUCUGCUCCGAAUCCGGCUGAAGGGUAAAUAAGAAAAGUAUUUGCUAUAUGAAGGGUAUAUAAGACAAGUUUGUUACGGUACAAGGGUAUAUUGGAAUGGGCAAAAUGGUAAUUUUUCAGAGCUAACGGCAGCUCACUAACGGAACUUAACUCUAGGGGUAUUUUAGAAAAACUUGGAACAUAAGAAGGGUAUUUUCAAUAUUAGCCUUCUAAGAGGGGUAAAUAAGAAAACGAGGAACUUUUCAGGGGUAUAUAGGCAAUUGCCCCAAAAAUUAAAUAAGUAAUUUUUUUGGAUGAUUUUAAUAAAGAAAGAACAUCCAACUAAAAAAAGUAAGCACAAGAAAUUGUACCAUUCAACAUACAAUGAGUGCGCGAUUAAGCUAUAUAUUGUGAUUAAUCCGGAUCAGUUAAUAAUCGAUCUACAACAAUCUCCUAACUAUGCUUAUAAAUGUCUGUGUAAUUGAGCGUUGCCCAACGAUUGCAAUCAAGUACCUUACAAGAAAAAGGACGGACUAUAUAAUUUUCGGAAAGUUUAGAAAAAGAAAAUAUGGUUAAGAAUUUGUUUGAGAAAAUAAAAUAGAAAUUAAACUGUUUUCCAAACCAUGCUUUUUAUUACUAAUAGAUGAUAUGCGUAGGUUUAGAUAUAGAUAAGAAAAAAAAAAAAAAAGAAAGCUCGGAUGGGCGCCACUCGCCACAUGAUGCCCAUCCGAGUAAUCCCCAAAUAAAGUUGUUUGGGCAUAAUGCCCCUAAAAUUUUUGUCCACUUAUUUGAAUACAAUGCCCGCACAUGUUCUCAACUCGAAACCCUCUAAUUUUUCAAAUCUCAACUAAACCUCAUAAGUAGGUAGUCAAAAUUUGUACAAAAUUAAGAGGAACUCAGAUCUAACGAAAUAUUAAAACUCUGGAUCUAGUCAGAACCAGAACACAUUGGGAAGAAAAACUUUUAUCCUAAACCUUGGCAACAAAACUCAAAAUUUUAUCCAGUAAUUAUAAGUAUCCCUAAUAAAAGCCUUGUGGGCUAUUUAUAUACUAAAGGGUUACAUCCGAGAAUGAUUAAAGAUUCUAACUAAAGCCUUAUCUAAAAGAAAACAUGAUAAAAUAUUUCUAAACAAGAUAAUUUCAAAAAUUAACAUAAUAAAACUAAAAAUCUUCAGAUUCACAUAGAGGGUUUAGGUGCUGACUUGCGCUGCCUUUAUUGAUAGACUUGGGACCCGAACGACGAUCUCCAUCAUUUAUCAACUUACAUAAAGGCAAUAUAAUCUUCAGAAAAAUACAAAUACGCACUCCAAAAUGAAUUGUAUAUCUUACAUUUUGCCAAAAAAUAGAUAAGGGUUAUCUACUUACGUACUGACAUAAUUAGAAUGGAAAUGCUUUUGGAGAAUUCCAUUGGAGCAAUUUACCGUACGUACACCUAUAGAGUAGGUACAUAUCUUACACAUUAAAAGGCUACAAUUUUCUCAUUAAUAUUAUCAACUUUUAUAUUAAUAGUAAAGUCCGAAAGAGUUUUGUGAACUUAUAAUAAAAAAAAAAAUUAAAAUUUACACCAUUGUAUAAAUAUUUAGGUAGCUUUUCUCCCUUUGGCCUCAUCUUUUGUCAGGAGCAUAAACUAUGAGUAUUUUAAUGCUCGCACUUUUAUAGAUGUCACAUCACCUGUCACAUAACACAAUUUACACGGAACCAUCCACAUGUAUAUAAAACAACCCUCGUGAUGCAGUGGACACUCACAAAAAAGCAUGAUGUAAUAGUUAAUGACGUAAUUUACUUUCUAGAUACUUCACAAUAUAGAACCACCCACAUAUAUAUACUGGCGAUCAAAUAGCUAGCACGCGCGAUACAACGAGCACUUCAAUAAAAGCGUGAGGACGAAAUUUGCUUAAUUUCAAAAUAUUUCAAAUAUUGUAAAUCAUAUUUAGCGAUAUGAAUCAUUGUUAAACUUAACUAUAUUUUAAAAAUAAGAAUUCAAGUAAAAUAAAUAACAAUUAAAAUUAAAUGACAGAUGAAAUUUUCUGGUGCAAUUAAUCUAUAUUUAAAUUCCAUUUAUACUUUUUUUUUAAAUUUAGAACUUAACGUGAUCAAAUAUUAAAGAAAAAUGUUUUUUUUUUUUGAAGUAUGCAAUGUGCAACGUACAUGCGCAUAGCUAAUGUGUCUGUAUAUACUUCAGUAAGAAUACUAUCAAUAGUAUAUGAAUAAUAUUUGUUGCCAAUUUUUCAAGGGACUUUUUUUGCAAAUAGUUCCCUGAUAAAAUUUUUUUUAAAAUUGGCAAUGUCAAAAAUUUAUUUGUAAAAAUGACCCUACCCCUGCCACGCAAGCGCCACGUCAGCGCUACGCGGAUGGGGCAAGAGUUUAAGUUAAACACAGUGAACCAUUCACCGUGUUCAAACACGGUGAAUGGUUCACCGUGUCCAGUAUAAAUAUUCCCACUUAGCCAAAAAAUGGUUAAGUCGAAUUAGUUGUAUUGGAUACGGUGAAUCAUUCACCGUGUCCAAUACUAAUACAACCUUAGUCAAAAAAUGGCUAAGUCCUAGGUAGUUGUAUUGGACACGGUGAAGAAUGAUUCACCGUGUCCAAUACAACUAACUCAACUUAGUCAUUUUUUGGCUAAGUGGGAAUAUUUGUAUUGGAUACGGUGAACCAUUCACCGUGUUCAACUUAAACACCUGGCCCCAGCACCGCCCGCGUGGCGCUGAUGUAGCGCUUGCGUUGCAGGGGCAGGACCAUUUUUGUAAAUAAAUUUUUAACAAGGCCAAUUUUAAAAUAAAAUUUUGUCGGGUGGCUAUUUACAAAAAAAAAAGCCUUUUUUUAACCCUUGGAUGCCUAGAAUACUAUGGGCUAAUUAUAUACUCAUUAAUUAAAAGAAAGACGAAAAAAUCAAAACAGAAAAAGAAAAAGACAUUGAAGGAGUGACUGCCACAUGACUGAAAUUAUUAAUAUAUAGUAUUAAAAGAUAAUAGAUGAUAGAUGAACUCUAUGUAAAUAUAUGUGAUUGAUGACUUUUGCUUAUUCAUUCAUUUUGUGAGCUUACACUGUUAUACUAGUUCGAAUCUUAUUAGGGUUUAAUUAGCGGAGGCUUUCUACUAGUGAUCAAUAAGCAUUUGGUAAAUAAAAGAAUUUCUAACUGUAUGCUUCCCAUUUUUAAACCUCUGCUUAAUUACAAUUGAUAAAACUUAAUAAAAUAAAUGAUAUAUCAAUUUUAAUUAAUUUAUAUUAUAUAAUAAAAUUAAAGUAUAAAUAUAUUAUCAUAAAAAUAAUAUUUAUAUUAAUAUAUUUAUUUAUAUAUCUAUUAAUCUAAUAAAAUAAAAAAAAGAAUAGAAUUGUUCUCAGUUUUUCUAUAAAUAAUUUUUAACGAGUUAUUUCAGAACAACACAGAACAGCCCGUUUAAAUCGGAACAAUCCAUUCCAUCUUGUUCGGCUACAAUUUGAGUAUAUUUUCUCUUAUUAUGAGAUACUAGUUACGGAACCCCGCGCGUUGCGGCGGAAAGUCGAUACAAUAGUCAAUUAUUAAAAUUAUUAAAACUAUUUUUAAUAUUAUUCAUUAAUAUUUUUAAAUAAUAUUUAUUUUCGUAGUGAGUAUAUUUAGAAACAGAGGUAAACGGAAUCUCACGUGUUGCAACAGGAAGUCGAUACAAUAGCCAAUUAUUAGAACUAUUAAUAUUAAUUUUAAUAUUACUUAUUCAUUAAUAAAUUUCCCCUUCUAUAGAUAAUUGAUUGAAAGGAGAUGGUAUGAGACAAUCAAUGANAGAAGGCGGAGAGGACGAAAGGACGGCGAGGGGGGCAACGCCGCGUCGUACGGGAGGAUGCGACGGCGUUCCCGAGGGAGGACAGCGUUGGCGUCGCGGCUACGAAACGGAGGAGAGGACGGAGGGUGAGCGGGGGACGGUAAGGCCACGCCGUUCGGACAAGGAAAAAUCAGAGCGAGGGGGGUGGUGGGGAGGGGGGUGCGCCGCCGUACGGGAGGGCGGAGAGCGCAAAACGCGGAGAGGGCUCGAAACGUAUCGCCCUUUCAUAAGCUUAUAUUGAUUCCUCGUGCCCAACACUGUCUAAAAGAAUUUCUCGUUACAAUAUUGAAACUCUAAAUAUUGGCACUGCAAUGUGACGUGCGCGCGUCGUGGCCCAUGACGAGACAUUAAUUAGUCCCUUCACGGGUCUACGUUGAGAAAGCGUUGGUUUGAUUGAAAAUGUGAACAUACAUUGCAUUACAAGUUACAUAUCCCACUUUUGGGACAUUGUGAUUGCAUGCGCUACUCAACCAUCACAUCUUCCUCGAAAAUUGCACCAAAAUGAAUGAAGCUUUUAAGUUAGGGUGUGUCUGCAUCGGUGUGGCUAACUUAUGCGAGAUUUUUUUUUUUUUCUUUUUCCUAUGUUUGGUUGUUCCCUUAAUUGAAAAAAGGCCAAUUUACAUAAAAAAUUCACUUAUUUUAGGCUUUUGCAAAAUCGGGCCAUCUUUUUCGUUUUUACAGAUUCGAUCCACUUUUUCAACAAACUGACCAAAAUGCUCUUAUACUUUUUUCUCUUUCUUCUUUUUUUUUUUGUCGUUCUUUUUUCCUUUCUCUUCCCAGAGAGCGACAGAGGCGGAAACGCCACCCUUGCCCCGGCGACGUCGCCUUCGUCCGCUCCGGCGACGUCGCCGGCAACGAGCCCCUCUCCCCUGCCUCGACCCAAAUCCUCCGACUCUGCUGAGGCCGCGCCGCCAUCCUCUUUUUUUUUCUCUCUUUCUUCUCUUCUUCUUCUUCUUUUUCUUCUUUCUCCUGCAGGAACAGUUUUCUUUUUUUUUUUUUGUUUUACUCUUUCUUUUUUUUCUUCUUCCUGCGGGAGAAGCUUCCUUCUCUUUUUUUUUUCCCUCUUUUUCUUCUUCUUCUUCUUCUUCCUCAUGUACACCAAGUUUUGCCACCCCGCAACCAACCUCUUUGCCUCCACCGCACCAGCCUCGCGCGGCUCCGCGGCACCCCGCGCCUACCCCCAACACUGCUCCGCCGCCGCACCGUGCACCGUUAAUGAUGUAAUUACGCUAUUACACCAUUAAUGGUGUAAUGGUGUAAUUUCACCAUUAAUGGUGUAACCAUUGCACCAUUAAUGGUGUAAUUACGCCAUUACACCAUUAAUGGUGUAGGUGUAAUGGUUAAUAGUGUAAUGGUGCACCAUUACACCAUUACGACGAAAAAGAAGCAGCCGCAGCGCGCCCGCGUGCCUGCUCGCCGCCGCUGCGUGCACCGGCCCGCCGCACCGGCCCUGCCGCCGCCUCCGCCCUCCUCAUCGCGUACGCGCCCCUCGCCGACCCUACGUUCACCCCGCAGGCCCAAGAGGCCGUGGACGACCGUGGACGAGCGCGGUCCACGCGAGCAGGUCCCUCACGGGCAUUUUGUCGAACACCUUGCGGGCUAGAACAAACAGAGGACUAAACAAACAGAGGACUAAACAGAGGACUCUCUCUCUCUCUCUCUCGCCUCCUCUGGUGGAGCUCGUCGAGGUGGAGAUAGAGGGCUCGCCGUCGGUCGUGGCGGCGAAGAGGAGGGCGGUGGGCGGAGAGCGCGCGGCGGCGGGGAGCUGCGCGCGGGGGCACGCGGGCGCACGCUGCGGCGCGCGGGCACGCUUCGGCGCGCAGGGGCGCCGACGCACGCUGCGGAGAGCGGGGCCGCGGGCGCGCGGGGCCGCGGGAGAGCCAGCGGAGGCGGCGCGCGGGCGCACGCGGUGCGGGGGCACGCUUCUCGCGGGCGCGCUCGGCGCACGCGGCGCGGGGGCACGCUUUGCGCAGGCGCUCAUGGCGCAUGCGGCGCGCGGGCGAGGACAGGGGCCACGACUCGCUGUCGUAGGCGUCGACGUAGUUGAGGCGCUUCCACGCCCAGCGCGAGCACCCCACUCACACCACGCACUCUAACCCACCCACCACAGACAUCGUCGACGACGACGACGACGACGAUGGUGGAGACGAAGAUGGAGAAGACGAAGAUGGUGGAGACGACGAUGGUGGAGACGACGACGACGCGGACGCGCUGUGGCUGCUUCUUCUUCGUCGUAAUGGUGUAAUGGUGCACCAUUACACCAUUAAUGGUGUAAUUACACCAUUAAUGGUGCAAUGGUUACACCAUUAAUGGUGUAAUUUCACCAUUAAUGGUGUAAUGGUGCACCAUUACACCAUUAAUGGUGUAAUGGGCGCGACAGCGAAGAGCCGGGCCAGAGGGAGAAGGCGCCCUCGUCGCACAUGGUGCGGGCGACGCAGUCGGCGAAGCUGCGGAAGCGGCGGCGGUAGCCGAGGAGCGCGACGUUCACCUCCUGCGUCUGGAGCAGCACGCUUUAUUCUCCCCAUUUUGUUUUUCCAUCUUUUUUUUUUUGUUUUUCUCCCCAUUUUUUCUUUCUCUCAUCAUCAUCAUCAUCUUCUUGGGUGUUUUUUUUUUUAAUUUUAAUUUUUUUAUUUUAAAAGUUUCUCUGAGGGGGGCGAGCGUCAAGAAGAUCACGCGCGACGUCCUCCUCCAGAAGGUCUCCCACGAGCGUGGAGGACGGUGGCGGCGGAGGAGGAGCCGGCGGCGUGGCCGCGGCGCCGGUGCGGGCCAGCUCGGCGGCGGCAUCGCGGAGGCGGUCGACGCUGUCGGCCAUGUUCUCGAGGCAAUCGCGGACGGGGCCAGAGCCGGAGCCGGAGCGGGGGGGACGGCGGCGAGGCGGGCGACGGCGGCGAGACCGGAAGUCGCCGUGGCGCGCCUCAUGCUCUUACAGGAAGAAGAAGAAGAAGAAGAAGAGGGGAAAAAAAAAGGUGCUCGAGCAGGAGGAAGAAGAAGCAGGAAAAGAAAAAGAGAAGAAAAAAUUGCUCCGCCUGGCCUUCGCUUUUUUUUUUCCGGCGAAAAAAAAAUUAAAAGAACGAGAGAACGAAGAUGAGAGAGAAAGAGGAAAGAGAAAAAGUAAUAAGGGUAUUUUGGUCAGUUUGCUGAAAAAGCGGACCGAAUCUGCAAAAACGAAAAAGAUGGCCCGAUUUUGCAAAAGCCCAAAAUAAGUGAAUUUUUUAUGCAAAUUGGCCUUGAAAAAAUAUUUGGGAUUGAAAAAAUAUUUUAUAAAUUUCUGAAAAAAUAUAGAAUCGCCUAAUUGAAAAAAUAUUUUAUAAAUUUCUAGAAAAAUUUGGGAUUUUCUUUUCUGCUUAAAAAUUGAAAACGAAAACCCAAAGCCGAAAGCAUGCAGCUCUUGGUGCAUGCACGGUCCAUGAGGUCCACUUUACCUCAUGGGCCGCGUGGGAUGGAGUUCAUGGUGAUCCAACGUCGACUCCUCUCUCACUUAUAUAUAUAGUUCAGAUGGGAUACUAUCGAUAGCACCAAGAAUUUGGUGCUAUCGAGUUUUUCACCGUUAGAUUUAACCUUUUGAUUAUUUAUAUCCGUUAGAUUAUACUAUUCAACCAACCACCCACUUAACCCUAGGGGGCCCACAUCAUCCUAACCGUAUAUCUCUUAAUCCAAUGGCUAAAAAUCUACAAGCACCAAAAACUUGGUACUUUUAAAAGUAUAGGAGCUCGAAUAUAUAUAUAUAUAUAAUAUAUAUAUAUAUAUAUAAUAUAUAUAUAUAAAUAUAAAUAAUAUUUGUAGUAUUAUAAUUAUUAUAUAUCAAUAAUAUAUAAUAUAUAAAAUUAGAUAAAAUAUAUUUAUUAAAUAUUUCCCUUUUUUUUUCCUACGAACCAAACAGUACAGAGCGUAAAAUUUAUUUUUCUCUAACAAUUUUUUUUACCAAAUUUUUUUUAGUUUUAUGGUGGAAUUAAACACACCUUUACUGAAAGCUUUGAUAUUUACAUAUAAUAAUAUUUUUACUAAAUUAUACAUUAAAUUAUUUUUAAAAUAAUUGAAAUUUUGAAUUAAAAUUUAAAAUUUGUACAAAAUUUACAAUUUGAAUUUCUAAAGCUAAAUAUAAAUUUUCAAUUUCAAAUUUAAAAUCUAAAUUUAAAAUUUGACAUUUGAAAUUUACAAUUUAAGAAUUUUAAAUUAAAAAUUUAUAAUUUAAAUUUGAAAUAUAAAAUUUAAAAUUUAUAAAUUAAAAUUAAAAAUUAAAAAUUUGAUAAUUUAAAAUUAAAAAAAUAAAAUUUAAAAUUUAAAACUAAAAUUAAAAUUAAAAAUUUAAAAAUUUAAAAAUCUAAAAUUUAAAUUUUGAAUUUAAAAAAUUGAAAUUGGUAAUUUCAAAAAUUAAAUGUUUUAAUUUUAAAUUUUUUAUUCUUAAAUUUCAAAAUUCAAAUUUUAUCUUGAAUUUGAAAUUUGAUAUUUAAAGUUUUGAAUUUGAAAUUUUAAAAUUUGCUAUUUCAAAUUUAAAUUUAAAUUUUGUGUAUUAAUUUUAAAUUUUUUAUUCUUAAAUUUCAAAAUUUAAAUUUUAUCUUGAAUUUGAAAUUUGAUAUUUAAAGUUUUGAAUUUGAAAAUUUAAAAUUUACUAUUUCAAAUUUAAAUUUAAAAUUUAAAUUUAAUAUCUAAAUUUUAAAUUUUAAAUUCUAAAUGCUAGAAUUUAAAAAUUCAAAAAUAAAUUGAAAAAUUAAAUUAAACAAUAAAUUUAAAUUUCAAUUUUGAGUCGAAAAUUAAAAUACGAACAUAAAGUUUGAGUUGAAAAUUAGAAUUAGGAUUCAUGAAAUAGGCUUUUGCUGCUUUUGUUUUUCGGUCUCGAAAAUUCCAAAAAUAGUUCUAAAAAUUAGAAUUAGAUUUUCAAAAUAAAAUUGUCAAAUGUUCUAUUAAGUCAAAAAUCACUUUUGAGUACAAAAUCACUUUUCAAAAAUUAUACCAAACACCCCCUAUAUAUUAGAGCUGUCUGCAUUAAUUUGAUAUUAGUGCUUCAAAAUUUUAUUUUUGUCCUUCAUCUUCUUGAAUAGAGCAUCCUAUGGGUCUCACGUGGGAGCCCACUUUUAAGUUUUUUAUAUGUAAGGUUACUCAAAACUAAAAAUUAGUUGUUGCAUCUUUUAUACUCCAUAAUUCUCAAGCUAGUUGCUUGAAAGAUAAUGCGAGUGAUGCUUUCCACAAAGCACACACGCAUACGGCACGAGCACGAGCACGAGUCGACCCGGGCAGCGGCACGUAGGUCUCGGCUACUCAGUUCGAGUUUGCACCACCCUGAAAAUGCACAUGACGGGACGAACAAUGGUUGUUAUAUCGCUAGUAGUGAUUACCGGAACCUCACACGUGGAGGAACAAUCUCGUUUUUAGAACAGUGCUUAGCGCGCUUCGAUUCAUAAGUCUCAUCUGAUUUUUCAUCCUUACAAUAUUUAGUUAUUAAUUCUUGCAUGUAUUUUAAAAACGCUUGUUUAACUUUAAACUUUAUGUUUUAAAAUAUUUAAAAAGAAUAUAAAUUUUACUAAUUAAAUUAGAGAGAAUUUUUCUAACAAGAGCCACAUAAGUCGAAAAUUAUGGCACAUUAAUUUGUUGAAAUUUAUGCUAUCCAAAUGCUUAAAUCUCUAUGUUUGGAUAUUUUAGAUAUGACAAUUCUUUAUUCUAGUUAAUUAAUUAUUUAAUUAUUAUUUAAUGUGGGAUAGAAACAUGUGAGCUCCUAAUAACGUCUCUCUUUCGUUCUAUGUUCAACCCAAUUGUCUACCUCCAAGUGUUGACCGAUCUAAUCUCAGCUUUCCUCCAACACACGCCAACAAAUUAUUCUCUACUGGUGUUGGGCCCAUACUUCGCGACGAGUAGAUAAUAUUUUAAAUAAUCAACAUAUAUAAUACUAUAAGACUAUAAAUUAAAAAUCUUAUAACAAAAAAAAAAACAAAAAAAAUCCAUAUAUAUAUAUAUAUAUAUCCUUUUAUAUAAUAUUAUAAAAACUAUUUUUUUUAUUUGUAUUUUUUAACUUUCAAUAUUUAUAGAGUUAAAAUAUUCUAAUAACUUCACUUACAAAUUCAAUCAAAUUUGUUAGUUUUAGUAGCUAUUUUAUAAAUAAAUUUUUUAAUUAAAAAGUUAAAAUUGGAGAAUUUAAUCUAAAUUGCCAAAUACAUCAGGUUGUUUUUACCUUAUUAAAUCGAUUGAAAAAGAAUAAGUUAUUAUAUGCACCUAGUUUAUAUUAACACACCAUACACCGCAACUUAUAUUAGAGAACGAAUUUCUAAUAUCAAAAUUUAAUUACAUAUGUCUGAUCUAAAAAGUCUAAUAGUUUAAAUAUGUUUACUGAAUUAAAUUUUAAAAUCUCUAUUAAAGAUUUAAGUAUGUGGUGGAUAUAAAUAUAUACACCCGGUGUAAAGAAUGCUUAAUAGAGUGCACUCAUAAUUUUAAGAAAGAGAGCAAAAAUCAUUGCUUGCAUCUGAUGUAUACUAAUAUUUCAUACACCGUAAAAGUAUAUUAGAUGAUUGAUAGAAUAUCCGAUAAUUUGUAUUGUGAAAUAAAAUAUGAUAUUGGAGUACAUCUCUUGUGCUUUUGAAAGUACGGAGGCCACCGUUCUUGUAAGUUAUUUCCAGUAAUAGGACAUCCGAUUUAACGAUCGGCUCUUUUAGGCAUAACUUACGCUAUUGAAACUAUUUAGAUACCAAAUUUUAUAAUUUUACAACAUCAUUUACCACGUGAUCAAAAUGUCUCAAAAAUAACUAUUUUAAUGAACGAUGUGGCACGUUUUAAAGUUAGAUAGUGUAGAACAAUCCAAAUUAGAUAAAAGUUUAAUAAAAAAUUUUACUUAAUAUCAAUAGCAAUAUCAAUGUUUUUAAUUUAAAAUUUGAGUCUUUUAUCACUAUUUUUUAUGAAAUUUUUAUUUUCAAUAUUUUUUUAGGCUACUUGUUUACUAGGUAAAUAAAGUCAAAAAAUUAUAAAAUUUAAUUUCUAGAUAGUUCAAAUAGCGUAGAUCAUGUCUAACAGAACUGAUCAGCGAAUCGGUUGUCCCAUCAUCGAAAAUAACUUACGAGCAUAAAGGCCUCCGAGCUUUUGAAAAUAUAGGAUCUUAGCUCUAUAAUAUAGUAUAUAUAAUAUAAAAUAUUUAAAAAAUUUAUUGUACUGUAAAAAUUGAUCUUUGAUGCAUAUUUUAUAUUCGAUUUACGAUGCAAUGAAUGCAUCCAAAAUUCCUAUUACAUAUGUGGCAAGCUAAUAUUUGUUGCUGCCUUAAGGGUUCUUUGAAAAGCUCUUUUUCAUAAUUCCAAAGAGCAGUGGAGAAAUUUUUAUGCACCUAGUAUAUAUUAAUAAGUAUAUAUAUUAAAUUAUUAAUAAAAUAUUUAAUAAUUAAUAUUUUAAAAUAAAAUAUAAUAUAUUAUACGUAAUAUAAAAUAUUUAAAUAAUUUAUUAUACCAUAGGAAUUUAUUUUGAUGCACAUUUUAUAGUCAACUUAGGGCACAAUAUAUAGGUGGAUCCAAAACUUCAAUAAGGUAUGUGGUAAGUUCUCAUUGGCUAUUCCCUAAAUUAAAGACACGGCUCUCUGAGAGGACAUCUUUGUGAUGUGAUAAAAUUGUCAAUUAUAUUUUCUUUUAUGCAUAUUUUAUAGUCAAUUUACAGCGCAAAAGGUGCCUCCAAAACUUCUAUUAGCUAUGUGGCAAGUUCUCAUGUGCCUCUUUCAGAGAAAAAAUUUUAGAAUAUACCGGGUAUAUUAAUGAUAUGACGUCACAAACCAAUCAAAUAAAUUCUUUUAAAGAUAUAUGUCUCAUCAUAAUUGUAAAAAAAUAUUUUUAUUAUAUUUUUGUUUGAAAAAAAAAUAUAAUUGACUUGUUAUUGAUGACGUGGUACAAGCGUGACAGUAUAAAACUUCUCCUUUAAGAGGCCAUCUUUGUGAUGUGAUAGAGCUGUGAAUAUAUAUUUUGUAACCCACACAUUCGAGCUAGCCCACGUGCCUAACCAGCGUUUCCCAGCCCAAAUAUAUAGUCCUAAUUUAUAAAGACCUACUAGCUAGGUCUUAUCAAGUGCGCACCAGAUGACUCCACCUCUACAAACUGGUCAUAUUAUCUAUUAUAGUGCUACACAGUUUGGCAAAUUAUCAAGGAUCUUAAGACCAUUGACCUUAUUUUUGCACCUUAUUUUUGCUAAUCCUUAAUAAGAAAUUCCACCCCAACUGAAGGCUUUUAUAAGCUAAAGAAUGUGACAUAUUUGUUUAACUUAUCUAACCCGAAAAUUUAAGCUUGAGGGUUUAGACCUAUUGAUAUAUUUUAAUCAUUGGCUAAUUUCAUACAGAUUCCUGCAAAUAUAGUGAAUUGUAAAUAUAUUUUUUAUGAAGUUCAACUUUUAUAUGUUGUCCCUGUAAAAAUCUUAAUAUUUUCAAAUAUAUUCCUACUGUUAGACUCCGUUAGAAAACUUUAGUUAACCAUACAUAGGUUAAAUGCUUAAUUUUGGUUAAUUUUUUAGAUAGCUUGAUAUUUUUAUCUCUCUUAUAUUAUACUGUUGUGGCUUUUGGAGGAAGAUAUUUAUGAUGGCAAAAUUAACAUUUCUCUUAAAAUAUAAACAGUUCUAUAACGGUAACAAACAAGAGAGACACAUUUGAAAAUAUUAGAACUUUUGUAGAAACAACAUAUGAAAGUUGAACUUUGUAAAGACAUAUUUGCAAUUCACUAAAUUUGCAAGGACUAAAUGCAUUUAACCCUUUAAUCAUUAAGGUGUUAUUUUAUGUGGUGCAAUAUAUUCUCAUGUGUCAAAUUCUAAUAGUUUUUGAGAAAGAAGAAUUUUGAAUUUGUAGCUUAUAUAGUUGAUUUGAGUUGAGAAGCUAAUUUGACUUUCCUCAAUAGAACCUACUUUAACUUUCUCUUGUAAAAAUAUUUGAAAUUUUCUUUACUAGCAUUAAGUGCUAGCUCCUCUAAUUCAUGGCCUCUUGUUAGAUUAACACCAAAUUGUUAGAAACUAUAUAUGAUAACUUUCAUAUAAAAUUUAUUUUAAGGAUAAUUUUGUUUUGAGGUUAAAGAGAUGAAAUAUGUGACACCCUAAACACCUCACAUUAGAUGAGAAUGAAAUUAUGAUUGAAUAUAUAAGAGACUAUAGAUACUAGUAAUAAUAACUGGACUUAAACAUUUUGGGCCGGUGGUUUCGGCCCAAUAAGUUAUUAUUACUAGCAGGUCGGGUCGUUACAUUUAGUAUCAGAGCCAAUCACUUAGCUAAACCAGAGUCGAAAUGACAAAACUAGCGAGACAAAUCUAGCGUUGCCUAGUGAUUAACAUCGCCUGAUGAUACCGACCGUCCCUAGAGCAAGUGGCAAAGGGUUUGGUGGUUGGUACUCGAGACCCAAGUUCGAAUGCUAAUUGAUUCACAUUUCUAGCUAAGUUUAUUUUUAAAUAAAAUAAACGAAGCGGGUAGCGUGCUACUUAUCUCUCAAUAAAAAAAAAAAAAAAAAAAAAAAAAAACAANCCUAAAUGGGUGGAUGAAAUUGUGAAGAUAAAUUUUAAUUUCCAGCAAUAUAAAUUUGCUAAUUUCAAAUAUUAGUUAUAAAAAAAAUAAAAAAUAACAAGACUAGUGAUGAUGAAAUUGUAAGAUUACAAGCCCAUUUGGGUUGUAGGGCUAGCACUUCUCAUUUGGUCAUAAAACACUGUUUCAUUUUCUUUAUCCUCUUUUCUUAAACUCCAAAAAUAUCAAAAUAAUAUUAAAAAAUUCCAAAUAUUUAUAGAAAAAAUUUUAGAAAUUGUGGAAAACCUACGGAUUUCCUUGCAAAGGAAACGUUGAAAAAUUUGUGGACUUACCUUGACGAUGAUACGUCGUAUCUUUCGAUAUUACCGCCGCAAAUGGAGCCGUGGAUUGGUGGACAAUCACCAAAUCAAACUACUCUCAUUUCUAAUUUUUUGAAUCAUCGCAUCUUAAUUACAGCACUGAUAUCAAAUUAUUAGGAUUUUCUAUCUUAAUGUGAUGCCUCAGUUUAAUUUAUAGGGGGGUCAUCUAUUAUAUUACUUCUCUAGUCCUAGUACGAUUAACUUUUUUAAACAUGUGGGUUAAUCAUCAUCCAAAAUACUAUAACUUAUGUAUAGGAUUAUUAAUUUUAUAUUCUACAUUUCUUCCUUCUUUAAAUGCUGAUGUUCUCGUGAGGCUUAAAAACACUCACAAAUAUUAGGCAAUGUGAGGCUCGUCUCGCCAGUUUUAACCGAUCUUGUGGGGAGCUGCGCGCGCUUCACCCACAACGACCGUCAGCUGUGAAGUCACACUCUGACUGCUAUGUAACCUCAACUCGAUCGAAACUUAUUUCACACUUUCGGCUAGUGAUUGGUUCUGAUAUCAACUGUGACACCUCACUUUCGAGAGGCAUCACCCAUCCGAAAACUACUCUAACCCUAGGACACUUACCAUUUAACCUCUUAGACCUAGCAACUGCCUAAAAUAUUACACCCAAGUUAAGAGAUUUAUAUAUCACUAUUAUAUCUUAUAUAUUUGACCAUUUCAAAUCAUACAUUUAAUGAUAACAAAGAUACAAAAUCAUUACGAGAAAAUUAAUGCUCACUUAUUUAAGAUUUAACAAUUAUUCUUUGACAUUUAUUAAUUUUAUCUCUAAUUUGAUUGAGCUUGUUUCCUAAAUUGAAGUGGCAGGUAUAUAAAUUCUAUUGUACUUGGUUGCAAUUUAAAAAUACAGGUUAGAGUUAGUCUUCUUAUUUCUACAAUAAUUAGUCAGGCUCGCUUCAAAAUUUAUUCUUCUCUUUAAUAUUCUUUUUUUAUGUUUUAUUUAUGCAGUAAAAUAAAUAGUGUGAGACGUUAUUUACUGUGAAGGUUUGUCACCGUAACAAGUCCUGUUUCAUUGAUGCCUCUGAUGGUUAAAUCACUGUUACUAUUUUUUAUUAACCAAACAGUCGGAUCGUUGGCGCUAAUCAUUAAUCCCAAAAAUUCAAAUUGGUAGAAAUAUAUAACCAAUUCAAAAAAACUCAAGCUGGUAGAAAUAUAUAACCAAUUCAUUUAAAAAGUAUAGACAUAUUACCCACGAGUCUCGAUUGUGAUUAGAUUCAACCAGUCUCAUGCGACUUCGAACAUGACUUGAUCGAAUCUAGCCUCACGACAUUUCGAACGUGAGUUUAAAAAUUCUUUGAGUUUUUAGUAUUAAAAAAAAUUUGAUAAGAUAAGGGCAUAAUAUGGCCUUUGGAUAUGUGAGGGUGGAAAACUUGCAUCCUUUUUGAGGUCUACUAGUAGCAGGGCUCAAAAAUGAUAUAUCGGGGCAAUUUCAAACUUAAGAAGUUAUAUAAUAUUAUGGAUUAUGGAUGUUCUUCCAAAAUUGUUAAUAUUUUUGUCACUAUAAAUUAAUGAAUUAUAUUAAAAAUGUCCUUCAGCAUGUUUUAGGCUAAUUUGUCCCUAGUUAUACGUACAUUUUUUUUAUUAAACAGGGGUAUACCUAUUUAAGAGAAUAUACAAGUCGGAAGCAAAAAGGAAAGCAAAAAGGAAAGGAAAAGGAACUUGCUCGGCCUCGAAAUCUUGAAGCAAACACAACCAAACAAACUAGAAUUAGGCUCUAAAAAACAAAAUGCGCUCUCAAGCCCUCAGGACAGAUAGCCAUAACUUAACUGCGAAAAAAACAACUCUCCUUCCCAAUUCUUUGCAUCGAGCUUGUCGAUUGCCGAAUAUUCUCGAAUUCCGCACAUUUCAUAGUUUCCAGCAAGCUGCGGAGAAAUAGAAAUCAAAAGUAGUUUUCGAUAGCGCCGACAGUGACAUCCUGACUCGACUUCACCUAAUCGCCAUAUCCCUAGUUACGUUUGACAUCAACUCCCUAGUAGUCAGAAUGCUUUGAAGUAGCUAAUUCCACAUGGACCUGGAAUAGCUACAGCAAAAGAGUAGAUGUCCUACGUUUUCUUCGUUCGUGGAGCGUAACAGAUUGAUAGAAGAGUCAUGCCAGGCCACCACGCUUUGCUAGUGUGUCUGCUGUCAAAAUCCUAUUUCUCACCGAUAGCCACAUGAAUAAUUUAAUCCUGAGGGGAGCCUCGAGUUUUCCCUAAAUAUAUCUUAUUACAAAAAUUUUGUGGUAUUAAAUGUUGGCUCAAUUUUUAUUAAUUUUUAUAAAUUGAGUUUAUGAAUGCCUUUUUUGUUUACAUAAGUUCAUUUUUUUAAUUCAAUAUCAUAUAGGUCUCAAGUUGAUCUUAAUUAACAAUUAAUUAAAACUAAAGAUAUAUUAAUUGUACAUUUUUAUCAAUUUAUUUUCUAGUUUAUUUAAAUUAGUACGAUUUUUUUUUGUAUAUUAUUUGCGUAGUUUAGUUUGUUCCAGUUAAUGAGUUUCAAUUUAGUAUACAUCUAACUAUAUUAAGUUAAUUAAAAAAGGCAUUGCUAAUAGAUGAAGGGCAAAAUAAAUAUUUACCUUUUAGAUGAAUUUUUAUCAAUAUAUUGGUGUUUAUGAUAGUUUUUCCAAAUUAGAGAGGUAUGUUUUAUAUCAAUAUUUUUAAAGAAGUUUCUUUUAAACCACGAUUUGGAUGAAUAAUACACACUAUAUAUAUAAAGAGGAAAGAAAAAACUCUAGUCCGAUUAGCGAUUAGUAUUCCUUGAAUCCAUGGCGUAAUCUAAUUCCGACUUCGUCAAACUCGAUUGUGCAAUGGAUAUAGUAGCUGCUCGAUCGCGCCAUUGCGCACAGCUUUUCUGGCGCGCAACCCCGCACGCCUGUUUGGAUGGUGCAGUUGUGCGUGUGGUGCCACGUGCAACCGCACAUCCGUGCGUCUCUGGGAAAGCUCUGAAUUGGAGCUUAGACGAGCACUGCGGUUCACCGCUUGGCCUAACAAGUCCUUGUAUGAAAUUGGUAUGGUUCAGAUGAUAAUAGAACAAAUAUAUAUCACUCUCAUGUGUCACGUCUCAUUGAUCGGUUUCGUGAUAUGAAUGGCAACAAUUCGAUCCUCGUCUUAAUCGUCACCCCACAAUCAAUUUAGUGAAGUAGGAACCGGACCUCGCAUGAGCUAAGAGAUUGCACGAACCAACUCACUAACAAGAUUGCAGAUCACAGCGAAUGUCGAGCUCGACUUAAGCUAGAUAUAUCACAUUCUUGGACUUACGUGAGCUAAGCCAGAUCAAAACCUUUCGAACAUUUUAGUGACUCUUAUGAAUACGACGUACUCAUAGAAGAUGUCAUGGUAACGUGAUAUAUUGGUUUGGUAACGCUCAAAAUUGUAUUAAGUCCAAGAACGUGCAGGUAAUUAGUUGCUUCACACUAAACACAUGGUCUCGAGGGAAAGAGUUAGGUGCAUAUAUAGACUGAUCGGAUGAGUGGAUUCAUGGUGACUUAAAAAAUAGAUGAAACAACUAAUUGAACAUUCACUUAAUUAUACGCUGAUAAUUAAUUAAGCAAUUGAUGUUCAAUCAAUCCUUUCUACAAUGAGAAACGUGAAGUCUACAACAUUCCAAAAAAGGUUGGAAUCCUGCAACCAUCCUAGUCCUAGGGUUGAGUCAGCACUUUUUUAAUUUUAAUAUUAAAAAAAAAACAUAUAUAGCUAUUAAAAAAGAAAAGGUUAGUAAGAUUAACGUACGGAACUUAGUUUUUAGAUGGCGAUAUAUGUUGUAGAGUUAUAAUUUAUAUUGGAUUUGCGUGGAUAGCAAUCUCCAAGAAGAUGCAUGCCUUGCAUUCGAUCUACAUCAUAUUUAUUUCUAAAUAUAUAGGACACGCAAAGUAGAAGACUCAAUCUGUAACGAGAAAUGGCAGGAAAAAUUAACUACUUGGAUCUACUUAGUCACGCCGUGAGAUUAGACAGGCAUGCAUAUUACAAUAAGAGAGAAAUAUUUUUUUUUUUGAGAAAUAGGUAACACGCUAUCCAAUUCAUUCAUUGUAAGGAUGAAUUAGGCUAUAUGGGUGAGGCAACGAUGGCCUCGGGAGUGGGUGAAAACAAAAAAAAAAAAAAAAAACACUUGGACCCAAAAGUUGGUCCCAAAAUACUACGAUCUGCCAGACAAAACUCGGUCCCAACACUUCGUCAUAUGAUUAACAAGGGAGAAAUGUUAAAUCUACAACUCAGAAGGAUUUGUAAUUUCAGGAUUAUAAUAAUAGAGUUAUGUGAAUACGCCGAGAAAUACUACAUGUGCAAACAGCUAACUUUGUGGAUGUAAAUCUUACACCCGCUAUCUAAAAAUAUAUGGAACCUCUUUUGGAGUUCCAACAUUAAAAUAAAAUAAAAAGUAAUGAGAGUACUAGUGUGGAAAAGGUGGCUCUCAAAUGACAAGGAUGCGAAAUUUGCAUUCAUUUUUGAAAGUAACUAGUCAAGCCCCUUUUUUUUGUAUUCUUUCUCUCAUAUAAAACUAGGCUCCAAAUCUAGGAGAUGGUGUGGCAAUUAAUGUCAAUGCCUCAUAACUUCAAACAACAAGUACAACAAGCAUUGGUUGUUAUCGUUUUGAACAUCGUUGUCCAUCCACUACUUAUCUAGCUUUUAAUUCCAAUGUUGUAGUGUUAGAGUCACAUACGGCAUUUCUUUCUCUCUCUCUCUCCUUUUCAAUUUGUGGUGUUUUCCAAGCACACAAAAUCGGGUAUGGAAUCCAAGUCUCCCUGACUUGGUGCCAUUUUUUCUUUGCAAAAGUCAUCCGAACUGAAGGCCGGGCUUGCAAAUUCGUUCUUUAGACGUAACCAUUUUGAUGCUUUUUUGAAAAAAAAAAAAAGAUUGACUGAAAAAUAGUACUAAGCGAUUCGUUUCAUUCAUAUUUCUUUUUUGACGAACUGAUCAGCUAAAACUGUGAGACAAUUAGGCAUUCAAACUAAAUUCAAAUAGAAAAGUAAAGCGAGUCGAUGGCUUCUGGUGAAGGCCGAAGCUGCAUGGAGGGGAAGAAGAGGAAGAACGAUAAAGAUGAAAUUAUUAUUCAAAUCUCAAAAUCUGAAUUAUAUUAACUAAACAUUAUGUCUUUAUAUAUAGAGGCGAUACCCGAAUCCUACUAAACAAAAAUAAUAAAUUCUAAUAUAUAUCUAAACCUAAUUAGAUUAUAAAUAAUCAAAUAAUCGGACUAAAAAUAGAAAAAAUGCAGGACUUUUCGGAAAUAAUCUAAACAUAUAAAAACAGAUCGAGGCCAAAAUAAUUAAAUAUCGGUCCCAAACUCGGCCGGAAUGGCUGCUCAAUUUGAUGCAUCGAUCUCAAAAACUAUUUUCUAAAUUAGAGUUGCACGCUAAAUUCAGACACUCGAGCGAAAAGUUAUGAUCGUUUAAAGAUAUCUCAUGCCAAGUGUAAAAUUUAUCAGAACUCAACGAAAUUUUUGGCUCAACUUGGUCGAAUCGUGUUUUUUCAAAACUUCGAACGCCAAACUGGUCACAUUUGCUUCGAACUUAAGAUUUCCGUACCAACCAUCAAGUACUUAACUAACUGCAUGCAUACGUUAGAUGCAGUCAAUAUUUUGUUACUCUAUAGAUCACGAUUUAGAAAUCUAAUAUUAGAGGUGCAAAUUAAUUGACGUGGGAAACUUCAUCGAACUAUCUGAGACGAUAUGUUAUUUUUAUGGAGACGCUAUUGCAACUUUAAAGCAUCAAACUAAUUACAUAUGCAUUCACAAAGUAGCUAGCCAAAAAAUGAUCAGUGUAAUGCUAUUAGCUAGAUGGGGGAGAGCUCGAUCGGCUCAGGAAAGUGCAUAAGCAAAAAUAUAUUGUCUAAGCUCUUUAAGUCAAAACCUGCUGCUCUGAUACCAUACGAAAUAACCGUUGUAUUAAUUCGUAAAAACUAUUAGAGAACAGUAUUUAAAUAUAUUUAUAUUUAACAGUUUGCUACUAAUUUCAUUUGCAUUAUAAUUCGGAAUUUAUUCUACGUACUGUUUGGCCCACCAUUCAGUAAUCUUUUUAUUCAAAAUUUGAACUAGACUUAUUUACAGGGAAAAGACAUUAGAGGAGCACAUUUUCCUGUUUGACUCACCAUUCACUAAUCAUUCUAUUCAAAAUUUGAGCUAGACUUAUUGACGGAGAAAAGACAAUAGAGGAGCGCUUUUUCCUCCAAAAAUCGCGUAAAAUCUAGAGAAAAAAUGAAAAGGUUUAAUGGAAGAAGCAAGAAAGGAGAAAACUACAACAUAAAAUGAUGGGAUCCGUUUCUUUAUAGUGCAAGCUUUUAUGAAUACAUCGAUACUCCAAAUUUAUUGGAAAAUAGAGAUUAACUCAAUCUCAAAGAGAUAUGAUUAAACCAGCAAAUACGGAAAUCACAUCAACUUGAUUUGACUUUAAAAGACGAGGAAUCUGAACCCAAAAUGACCCGAAUCCGAAGUGAACCAAGACUCGAGACAUUUUAAAUCAAAACGAUAUGAAAAACCUAAUGUGAAUCAACUAGAAAAUAAAAUGAAACGCAAGAGCAUGUUUAUUUUAUCGAAACUGAAUUUUGGGUUGCAGUGAAAUUCGCUAGAAAUUACUUUUUUCUGCAGUUUAUUUCGUAGUUAUAAAAGUAAGUUUUAUUAGUUCUGAUGUUUGUUUAGUAGAAAAUAUAUGAUGUAAAAUUAUAAUUUAUGUAUAAAUAAUAAAUAAUUUAAUAAAUAAAAAAUAAUUUAAUUAUAUUUUUUAAUUUUUGUCAUAUUUUAAUUGUACAAAUUAAAUAAAAAAAUAUUAAAACUUAAUUAAUUAAUUUUUAUAAUAUUUUAAAUAUGUUAACUGAAUAAAAGAAUAAUUACUACCAUAAUUAAAUAUAUUUAAAAAUAAUUAUCUUUAUUUAGUAUAUUAUUUUAUUAUUUUUCUUCACCUCUCCUUACUAUAAUUGANAAUUGUACAAAUUAAAUAAAAAAAUAUUAAAACUUAAUUAAUUAAUUUUUAUAAUAUUUUAAAUAUGUUAACUGAAUAAAAGAAUAAUUACUACCAUAAUUAAAUAUAUUUAAAAAUAAUUAUCUUUAUUUAGUAUAUUAUUUUAUUAUUUUUCUUCACCUCUCCUUACUAUAAUUGACUUCCGCCCACCACGUGCCGAAAUUAAUUACAUCGUUUCAGGUUAACUCAAAUUUCAACUAUAACUUAUUUACGGUGAACCAAACAACAGAGAUAAUUGUUUAUAGCGAAAACGACUUUCCUCCUCUCCACUUUCAUCCCACUUCCACCCAAACAAAUAUGCCCCAAAUAUAAUAAUACAUUCAGCACUGCGACCUCAGUGAGCUGAAUUUGAAUGAUCAAAAUGCCUGUAAUUGAGCUAGUUUUGAACACUUGAAACAUUAUUGUGCUUUUUUCCUAUCUCGGAUUAUGUCACAUUGUAUUAUUUUCUCACUACACAUUAUUUUCUGAAUGAGUUAACCGGAACGGUUAGAUAAACACGUUCGCUCUAUCAAGACCACUCAUGUAAAAAUUCCAAGGACACUACAACAAAAAUGGUAUAUAGCGAUACUUUUAAAUGUCGGUAUAGGACAAAAAAAGUACUGCUAGCUAAAUUACCAACAUUUUUAAAAAGUGUUGUUAUAUAUGGGGUCGCUAGGUAUAUAGUGAUAGUUUAAGAGUGUUGGUAUAACUUAAAAAGAAUGCUGCUAAUUUACCAACACUUAUUUAAGCAUUUAGUAACCGCCGGAACUCUACCUCGUCGACUGCAGCGCGGAGGAGGAGGAGAGCGAGGGGCUCUCCGUCUAGGGUUUCAGUAGAUUGAGUGAGGGGAGAAGAGGAGAUGGUGAUCGAUUUUUCUUUUUUCUUUUUUUUUCCUUUUCUGUUUGUAAUCGGGACGAAUGGACUGGAUGAGAUGGGUUGAGUAGAGUAACUUUUUAUUUUUGGUUAGAUUGAGCUUUAUAUUUAGGCCUUAGUAGAAUUUUUUAAAUAUUUUGGCAUAAAUGUGACACUUACGAAAAAUGUCCCAAAUAUGUGUCCCUAUAACCUAAUUCUGUUGUAAUGGAUUAGUCGUACCAUCGAAUUGGCUAUGCUUUGGUCGAAUCCUUGGCUAAACUUUGGCAACUAGUGCUCGAAUCUUCAUUUCUUUUCUUUCUUUAAUGUAAUUUUUGUUAGUGUUAUGAGCCGAAUUCUCCAACCAUCGACCCGGUCAAAGAUCUCCUUUGGGAUGCGUGCGAGGAGUAGAUGCGUGCGAGUAGAUACGGCUGUACGCUGUGACCCUCGAAAUAUGCGCCCUUCGACUGAUCAAGCGAUUCGGCUAAUGAGGGAUCAGAUCAGCCAAGUUCGAAACUCUCUAACACAGAAUCAGUUCGGUUGAAUGAGCCGAAUAGGAUAUUGCGUAGUAAUUUUAAGUCAGCUGAUGAGCUAAAUGACCUUUAUAUAUUCAAACUUAAAGUCGAAAAAACUUGUACAAAAGAGAUUGUGCCUGUAAGGCAUACAGACUUUAGGAAAUCUAACUUACAGACUACUCCUAAAAAAGGCAGUAAAUGCAGGAGAGGAAAGAUUACAGAUAAACUACUCCUAGAAAAGUAAGAAAAAUGCGCGGAAAUAGAAAGGUGGUCUUCUGUUCGCUGGAAAAAGACCCCUCUUCCAGGCGUUACUCGCCUAUUUAUAGUCCGCGCAUGGUUAUUCGGUUAUGUACACGAUCGACUACUUUCCUGAUUUCGUAGGCCACUACAAGCCGAUUCUAACCACUCAAGCCGCUUGCGGUUAUAUUGUGAUUUACUUUAUGCUCCUGGCGCACCACAUGUCAAGUUUUAGAAUCCCUUACGAGUUGAGCGCCAAUUUUCCACGUGGCAUUUUAUUGGUGUCAACAAUUGCCCCCUCGGCAGCCCCCGAACAAGUGGUUCCGUAGCUGACGUAAUCUCUUCCAAAGGCGUGGAUUUCGAAAUUAUUAUUUCGAGUUGUUUUGUACCAUCUUUCUCUCAGCCAUUCUUUCACCUUUGACGGCCACGAUCUCCCACACAUUCCUUUUUGUCUCUUAUGCGGCAUUUAUUAGGUCAUUUAUUGCGGCUGUCUUGUCAUCAUUAAAGCCGUUUUCAGAAUUCUAUUCGACGGCCCUUUUUCUUUUUUUUCUCUUUUGUUUUCUUUUUCUCUACGCUUUCUUUUUCCUCUCUUCGUCCUUCGUUUUUCUUUCUUCUUCCUCUUCGCCCGAGAAUCCCUUUCUUCUUUUGUCUUCUCUACUUUUUCUUUCGUCUCCUUUAAUGGCUUCGUUUCCUCAUCUUCUUUUUUCUCCACCUCUCAUUUACACUUUACUUAAACAAUAUGUUGGGUCGGAACCUUCUUAAUUUAUUUUAUAUCCCUCGUUUACAGAUGACCCUAUCCCUGAGAAUUUUCCUUUCUCAAGUAAGGGUCUUCCUUUAAUGGCUGAUGUCAUUCAUCUCCACUCUUGGUAUGCUUCAACUUCGAUGGGAAAAAAUCUUCGGACUUGGCCGAAUGUUUCGGAAGCAUAUCUCGCUUGGUUGGAUUGGGUGGAAGCGUCGUAUGCCGAUCUCUGGCGCGAGAUUGGAAUUUAUGAAGCCAUUCAAUUAUCUCGAACACCUCCCAUAGCUGAUAACCUUUUUUUGGCUGCGGCUCUUUGUUUCUUGUCCCCUGUUUCCAACACCUUCUUUUUUAGAGCGGGACCCUUUACCCCUACUCUCCUUGAUGUAGCAGCGAUCGUUGGUUUGCGCCCUCACGACAUUACUCUUUCGAUGGCCUACAAUCCUAACGACGUGACCGAUUUUAAGGCCCGUCUUGAUCUACCUGAUCUAACUUAUACCAAGUUUAUUCUCCGGUUCGCAGGCCAAUCCGCUGCUUCGGUUACAAAGAAGGAGCACACAAUAUUCCUUCUCUACUGGUUAUGUCAUAACCUCUUCUGUACUCGUUCACAGAAGAUAAAUCGACAUUUUGUUUCAAUCGCCGUAGGUUUAGCUAAUGGCAAAAAAUUAGCCUUGGGUGUAUAUUUUCUUGCUUUGUUUAUAGAGAAAUUUUUGAUUCAAUCAAACCAUUACCAUUCGGAGAAGGUUUUGCAAUUAUGAUAGCAGGGACUAUUUUGGGCAGCAUGAGGCCACUUGGUGUGACCUCUGGACUAGUUGCCGAAGCAUUCGAUACCCUUGCGGAAUCAAAAUUUCUUCCUGAUGCAUUUUUUGACAAAAUUGUCGGCGGAACGCAGUGACAGUUGUCGAGUCCACUUGUUGGUAGUGCUAUCACCCCUGGUGCAUUGCAGAGCCUUGUUGGCUAAUUACACUGAUUGUCUUAAGUUUCUGAAGACAACAAGUGAGCGACGGAGGGUUUCAGUGCUAAAAACAGCACUUUUGGGAACCUGGAAUGGUAAUAUAUGCAUUUUGGUGUAUCUCGAUGUUGUGGGCUGACGGUGGCUAUCCGAACACCCAUGUUGGUGCAUUUCGGGACAGCGGCGAUUAGUCUUGUACUGUGGUAUCUUCCGAAACACUCUGUGGCAAUCGAAAGUGUUUCGAUGGAGUUUUGGAACUCUCGGAAGUUUUGGGGUUGUGGGUUUAGUGUUUUAGAGUCAAAUUGGUGGAUCUUGACUCGGUGGGUCUUUCCUAAAUCCAGUCGAUGUCCCAGCAUGCCUUGAGCAUUAGACAUUGCGACGAUUUUAGGUGGGUGCUUCAAUCCGGAGUCGGUAUAGUGGUGCUAGCUCGUUGAUAUUAUUCUCUUACCCUUUUUCAUUUUCUUUGCAUAUUAUUGAUGAGCAUAUCGCCACUAGACUUUCGAUUUAUUUACUCUACUUCUGCUCGUUCAUAUAUUUGUAGUAGAAAGGUGUGAGAUGAUUGCAUGAUUUCUAUCUGUGGACCUAAUUGGUUAGUGUUGGCCGGUUCACCGAUCUGGUGAUCUAUUGUGGACAUGUACAUUGUUUAUCGACUUAUUCUCGGCUGUUUGUCGUUUCGUUGACCAUUGAGCAUUUCGUGUCAAUCGUCACAACUCAUGUAGCAUGUCACGUACACUAGCGGUUUGGCCACCGUAUUGGUGUUUUUUUUUCGAAAAAGUGGUCGUCUUCUCAACCCGUGAGCCUCUGCAAGGUGCUAGCAAGGGGUUUUGUGCCAGGUGGGUGAGCAAACUGUGACACUGCCUGCGGUCUUUAGACCUAUACGGCGAGGUGCUUGGAUAUCGGUUUCAUACAGCUGAUACAUUGAUUAUUAUUUACAGUAGCGGUAGGUGAUUAUUGUUAUUCAUAUCCAUAUUUAUUUAUCCGCUAUCGUGCAUAAUUAUCUAUCUAUCUCAGUUGUUUUCUCUCGCAAGUGAGUACACUCGCAUUCGUCGGCUUGCGAUGCCCACUCGAAGAUCCUUGUUGGUUUCUCACCCCCCCUCCCCUUCAGGUGAUAUUGGCGGUGGGAGUCGGGAUGGGGUGUGUGAGGUGCAACAACUUGCGAGUUUUAGAGGUCCCGGCAGUUCUACAUCAUCUACGGUUAUUUUGAAUCAACCCUCUUACAUUUAUGGUUAAUAAAUUAGACACUGUGGUUCAGUUAUUUGUUUGAUUGGUUGUGAAUUCUUGAAUAAUCUUGGUGGUAGAUGAUCAUUUAAUUGCAAUUACUUGAAAUAAUUAUUCUUUUGGGAUUUUCUAUGUGAUGGUAUUUUAGUUGUAUAAUAUGUGAUUUUGUACCCCUCGAGCUAGUCGCCAUUUUCAAAAAAAUAGGUUUCCGUGUGGGAGACUACUUUCAAAAGGCUUUUCGGUUUCUCGAUCCUUAGUUUUUCAAAAAUAAAGUUUUAAGGUUGGAAACACUUUCAAAUGGUAGACUUGGUUACUGUAAUGAGCAUUUGCAUCAUCCUUCGCCUACGGAGUGCUUAGAGCAUGCAAAGGAUUGUUAGCUGAAUGUUUAUUGUGAGCAUAUGCAUUGUGAAUGCUGCUUGUGUGAUUGAAUGUAGUGUCGCAACAGCUCUUAUAGUGGUACGCCGUGCAAAAACAGGGGAGACUCUGUCCUAGUGGUGGCCGGAGGAAAACAUGUAUUUUGUGGCAGGUCUGUUUCGUCCCCUGACAUAUUUGUAUUUCAAAAAACAAAAGAGGCAAUUCCGUUGGCUUCAUUUUCAAACCAGUUUUUUCUUCGAAAAAGCUUUACAAAAAGGGGCCUCGGGGCGUGACAGGGGUCUCACAGAUAUAAUCAGGCUAAAACUCUUAAUCCGGCUAUAGCAUUUUAGCGAUGGCUAGGCCCAAAAGGUUAAGAGAGUUAAGUGUGUUAGGGCUGGAGUAGUCCUAAAAUGGGUGACCCUCUAGAAAAUUGGAGCGUCACACAAGUCACUUAAAGCGUACAAACAAAGUGUCCAUGGAUCUCGAUUGUCACUCGACCCAACGAGCCUCUACUUCGACCAUGACUCGGCUCAACCCAACCUCACGCCAUUUUAAAUGUGACUCGACCCAACCUAGCCUCCCACCACAGAGCAAGAUGCUGAUCCAUUUAAUGCAACAAUCCUCCUUCCAGUACCCAUAUAAAUUCACAGCAUGCGGGAAUCGAACCUACGACCUCUUGUUCUAAUAUCACUUGUCGGAUUGUUGAUACUAAUCAUUAAUCCCAAAAGCUCGAGCUUAAUUUUUUGUCAGUGGCUCAUCCAACCGUGAUAAUAUCCCACAUAUAAUAUUUUCUCUACCAAUCAUCUCAUCAUAUCAUUUAUUCUCUAAUAUUAGUUUUAUCCUUUCUCACGCGUAGUACUCACCACCUAUUAUGUAAUAUACCGAAUCUCCGAAUCGUAAUGCUAAUUUUGAUCAAAUUGAUCAAAGUAAGCUAUGAGGGUGAUGAGCGAGGUUUUCGAGUUGCCUUGAAGGCGUUGGGAUGGUUGGAAGUGAGUUUCAGGAGUGUUUGGAUGUUUUCGGCUCAAACCAGGCGCGAAAACAAACUCUGAAAUAUUGCAACUGCUGGACUACAGAAGUGACAUUGAGUACCGGUACAAAGGCAAUGCAGUACCGGUACCCAAUGGAAGUGCAGUUUUGUCAGGUCUCGGGUUUGGGACCUUGGCAAGCUGUGUACCGGUACCUGAGACGAGUACCGGUACUGGACUGGUCAGGUACCGGUACAAGUACCGAUACUGGUGUUAUGUACCGGUACUACGCAUUGGACUAGAGUUGCACAGCCUCGGGUUGAGUGGCUCGUACUGGUACUAUGUGGUAGGUGCCGGUACUGGGAGCCCUGCGUACCGGAACUCCAGCCCGAGUAUCGGUACUCAGUCUGUAAAGGACUAAAUUGUAAGGCUAAAAAUGAGACUUUGUGGGGGGCUUAUUUGUAAAUGUUGGGGUCUAAAAAUAACCCCAACCCUACACUUGUACUUCUUAUGCAAGAGAAGACCUCGUUCCUUCCCCUUCUUAUCUCCUUCUCAUUCUCUCUCUAGAAUUACCCCCUCAAGGUGGAAUUGGAGGAGAAUUGAAGGUGAGAAUUGGUGGUUUUGGUGUUGAGGAAGCUCAAGAAUAAGAAGGGCUUUGUAGAGCAAGGAGCCAAGGUAAGUUCUUUGCAUUUGUAUGUUAGGGUUUAGUUUAAAUUCCCUAAUUUGCUUAGUUUUGUGGUUCUUGGGAUUCUAGAGCUUGGAUUAUGCUAAGAAAUCCCAAGAAAUUUGGACUAUGGGUUGCAUGUAUAAACCCUAAGGUUAGAAAUGGGAUUUUGAAGAAAUGGAGAUCUACCAUGGAAUUGUUCUCUUGUAUUCCUAAUUAAAGGUUAAUCCGACGUGUUGGGAGGCUUGGAUCGAAGUUCCGACGACUCUACGGCAAGAUAUUAAGGAAAAAUCUCAUUUUGUCUUCGUUAGACGUGGGUCGAGAGUUUAGGCAUCUAAAAAUUAUGGGACUUGGAUUCUCGCAUCUCAACAUCUUUAAGAGGUGGGUGGUACUAUCCGAAAUCUUCGAAUUACCUAUUAUAUCUAUGUCACCUUUUUGAGCAUAUAUGUAUAUGUAUAGUGUUGUAUUCAUGCAUUGUAGGGUUAAUGUUAAUAUAUAGCUAAAAUGUGGGAUAUCUUAUAUGCUUUUAAUGUAAAGAUACAUGUGGACAAUAGACUUUGGACAUAGAAACCCUAUGGAUGUAUGAACUAAAUGUUGGAUUAUGACAAUAGCAAAUAAGGUGACAUUGUUACUAGAUGAUUGUUUAGUACAUAAAAAUGUGGAAUGCUAGACAAAGAAAACUUUGUGAAAAAUAUGGCAAUAGUGACAUGGUAUCCUCGAAGUCGAGGAUGGGAUUAUACUCACAGGUAGUCUGAUAGGCUUGAGUGUGAUCGCUCCACCUUAAGCGAUGAGCUCCGAAGUUGUCAUCACUGGGCAGUAGCGGAAUUCUCCCCAGCAGACCGUCCCGUCGGAUUGUAGUGGAAUUCUCCCCGACAAAAAUGGAUUUGGUUUGGUGAGUUGGGUUUAACCAAAUGGUUGACCAAGAGGAUUGGGUAACGGUAAAGGUAAAAGAGAAAUGCAUGCAUCAUGAGCAUCAAAUUUGUUGUUUCAAUUAUACAGGCAUAGUAGUAGCAUUAGUUUGGUUUGCUAUCUAUUCCUUUUCCUAUUUAUGCCUGAUUAGACCUAAUGGGUGAAUCGGCGGGGUCGGCGGCCGAACCCGCUCAGAACUUUUUCUAGUUCUCACCCCACUAACCAUGCAUGUCCUAGCACGAGCGUGGCGGUCGAGGAUCGCGGCAUAGGCAUCACGCCCUAGAUAGUGGACUUCCUCGAGUAUAGAUAUACCUUGUAUAUUUCAUCUUUUGUAGUUGAUGAAACGAAUAUGUAAUAAUUGUAUUUGAGAGAUAAUUUGUAUUGGAAAAUGAAUACAAGCUUUGUAUUUUGUUUAAAGUAAUUAAGAUACAAUGUAUGGAUUUAAUAGCUAGUUUACUUUCACUUACUCAUGUUGCUAGCCCUCGUGCAAGCAAUGUAUAUCAAAAUUUUUCUGAGCAAAUUCUAUAUACAUGUUACAGGUUGUGGAGCCAUGGGCGGACAGAAGAGGCUCUGUUCGUUCGACGUCUCUUUCCCUUUACUCCAAUCUUUGUUUCGGCUCCAUCUAAGCCGAUCUUCAUUAUUUCCUUUUCUAAAUUGCUCAUAUUGAGCAACUCGAACUCCCAAAUAAAAAAGAUUUGAAAAAUACUUAUCUUUAAAAUGAUCUUUAAUUUUGAAGUGUAAACUAUUAAAUGCCAUUUUGGCAAAUUUCGAUUCUGGCAUUCUUACAAAGCAACGGCUUCUUGCUGUCUUGAAUCGAUUUAGAUACUCUUCAACCGAUUUUCCUGUUCUUUGCCUGAAUUGGGCUAGAUCAGUAACUGAAAGUUCUAGCUCUGAUCUAUAAAAUUGUUCGUAAAAUUUUCUUUCCAAUUCGUCCCAAUCUCGGACGGAAUUAGCAGGUAGACUCAUAUACCAAGUAAAUGAUAUUUUGGUUAACGAGGUAUUAAACAGCCUAAGCUUCAGGAAAGGAUUUUCAGCGGCUUCUCGGCACUGAGCCGUAAUCCGCACGACGAGUUCAAUCGUAUUUUCGGUCUCGUCGCCAGAGAAUUUAUCGAAUUUCGGUAUUUUUUAAUUUGCCGGAUAAGGAUAUUCUGUAUCUAUGUUUGCAGGAUAGGGUGAUGUAAACACAGGCCGCAUUGCCGGCCUAGCUCCAACUCCGAAAGUAUUUCGGAUGGCUUCCUCAAUCUGAGCAUAACUUUCAUUAUUGUUCCCUUGUAAAGAUACAGGCACCUGUGCCUGAACUGGAUUUGGUCCUGGUGGUAGCCCGAAAUUCUGCACUGCAGGGAUGAUCCCUUGCAUAUUUGGGGCCUGCCCCCCAGCUCUAGCCUCGACAUUUUGGGGCUAAUAUACUGCCACUGGUGGGGAAGGUGGUAACCCCCAGGCUAUUUCUAGUUGUUGACCGACGUUCGCAGCAACCGGUCUGUAAGCCGCCUGAAAUGGUGCCCCAUAGUGUUGGGGUUGACUACUUGCCGGUGUUACAGGAUUUUGUAACACCGGUGUAACUAAGGCCCUUGCAGACCUGUUACAGGUUGUUCAUUACGAGUCAAUAAUUGUCCUAUUCGGGCAAUAUUCUCGUUAGAGGCCGUGAUUGGGGCGAGUACUGCAUCUAAACGGGAAGUACUCCUAUAACUAUUUUGGUCCAGUACUUGUAGGAUGCGUAUUAUUUGUCCAAGCGCUUGAGCCAAACUUGGCUCUUGUUGGUCGGACUGACCACUAGUCUCACCUUCAACUGGCAAACUGUUCGGCGUUCGCUAGCAUUAUCGGAAUGGGUUGAUCGCUCCCGGAAUUUCUAGGAACGACCCUAUGGCGCAAAUUUAUGGCAUUAUCAUCAGCCAUAACUUCAAUAAGAAAGUAAAUUUACCUAGACUGGUGUCCCACCGGGCGUGCCAAAAUUUGUUAGGAUCCGAAUUCCCUGAUCCUUGACCCGAUCAAAGGUCUCUCUCGGGAAGAGUGUAGGAAUGUGGAAUGGCUGUGAAUGGUGACCCUCAAAAUUUGCGCUUUUCGACUGGAUCAAGCGAUUCGGCUGAUGAGGAAUCGAAUCAGCCGAGUUCAGAACCUUCUACUAUAGAUUCGGUUCGGCUGGAUGAGCCAAAUGUAUGGAAUAUACUGUGCUUUGGGUCGGUUGAAAAGCCGAAUGCUUUAUAUAUUGGAAUUAACUUGUAUAACUAGUACAAGGGACGAGUGUGCCUGAGGGCAUACAGACUCGGUUGAUCUAACUUAAACUUACUCUUAGGAAAACAGUAAGUGCGGGAAAGUAAAAGAUUACAAGUAGACUACUCCUAGAAAAUAUGAGAAAAAUACAGAGGAAAUAAAAGUGGUCUUCGAUUCUCGGGAAAAAGACCUUUCUUUUGGGCGUUAUUUGCCUAUUUAUAGCUCGCCUCUAUUGAUCCGUUAUUACCACAUCCAUGAUCGCCACUACUCCUAUUUUUUCGGGCCACUUCAAGCCAAUCAGAACUACUCGUAACCACUUGCAGUUACUGUAACUUCUUUCAAUUACACCUGGCAGUUACUUAAUUAUAUUGUCGAUGCUCUCGGUGCAUACCAAAAUCUUCUUUAAUUCUUGCUCUUAAAGAUUGGGGUUGUGUGGUGCACCAGCAUACCACAUGGCCGGAUGUUAUUGGCCUAACACCAUUAAAUCUAAAAAAAAUUUCAAAAAAGUACAUUUUUCAAGAACCAAAGGAACAAAAUAUAUUUUUUCAACUAAAAAAUUAUUUUCUAAAAAUAUCUUCCAAAAAACCGAGCAACCUUUUAUUUCCUAUCAAAUAAAUAAUAAUGAAAAAUAAAAUUUAUGUAAACCUUAAUUUAACUAGAAAUUAUUUAACUCUAUAAAUUACUCACACGCAAACAAAUAGAUUCAAAGCUCAAGAGAGUCUAUAGUUUUAUCUUUUUACUUUUUUUUAGUUGCCUUUUUCUCUCCUUUUUAAAAUAGCACGUUUGUGAUGUUUAUAUUUAAUGUGGUGGAUCCACAAUGGUUCACAUCACGAAGGUCAUUUAACUGUCAUGCACGUAGCAAUCACGUGGAAGCAUCGCACGUACGACAAGUGGCUGAACCUGUUUGGGAUGUUUUAAAAGCCUAGUUUAAUAGCGAUUCAAAAAUAUUAUAACAUAAAAAGUUAUAUAUAUUUAUAUAUAUAUAUAUAUUUAUAUAAUAAAUUAAUUAAGUUAAUUUUAUUAAUAUAUAUACAUAUAUUUAUAUAAUGAAUCAGUUAGAUUGAUUUUAAGUCGUUAAAUUUUAAUAUAAUUUGAUAAAAAAAUUGGACUAAUUUGGAUAAAAUCAGGUAGGUUGGUUGCUUGGAUAACAGUUCACAAAUGGAUUUUUUGAAAAUUAUCAUCCUAUUCAAGAGGUGAUUGAAUAGGGUUCGAUUCGACUCAGUUUUUUAAAUUAUUGCUAACUCGCUGGGGCCCACGCGCGUGCGAGUUGACGUCGCGACAGCUGUCGCCAAUCCCGAGGGUUAUGAGAUUGCUGCCGGUGCAGAUGCGUUACUUGGAUGCCCAAGCAAUCGCAAUCGCAAUCUAUCACUCUGACAAGAUGUUUCCUUUUCCUCAUAAAUAGUGAAGCUAGUAACUAGUGUGUGUAUAUAUAUAUAUAGAGUUGGACUGGACUACUAUUAGUAGCAAAAUUCUAUUAUUACUAUCAGUUUUUUAACCUUUGGAUAAACUCUUUUUAUUAUUUCUAACCAUUAGAUUAAAUACUAUAACCCAGUGGGGACCACUCAACCCUAGGGGACCACUCAACUCUAACCGACUAAUAUCAUCCUGACCCUACAAUUUUUUAUCCAAGGGUUAAAAACUUGAUAGCAAAAAGAGCGUUUUACUAUUAAUAGUAUUCCAGUCUAAUUCUAUAUAUAUACAUAUAUAGAGUCCGACUGGGGUACUAUCGAUAGCAUAAAGGAUUUGGUGCUAUCGAGUUUUCCACCGUUAGAUUUAACCUUUUGAUUAUUUUUACUCGUUAGAUUAUACUAUUCAACCAACCACUCAAUCAACCUAGGGGGCCCACAUCAUCUUAACCAUCCAUUUUUCAAUCCAAGGGCUAAAAAAUCAAUAACACCAGUAGGUUUGUGCUAUUGACGGUAUUCCAGCCUAGUUCUAUAUAUAUAUAUAGGCUAGGGCUACUAUACUCUUAUGAGUAUAGACCCUCUUGUAAUCAUAAAUUUUUAACCGUUGAUUGAUGGGAUGUGUGGUUAGGAUGAUGGUGGUCCUCACUUAGAAUGAUAGCGGUCCCCUAGGGUUGAGUAGGUAGUUGGUUGAAUAGUAUGAUCUAACGGAUGAAAAUGAUGAAUAGAAUAAAUUUAAGGGCCGAAAACUUAUAAGUAUAUAGGAGCCAAUACUCAUAAAAGUAUAGUAGCCGGACUCUCUCUCUCUCUUCUCUCUCUCUCUCUCUCUCUCUCUCUCUCUCUCUCUCUCUCUCUCUCUCUCUCNAAAAUUUAGAAAAAAACUACAAAUACAAUCCAUAUAGUUUUGAAUUUUUUCAUUUUAGUAUUCUGUGGUUUAAAGUGUAUCAAUUUAGUAUUCUGUGGUUUCGCACUUUCUCACUUUAGUACCUUGUGGUUUAAAGUGCAUUAAUUUAGUACUCUGUAGUUUUUUUUUUUUUUUUCGUUGGCUCCUCUUGUUAAUAUUUCGUUAAAUUAUAUACAAAACUUCGGAUACCCUACCUAAAUUUAUCGAAUAUUUAUUUUAGUACCCUUUAGUUUUAACUUUGUCACUGAUUUUUUUCUGUUAAUAUUUCGUUAAAUUAUAUACAAAAAACUUCAAAUACCCUAUCUAGAUUUAUCGAAUAUUUACUUUAGUACCCUUUAGUUUUAACUUUGUUACUGAUUUAACGAAAAAAAUUAAUGAAAUGGAUAAUAAAAAGAGAAAAAUAAAUCUACAGGGUACUAACUUGAUACAUUUUAAACCACAGAAUAUUAAAGUGAGAAAAUGUGAAACCACAUGGAGGUAUUUGAAGUUUACCAUAGAAUUUACUAUUUAUUUCUAAAAGGUUAAGCUUUUAAAUUGUAUACCCCUUGAUUUUCUUUUGAUUUGUUAAAAAGUGCAUAAAAGUUACUAUACUUUGUUGAAUUUAUUGGUGAAUUAAUUUAAUAAAAUUUCUCAUUUGAUUGGCCAGAAUUACUCAAUUUAUAAAAUUUAAAGGUUGAGGAUCUGACUAUUGAAAAACAUUGAGGAGCUUCCAAGACAAUUUUCUCCUUUUUUUUUUUUUUUUGCCGAAAUGGUUACUAGUACUAGUCUAGAAGUCAGGAACUAGAAACUUUUUUAUCUAAAAAUACAUGCAAGUCAGUCUUGAAAUCUUUUGCCAUCUAGGGUAUAUUUUGGUAUUGAGAGCCACCUAACAUUAUAAUUAGGCGAAAUAAAGUUGAGAUAAAAAUAUAUAAAAACAUAUAUGCUUCUUUGUUUUUGACUGCAAUCGAUCACAAAAAUGAUACCCCUAUCAACACAUUGCAGCAUACUCAAUGUAAUACGAAAACGAAUAGAAUAUUUUCUUACCAUCUUUUUUUAUGGCACUAAAUUUAUUCUCUUUCUGCAAUCCCAAGCGUAGUCUUGGAUAGCACCCGAGAUGACGACGGCCCGCUACAAAAAAAAAAAUAAAAAUAAAAAAUAAAAAAUAAAAAACUUUCACUCUCUCAUAACUUUAUCCCUCUUCUGGGGCUUUACUUAUGUCAUGCUAGUGAUGCAAUUCAAUUAAUGUGGGUCACCUCUUUAGUGGGGAGUCUAGGUAGAGGGUGCAGGCCUGGAAUUUGAGAAUGAAAAGAACCUUUUGUUUUGUAGUUGUGAGAAAUAUAAUCCCAACAUGCAUGAACCUACUAGAACAGCAUCCAAAUUAUUAUAUAUUAGAGAUGAAUCUUGGUGAAAAUUACACCAUUGGCCCUUCAACACCAAUGUACUUCAAUUUAUUCUGUGAGAAAUGAUUCGGUACUUUUAUUUUAUAAAAAAAUAAAAAUGAUUUUAACUGUUAAUCAAUAGAGGGUAAAAAUAUAAUUUUAACAUUUAGCAGGUAAAAGGAUUACUUCAUUCGAGAUUGUUUUUGUAAUUAAACUAUACAAUAUUUAAAGAAAGUUUUAAUUGAUAUCCAGAAUUUAGGCAUUAAUUUGUACUAAUUUGAAAAAUUGAUUGAAUACCUAAAUUUAGACAUUAAUAUAGGCAUUAAUUUAGGCAUUUAUUUUAGAAGUUUUAGUGUUUCUCAAAUUUAGGCAUUAAUUUAAAUUAUAGAAAUUUUAGAAAUAGUUCUAUUUCUAAAUACGCUGAAUUUAAAUAUUUAAUAUUUAAUAUUUAAAAUUAAAAAUUUAAAUUUAAGUUAGAGUAAUUUAAUUUGUAUUACUAUUUAAAAAUUAUGUAAUGUUGGUAAAUAUUUUAAUCCAACAUAUUUAAUAUGCUUAAGAAACUUUUAAAUUUCUAUAGUUUAGACAUUAAUUUUGUAUCACUUAUUUUAAAAAAUUUGAAUGUAGGUAAAAAAAAUUAUCAAUUAAAUGUAUUUAAUAUGUUAAAAAAAAUAGAAUUGUUUUAUUUUAGACAUUAAUUUUGCAUCACUAUUUAAAAAGGAUUGUAAUGUUGGAAAAUAUUUAAAUUUAACAUAUUUAAUAUGUUUAACAAAAUUGUGAAUUCAUCUUGUUUAGACAUUAAUUUUGUACUACUAAUUUUAAAAAAUUGAACGUGGGCAAAUAUUUAAAUUCCAAAAAUUUAUUAUAUUUAAAAAAAUUUAACAAUUUUUCUAAUUUAGAUAUUAAUUCUUUAUCACUAUUUAAAAAUUUUAAUGUGGAUAAUUGAUUAGAAAUAUAGGGUAUAGCUCAAAUUUAUUCUUAGGAUAGAAUUGUAUGGGCAAAAUUAAUUCAAAUUUUAAUAGUAAAAAUUGAUCUUUUAAAAUAAUAAGAUCAUGUAUUGUAAUUUAAAAUAUAAGAUGAAAUCAAAGUAAAUUAAUUUGAAGUUUAGAACCUAAAAAAUAUACAGAAACGUACCUCCAAUAAAUCUAAAUAGUAUAGUACAAUUUAAACUUACUAAUAAAUAAAUUUGGGCUAUAUAAUUUAAAUUUUAAGUUUAUAAUAAAUCUCCACCAUAGAGUGUUACUAGAGUAAACAAAAUUAGAAAUAUAGAUAAAUUAAAUAAAUUUAUGUUGAACAAAUCUAAGCUAUUUGUAUAUUUUAUCAAUUUGAUCAGUCGAAUUAAUUUGAUUUAUUAAAUUGAUUUUGAUCUUACCUUUAAAAUUUUUCAGAUUUUAGUCAAUUUUUUAAAUUUUAGUUCCUUACAAAUUGAAUUUGUAAGGAAAUAAAGAGAGAGAAAAAGGAAACAAAGAGAAAAUAACGAUUUUGAUAAUGUAGUAGAGGUAAAAUUAUUAAAUUACCCAUGUAUUAAAAGACAAAAAUAUCCUUCUUUGAGAUACUUGUUAACCGGUACGUCUCCCAAAGUGACCUGUUAUUGUAGGUUAUAAUUUAAAAAAAAUUAAAUUUGAGCUGCUAAAGAGGAGUGAAUGAAUGGUACCGAAAAAUAACAAGUAUAAAAGUACUACUACUCCUAUUUCUGUAACUAAGGUGUUAAACUUUUGUUCAAUCGCCAAAUUUUAGUUAGUUAAAAACCCAGUUUUGAUUUAUUUCAAGUGCAUGAGGUCACGAUAAACAUUAAGCUAAUUGAAAGAAGUACAAUACCUAAUUGACACUAAUUGUAUUUUGAUGGCUUAAUUAAGUCUAACUUUACUAGAAAUUCAGCGAUAACCAACUAAUGGUUAAUUUAAUUUAUCCUUUAAUCAUGUUAUUCGUAUAUAGUAUGUUAGAGCUAAACCAUAAGAUCCCAUUUGAUUCGGGAUAAAGUAGGAAUAACGAAAGUUAUCCCCGCUAUCCCACCAAAUUGUAUGUUUUUAGGCCGGGAUAUUUAUUCCGGUCAAAUAUUGUUAUUCCCGGCUAUUCCGAAAUAGCUUGGGAUUUACUAUUAUACCAUUUUGACGGAAUAGUGCUAUCAUAUGAUUUAAUUUCAAGUUUUAUUAAGAUUGAAAAUUGAAUUAAAACUGAAUUAUAUAGACAUAAUAUGUUAUAUAUUAUAAUAUAUUAUUUUUAUUAUGAACUUAUUAAUUGUACUACUUAAUUUAUUACGCUAAAUAUUUAAUUAGCCAUUUGAGUAAUUAAUUUAUUAUUUUAAUUAAUUUUCUAAUUAAAUAAUUAAUUAUUUAUUACUAUACUAAUUUAUAUUGAUUAAUUAAUUAUUUGACAUGACCAAUUUAUAUUGAUUAAUUAAUUAUUAAUUUACACCCUUAAAUAAUUAAUUAUUUGACAAAACCAAUAUUUGUAUUGAUUAAUUAAUUAAUAUUUUGACUAAUUUAAUUAUCUUACUGUUAUUAACUAAUUUAUUAAUUAAUUUAUUAAAUUACUUCUGGUUAAUUAAAUUAUUAAUUACUAAUUGAUCUAUUAAUUAAAUUUAGCGUUAUUUAGCAAUAUUCAUGAUUAAUUAGUAAAUUAAGCAAGUUGAAUUAUUAUUUAAUUAAUAUUUUUAUUAAUUAAUUAGAUAAAAUAUUAUUAUAUUAAAAUUAUAAUUAUUCUUAUCCUUACUAUUCUAAUCUAACCAUCCAUACGCCAUUUUGCUUAUUUCCAAGAAAAACUUAGUUUUUAUCCAAACGCAAAAUUGAUUUUAUUCUUACUUAUCCCAAGAAUUGUACUGUACCUGUCCAAAAGAUAGCCUAAAAUAACUUAUUCCCGAACCAAAUGAUACCUAAAACACCGAACUUAGUGAAAUUGUAUAAAAUUGGAUCCAUUACAUAUGUAGAUCGUGCUGGCUAAACAAAUCCAUUUUGAUCCAUUAUUUAGAAGAUCUAGAAAAGUUAAAAUUGUUUCGGCCUUUUCACUCUGUUACUUAAAAUUGGAGUUGUUAAUUUUUUGGCCCUCUAAAGCAUCAAAUAACAACAUAUUCCUAAACUAGCUAGGCUAGGCUAAAACAGCCAAAUGUGGCAGCAAAUAUUUUGAUAUACAACACUAUUUCCGCGAUAAGUAAUUAAAUCCACGCCAGAGUUUUCACUUCCCAUGAAACCAACUCAAUGGAUGAUGAUAUAUUAAUUAUGACGGUGAUGAGAGAGUAAAGGAUCACAGGAGGGAGAGAUUCUACUAUAUAUAUAUAUAUCAGUCACACUAUAUUAUUUAUAAACAAUCAAUCAUAUUAUUCCUCGAGUUAAAAGUAAAGUAAAAAUAUUUUUUUAAUAAUUAGAUUGGUUUGUGUUGCUAUAUCAGUAAUGUAACUGAUAUAUAUGUUCUAAAAAAUCUUCCAUAGGAGGACCCUUGGGCCAGCUCCAAUUAAAACACACACACAUACACAGCGACUUGAUUCGAAGUGAAGUGACCUCUCAUGAGACCCCUUAGGUGGUACAAUGAGAAAGUAUACUCGAGUCCAAGAGCCAAUCCAUUCUCUUCCCUAUACAAAAGCACGGUCACUUGUUGGAGAAAAGGACUUUCAUAUACACCUCUUAAAACGCACUCUAAUAAGUACACACACGCAAAAUGAUACAUUCCAAAAGUUUUUACACUAUAACGGGACUCCCCUUUAUGGUGAGAGAACUCCACAAGCAACAACUCUCUUUAGAUUCCACCCCACUCGUUAAGCUUUCUACCAUGCCACAACUCAUCCGCACAGCUCCAGAAGCUGCUAUCGCCAACACUAUCGAGACAACUAUUACUACUCGCCACACUCACACCACAAUUGGUGCUCGCAUAGCCGAGAAGCGAAGACGACGAUAGUGACGCUAGGUCCAACCCAUCUAGCUCUUGGUGGUAGUACCCGUGACUGCUGUGCCCGCCGAGAAGAGCGUCGAAAGCGACGCCGUUGAGCUCGUCGGUCGGGCUCGACGGGAAUUCGGGGAAUUGCGGGACUUGCGGGAGCGCGGUCGACCCCGAGGAAGUGCUCGGGCUAUAAUUCUCCGACCCGGAGAUGUCGUACGAGCGCGAGCACUCGAGAGGGUGCGGUACGAUCGGAUCGAGGAAAGGCGGAUGAUGAACGUGGUGGCGGUCUUGGCUGAGCGAUGAGGCGUUGGCGUUGGCGGCGGCAGUGGCAGCGGCGGCGGCGGUCGGGGUGGUCGAAAAGGGAUCGUGAAGGGAUCGAGAGGUUUGAGAGCCGAUCUUCUCGAGGAGCCUCGGCAUCCAGUAGCACCGGAGCGCAUCGCGGAACAUGGUGCUGUUGGCGUCGAUCUUGAGCUGCCUCGCCUGCUUCUGCACCCUCGUCCUCCAAUAAUUCUUGAUCUCGUUGUCUGUCCUCCCCGGAAGGUGCUGCGCGAUCCUAGACCACCUACAUCAGUAUAAUAAAAACUCCGUAAAUAAUCGAUCGUCACUUGAUUGUAACUAACUAAUUAACACGCAUAUAUCGAUCGAUCGAGCUUACCGAUUUCCCCACUUGGAAUGGAGCUCGAGGAUGAGGAACUGCUCCUCGGGGUUAAAUUUCCGCGCUUGAUAUCGGGCUUCAAUAAUUCAGCCACCGCAUCUGCAGCUCUUCCCGGUCCUCUUCAAUCCUACAGCAGCCGGGUAAAGGAAAGGAAAUCGACAUCACCAAGUACGUACUACAACAUAGCUAGUGACUAAACAACAAGCAUGGCUUAUUAGGAUUGAACUAAAUAUAUAUAUUUAUAUGUAUAUGUAUACCGGAGCACCAGCAAGGAGAUUCCAACGGCCCUCGCCGUGGUACGCAAUGUAGCGCAUGAGGAGCUCGUCCUCUUCGAGCGUCCACGGCCCUCGCCGUAGCUCCGUUAUCUCCUCCUCUCCACGUUGUUUAUUGUUGGCCCCUUCUUUUCCGACAUAUCUUGCCCCUGGCCUCCUUAAAAUAAAUUUUUUUUAAAAAAAAAAGAAAAAUAAAGGAGAAAAGGCUCUUCUUGGUUGAGAACUGAUUAGCUAGGGAGAGUUUGUGAGGAGGCUACAGCUACAAGGUAAGGAAUGAGAGGAGGGUAAGUGAACAUGCUUAUAGACCAUUUCCAACAAAAGUCCAAAGCCUACAUCUACUACUACCAAUAAUGGGUUGUUUUGAAAAAGUGGCAACCUUAUUGCAUGGUAAAAAAAAAAAACUUAAUAAAUGAACUGCUGCGGCUCACAUCAACUUGGGCUUUAGUGGACACAAGCAAACAAAAAAAAGGAGGAGAAAAUAUAUAUCAUUGGACUCAAAUUUCCUUGUGGCGGGGGGGUGGGGGGGGGGGUUGGUAAUUAAUUCAAGUGUAUAUCCUUUUUGAGGAGAGGCUUCAAUUGUGGAAGUGUACAUGUCCUCUUUAGAUUCUUUUUCUACAUGAAACGUGUUUGACCGAACAAUUUGCACUAUUAGGCUCAUGUUUUGAUUGCUAUAGAGAGAGAAAGAGAAAGAAAGAGAGGGAGAGAGAGGGGGGAGGGGGUCUAAUCAGAGUUUGCCUAAUCCGGCGGCAAUUUAGGUAGCUCCUGGAAUUUGUAGUGCAAUUGUAGGAACAUGCUCCUUUUAGAGUUCACAUUUCAAAACUGUGUCCACUAAAAAAAGCAAGCAACAACAACAAAAGCUGCAAAAACAAGGAGAACAUUAAUUAAUUAAUUAAGAUCAUGUUAAGUCCCGUAAACACUUUACCCCUCCACGUACAACCCACUAAGCCUUCCAUUUUAGGGACAGCACCCUAAGUUGUAAGCACAAAGUAGGCAUUUAUAGCUCUUCCUCCCUCCCUCCCUCUCACUCUCUCUCUAGAGUACAAACUUUUAGGUAGCUUGAUACCACUUUAUUUCCAAUGAUUCUCAAACUGCAAUUGUCUCAGAUGAUAUCAAAGCAAAGAAAAAAUUUAGAAUGCACUGGUUAUAUAACUAAUAUAGCGUCUUCAACCAAUCAGAUUGUUUUUCUUGGAUUCACCUAUUUGCACGAUCAUGAUUAUUAAAAAAUUUUUUUAUUGUGCAUACUAGAUUUUUUUUUUUUCCUAACUGAGAGCGUGGUUUGUGUACAUGUGGAUUGCUCUAAAAACUAGCGAAAUCAAUUUUCGAUGUGAAAAUUACGUACUUUUCAAGCUAUUUUGUUAACCAUAAAAGUAAAAGUGAAUCAUAAAAGUAUGUUUCUUUUACUGACCAUCCCUAGAGCAAGUAGCAAAGGGCCUUGUGGUUGGUACCCGAGACUGAAGUUUGAAUCCUAAUUGAUUCAUAUUUCCAGCUAAGUUUAUUUCUAAAUGAAAAAAAAACGAAGCAGAUAGCGUACUACCUAUCUCUCAAAAAAAAGAAAGUGUGUUUCUUUUAAAUUUAAUACUUUUACAGAUUUGAGAAAAAUUAGAUCUUUUCAUUUUCUGUUGAAACUAGCUGAAAAUUAAACCUCAGGCCACCAAAAAUCAUGGCAUAUUCGUGACGGCAAAAAAUUUAGCGCAGUCCACACAUAGUAACAGAGGUUAUUGCAUAGACUAGAUGUAUUCAUAUAUUUAUGUACACCACAUUUUCAUCCACCAUUUUUUUUUCUUUUUUAAUCUUAAUCUGUAUAUACCAUUUUGUAUACAGCAGUUUCUUUUAAUUUAAAAUUUGGAUAGUUAAGUUAAUUAAAAGUAUGAAUGAAUUGGCAGUUUUUUGAAGCACGGUGUGUGGGUUCGUGGGUGCACUGAGUGCACAAAUAAAUUUUUUUCUCAAUGGAUCUCCACUAACAUUGUUUUUAUAAUAAUAUGUAUAGUAUAUAAAAAUAUAAUUUUACAUGAAUUUAAUUUAAAAAUAUAAAUUAUAAUAAUAUUAUAUGUAGUAUUGUAACUAUUAUAUAUAAAUAAAUAAUAUAUAAUAUAUGUAAUAAAAUAAAAUAUAUAGCAUAAAAUAAUUUUUUAUUAUCUUUUUCUUUCAAUACAAGCAUGGUAAGAAAACUAAUUUUUAUUUUUUUUCCCAUAAAUCAAACACUAUGGACGCAUUUGGUUCGCGUUAUGUAACAUUACAGAUUAUUUCGACAUAUUUGUGUAUCUUAGAUUUCUGAAUGAGAUUAUUACUGAUAUUGUAUUAGCACAUUUGAUUUAAAACAGUAAUAUAAUACUAGAUUACAGUAUAUAUAGUAUUACUAUAUUUGAUUCAGUUGAUAAAAUUAAGUAAUUCUGACACCAAAGUGUAAUCUAUUCCAAAAUUACUCUCAUAUCGGCAAAAUUCUUUUACUAUUUACAAAUAAUAAUUUUUUAAAUAAAUUUUAUUUUAAAUAAUUUAAAAUUAGAAUUUACAUUUUAUUUUUUAAUUUUAAAUAUUAAAUUUAAAAUUUNAAUUAAGUAAUUCUGACACCAAAGUGUAAUCUAUUCCAAAAUUACUCUCAUAUUGGCAAAAUUCUUUUACUAUUUACAAAUAAUAAUUUUUUAAAUAAAUUUUAUUUUAAAUAAUUUAAAAUUAGAAUUUACAUUUUAUUUUUUAAUUUUAAAUAUUAAAUUUAAAAUUUAAAAUCUGAAUAAAAAUAUAAAAUUUAAUAUUUUAAUUUAAAAUAUAAAUAUAAAAUUUGAAAUUUGAAAUUUAAAAUAUAAAUAUAAAUUUAAAAUUUUAAAUAUAAAUUUAGAAUUUAGAAUUUAAAAUCUAUAUUUGAAGUUUAAAAUUUAAAAUUUAAAAUUUAAAACUUGAAACUUGAAACAUGAAACAUGAAACUUUAAAUUUAAAAUUUUGAAAUUUAAAAUUUAAAAUUUGAAAUUAAAAUUUGAAAUUUGAAAAUUAAAUUUUAAAAUAUAAACCUUAAUAUUUUAAUUUAAAAUUUAAAAUUUAAAAUAUUUAAUUUAAAAUUUUAAAAAUGAUGUAUUGAGAGGGUUUGAGGUUCGGAGGGAUAAACUUGUAAUUUUACAUACAUGCAAUAUAACACUCAUCAGUAAUACGAGAUACCCAGCCCUCGCUCGGUAAUAAUUUCAGUGUAAUUCCGUACAAUUUGUAAUGUUAUAUUACUGACCAGAUUAUAUUCUGGAUGAACCAAAUGCAGUAAUCUUGGCAGAAUUGUCUGUAAUCCUGUCAGGAUAACCCGAACCAAACGCACUCUAAGAGAUUUUGUGUUUGAAUCCCA
rnacentral:lncRNA from 1 species